rnacentral:lncRNA from 1 species
UUGCUCUCAAGUUUCACAGGAACAUACAUGAGAGGGACAUAGAAGUUGGUAGAAAUGCUGGAUUCUACGUUGGCUUGACUGAAUGAAACCAUCUGCCCAGAUACGUGGUCCCCCUGAGAAACCUUCACAUGGCCCCAGCAUGAGCAUGGCCAACCAUGGAAUGAAGUCCUCGAAUCCAAAAACUCCUGGAGUCCAAACAUCUAGAAACAAGGAAUCUGAUAGACAUCUGUUUAGCUCAUCAAAAAAUAUAUGGCCUAAACCACCCUUUUCUACCAUUGCCAUGAUGAUGUGGCAUCCAAGGCCUGUGGGAACGACAACCCAUUAUAGGCAUCUUGAGACAAAUGGAUCUGAUCUGUUGAGUUUGAACUACAAUAGAAAUGGGUUUGAUGGAGUCCUGCGAAAGGACAUUAUGCAGUGGUUGCUGCAAAAGUGAAGGUAGAAGCUUUUCAGACACCUGUUAGUUUCUGAAGUUUUAAUUGCCAAUAAUUCAGUUAAAAUAUCUCACUCAAACCGCUCGCAUUAUUGGACUCCUAAAUUUGAAAUUCAUCCAUGCGGGUUAUGGUCCUGUUGCUUGAUCAUCAAGCCUUGAUCACUAAUUACUGAAGGGCUGCGUGCUGCGAAAGCUGGCAAAGCUAGGUUUUAGUUGUUUUGCUUCUUUUCUGAAAGAUAGUAAUUGUUCUCUCCGUUUUCAGUGACUCUAGGUUUUGUGUUUCCGAACCAGUAACUGCAUAGUUGCAUCUGGUAAUGUUUGUUUGUUUCUUUGUUUGUGAAGCACAUUCCUCCAGAUUGGAAACGGCUGUGGUGAUGGCGAUCAUCUUUCUCUGUACUUGGCUUUUGGAGAUUCCACAGUCAAGGUGAUUAAAGUAUAUAUAUAUGCAGAGCAUCCAUUGCGAAUCAUAGAUCAAGUGGGGGCAAAACAUAAAUCUUUUCGAGGUAAAAUAUCUGUGUUUACAUGCAAUUAGUAUUUGGGGCAAAUCCAAUGACUAUAACGAGAAUGUUCCUUUUACUCUAGUAGAGAAUAAAGACUAGUUCAAUACACCAAGCGAUAACUGGGGCUGGCCAAGAUUCGUUUCAUUGAGUGAGUUAGAUGAGCCAGAGACUGGAUUUCUAGUGAAUGGCGUUUGCGUGGUGGAAGCUGAGGUCACUGUGCUUGGAAUUUCCAAGCCAUUAUAACAAGUAAUUAAUUGUCCUCCAAAUGGGUUCUUUUAUUGUGUGAUGCCGACUGCCUGGCUAAUCUAGGAAAUUUAUUUUAGCUAUCAGGAAAUUUAUUUCUCUUGUGGUUUUCCAAAAUAACUCUUACGUUGCUUAUUGUUUAUUUUCCAAAAUAACUCUUACGUUGCUUAUUGUUUAUGCUGUCAAGCUAACUUUUUAGUGUUAUUUUGGUGUUCUAUUUCUCUGCAUCUCUUUAAGGAGAAAUUCAUUAUAUCCCCUAUGCUGUAAUUCUUCUCUUCUAAGAUUUUGAUUUAAAAGAAAAAGAAAAAUGAAAAAAAAAAUAGUGAAACGAAGAAAAUUAGGAUGCAAGAGAACUAAUAACUUCAAUUACUAAGAAAAUGAAAACCAAGUAGAAUUGAACCUCGUUGAAUUAAUAUUGAUAAAUUGAUAACUCCUAUUAAAUAAUAGUUUUCUUCAGUUUGACUUAGAGUCAAUAUGGUAAAUUAAUAAUUUGAUAAAUUUUAUUAGAUAAUAUAUUUUUUAAAAAAAUAUUUUUCUAUAAGACCCAAUUAAUAUAGGUAUUAAUAAUUAAUUAAUUUAAAAUUAAAUACAUAUGAUAUGUCUAUGAUUUUUUUGUUGUAUUGGCAUAAUGCUUUAUGUAUUUUAUUGAUCAAUAUUACUUUUUUUACACUUUUCAAUUGAGAAGUUAGUGUUGUAUCAUAUGUGUUGUGGUAAGAUAAAUAAGAGAGAGAGAGAGAGAGAGAUUUAAUCUAUUGCCUCAAAAAAAUCUCAGUUGAUGAGUUACCAUGUAAUUGUGAUCCAACUAUACGAUCUGACCAAAGAAUUAUCAAAUGAUUGAUUCACUCAAUCAAGAUCGAAUUAAAAUCCUAUCAUACAACAUGAUAAAAUCACUAAAUUUUCUAAUUAUACUAGCUCAGAAUCACUAAAUUCUUUAAUUAUACUACCACUAUAUUUCAUAAAAAAAAAUCCGAUUAUCAACGUGAUAUUAUUUCUAUAAAGAUAAAUUAAUAUUUAUUCAUUUAAUGGAUAUAAAAAAAUACCGACCAUUUUGUUCUUGGAGCAAUGGCGUUUCCUGUGUAUAAUAGGAGCUUUAGUUUUUUAUUUAAAAGAAAUAAUGAAGAAAAAACAUGUCGUUAUCAGUACCACCAACUCAAUUUGCAAUUAAAAAAGGAGAAGAAAUUAAUCGACAGAAACUCACUUCCUGCUCUUGGUUCAUUUCAUGUUUGCAAGCUUAUGCUUCUACCAGGUGAAUCCAACAUGGAAUUGGAAAAAAUAAUGAAGUUAGAAAUGACAAUAACAUAAAAAGCUUUGGAUUCCCUCCGCCAAACUAUUACUUGAAAAGAAAAUGAGGGAAAAGCCUAGGAUCUCCGGCGAGAAUCUUAACUCUCAAGAUGAGACCAGAUAAUAAUGUAAUACUAGAGAGAUAACGUGAAAGGGUAACUUUCCGUAGCCAUAGAAGCAAAUUAUGUAAACCAAAAUUAUCCCAGCAAGCCAAUAUGAAUUCUUUCCACCUCAACCUGUUCAAAAACAGAGCAAGAUAAAGCUUAAAUGUCAAAAGAAGUGAAUCUUUUCAAUAAUGUGAAAGUAAAUAAAACAAUAGGGUAAACAAUUAUGAUUUUUCCUAAUGCUUGCGUAAACAAUCAUGACCGAGGAAAACUUUCCAGAAAUAAGAACAGUGAAGACAUGAUUCACAGGCAUUAAACCCAAUAAAAUCCCUCACCAAUAUUUACCUCAUUAAAUUUUAAUGCCACCUACAAAUGGGAUGAUAGAACAAGUUGUCAUUCACAUAUUGCUUAUUCAUCAAUCUCUUCACCUUUGGUUAAAGUCGGGAGGUAACAUUCAAUUUGUGCAGGAACCAACAAACAAAAGAUGCAUUUUUUCGUAGUAUGAAGACAAUUGAACCAACGAGCGUGAAGCACCCCCCCCCCCCCCCCCCCCCCCCCCAAAAACAAAAAAAGAAAAAGGAAAAAAAGAAAAUUGAUGACCCACCUCAUAUGAUUUUAGUAUGCUUGGUAGUAUCAUUUUUUAUAAAUUUCUGAGACUUUGUUUUCGGGUUAUGGUUAUAAGUUUUCGGGUCCCACGUCACAUGAUUUUCGGCCAAGCAGAAUUUAGUUUCCCUCCCUUUUGUCAGUCAAUCUGUUUCAGAAAUUUUGAUGGUGAUCAAAUCAAAAUUUCUGCUUCUAUUCAUGUAUCAGUGCAAUAAGUGAGCUACUGAUAAUCGUGGCUCUGAUUUGGACUUCAGUACCUUUGACAUUAUAUGCGAGGGAGGAAGGUUAUGUUCUUUUGGGGUAUUACUGCUCCAUUAACACUUUGCCCAUGUUUGAGUAUCAUAUUGGCAUAUUUACGUUGAUUAAUUAAUUAACAUAAAUAUAUCAUCUAAGCUGCUAUGCACAACGCUAUGGUUGGAUCUAAUUAGGAUUCAAUAAUAUCGUAUUUUUCAAUAUUAACUUGGGGAUAUCCUUUCGAUCUAGACUUACUUCAGCUUUGAGCUUUGAAGUACAUUUUAAUACUUGCACAUUAUUAUACAUGCGAUUAAUAGCUAUUUAUUUGUUACGUUUACUUUAAUUAUUAACAAUCAAGAAAUUUCUUCCCACAAAAUAAUCUGUGAAAUGAACAAUCGCUACAUGAGCUUAGAAUUUUCUAAGCGAUAAAACGCAGUACCUCCUCCCAGUAAUUUUAUUUUUCUUUUAUUUAAAACGACUUCGUGCUGUCCAAGUUACCAAAAAUAAAAAUAAAAAUUCAACAACUUUUUGGAGAACUUUUCGGAAUGGAAAAUAUCUUUAUUUAACAAAGAUGGUAUGUAUGUUCAACCUUUUCUCACGUUCUCUAGAGGACAAUAUUCUUAAAAUUUUCAGCUUAUUGUUAUUUCUAAUCAAUCGGUGUUAAUUAAAAAUUACUUAAAUGUAUAGCCAUUGCAAGAUACACUUCACUACCACCGGCUCAUUACAUUGUCAAAAUAAAAUCAUUUUCAUUACUUGCGGAAAAAGCAGAAGAGGAAUAUGAAUCAGGAGAAUUUGAAGUUGGAGGAUACAAGUGGUACAUAUAUAUAUAUAUAUAUUCUUAUCCUUAAUAACACAAGUUCAUUUACUUUGGAUUGGGAAGUCUCAGCAGUUUUUCGUCUGUUCUUACUUGAUCAGAACCAAGAAAACUACUGUGUAGUUCAAGGUUAAAUCAAAUUUAGUGUGCAGAAUUGUAUAUUGCAACAUUAGGAAAAAAAUUUGAAUGCAUGCAUAAUGAGUGGUUGCUUGUAAUGUGAUAGAUAUCAUGGGAAAGGAAAGACGGUUUAAUGGACUGAAGCAUGUAUGGGGUUUUGAUAAAUUUAUCCCGCUUAGAGCUUUCAAUGAUGCUUCGAAUGGAUACCUUGUCGAAGAUACGUGUGUUUUUGAAGCUGAAGUCCUUGUUAAAGAAAGAAACAAAUUCAAAAGAGAGUGCCGAUCUAUAAAAGAAAUUUCAAUUAGUUGUAAGUGUGUUUGGAAGAUCGAGAACUUAGACGCAGGAUAUGAGGAAUCACAAGUUUUCGAUGCUGGAAAUCACAAAUGGUAUCAAAGAUUUUAAUUUUUUUUUAAUUUCUACAGGUAUAAUAAAUAAUGAGUUCUUGGGACAAAGUUGUCAGUGAGUGUAUGUUGGAGACUUAACACAUAUAACACUAAAAAAACACACUAUUUUAUUUCUUCAAUAACACUCCUCACCAACUACAACUCUUAUUUUUCACUCUCUACAACUUAGAGAUUUUGUUACUUCACUUGAUACUUAAACCAAAGGGGAGAGGGGGUAUUUAUACAUAAAACAAACUAAUCACAACCAUUCAUUUAUUCAACUAAUAAACAAAUCUUCACCAUCCAGUAAAACCUAUCACUCACCUACUUCACUAACCACACCUACCACACCUAACACAAAUAAUUUAAACCUCACCAACUUUCCAUGAGUUGGGCUUGAAUUAAUUCAUCUUGGAUCAAGUUUAUGAUCCAACAGUGUACAAUUAAUAAAAUACCGUUUCGGUGUUUUUAGGAAGACACAGCUACACCCAUGGGAACUGGGCCCAAUGCUGGCGAUUGUCUUUCCUUGUUCUUGGUUUUUGGAGAUUCCACAGUUCGGAGUACUGUUAAAGUAUACGCAGAGUUUACAUUUCGAAUCUUAGAUCAAGUUCGGGCAAUGCAUGAAUCUUCUUAAGGCACAUUGCUUGUUUUAAUACGCAACUAAUUUAGUUGCCACUAGCAGCUUGACCGAGUGAUUUUCAAGCAGGUUUCUUUAACUUUUGAUUUUGAAAGUACCUUUAACCCAAAAUAAUAAUAAUAAGCUUAAUUUGAGGCUAUAGAAUUCAAAUAAUGUGUAUAAUGAGAAUGAUUCUUUUUCUCUAGGAGGUAGAGAAAGGUUCCAUGCACUAGGCGAUAAUAAGUGGGGUUGGUCGAGAUUCGUUUCAUUGAGUAAGUUAAAUGACCCAGAGAAUGGGUACCUUGUGAACGACGUUUGCGUUGUGGAAGCUGAGAUCACUGUGCUCAGAAUCUCCGAGGCAUUGUAAUAAUAAGUAUUCUUCUUUGUUUCUCACAAAAUAAAGAAAUUCAUUGAUUUUUUGCUUACUUAUGCGAUCACGUUUGUUCAUUGACAUAAUUCUUAAUCCUGGAAGGAAAUCUCUGACAAUCUUAAUCCUGAAAAAAAAUCACAUCUAUCAAAUAUUACCAAGUGAGAUGGUGACAAAAACUCUUAGUUUUUAAUUAAAGAGAAGUAUUGAUAAGAUAAAUUUAGUACAAUAGGGCAAGAAAUUAAUAUUGCAUAAAAGGAAUAUCAUUUAUGGACAUUUAAGAAUGCGAAAGAGGUAGUUUCUAAACUAAAAAAAAGGAUCAGUAGCUAAAGUACUACUUAGUUACGUUUCACAAAAAUAUGUUACUGCAAAAUAAGAUAAUUAAUUUGGUGAAUAUCAAUGGUUAUGACAGUCCACAACAGUGAAUUAGAUAUUAGAUUUUUAUUUGUGCUUGAUAAAAAAAGAGACAAGUUCUUGAUUCUUCAAGGUUAAUUAUUAUACUCAACAAUGUUUAUUUUGUUCUUAUUUAAUUAUUUAACUAAGAGCUAAUCAAUGAUUUGGGGUCACCUUCAUGUAAUAGAUGCCAUGGGAAAUGAAUUAGGUUUUGAUCAAUUCAGAGUUUAACGAUGCUUCGAAUGGAUAUCUUAAAGGACACACGCGUGUUUUUAUAGCUGAAGUCUUUGCUAAGAAAGGAAUAAAGGCAAAGGAGAGUGCCUUUCAUGAUGAGAUUCACAACUGCUUCCAUUUAUAAGCAUGCAUGGAAGAUCGAGAACUCUUCAAAGUGCAGUCAAAGCGUUACGAAUCAGAAAUAUUCAUUGCUGGAGAUCAAAAUCUAGAUUUGAUGCUCAAGUCCAGACAUUCAGAGUUCAUAAAAUCUCGGUUCGAACUAUAAUCAAAGUUGUACAACUCUAAUAUAUAAUAGCCUAAAUCUAGACAUCUGUACCUGAACAGGACUAAUACUUAAGGUUGAUUUAUACAUGUGCCUUAUAUUUCUAAUGGUAAUGCGGAAGAAAUUAGAAUAGUACAACUUGUUAAAAAGGUGCAUCAUGUUAAAACCACUUCUUCAAAUGUAUAAUGUAAAUGAUUUGCUAAAAUUUGUUUGUUUCUCUGUUAAUAUAUAUAAACUAAAUGCCACAUUUGAAAGUUAAUGUUUUAAUAAUUUGUUAAGUGGAACCUCUUAGUAAUUAUGUACAACUAAAUGCCGAGACUUAAACUUUACCCUUGUUGAUUUUUUCAGGAAGAUAUACCUCUAUCCCAAGGGACAGAGACAAGGACAUGGCAGUCAUAUUUCUAUGUACCUGGUAUUUGGCUGACUUCUCAACUAUAACUCGUGGUUUUUAAAAAUACCUUUGUUUCACAUUGCAAAUCCAAGAUCAAGUGUAGUCAAAGCAUAAUCAUAAAACUUUACCCUUGUUAUUAUUAACCCAAACUUUAACAGGUAUUGAAGUUCAUCAAUAAGCGUAGUAGCUAAAUACAGAUAACUUCAGGUUUCUAUUGUUGUUCCUGCAGCCAGUACAUGGUUUAGGAACUCAAUCGAAGAUUGGGGCUGGCACUAAUUUGUUGAACUCAGUUACUUGAACAAGGCAAGCAAUGGUUUUCUUGUGAACGAUGUGUGCAAUGCUGAAGCAGAGGUGUCUGUGCUUAGAAUUUCCAAAGCCCUGUAAUAUGCUCUAAUAAGCAUUGCUACUCUUGCAAGAAAAUUGGGAUGCCAAUUUUUUAAUUUUAUUUCUUAUAAUAAGAGUUAAUCUCAUCGUACCCAAAUAUUUUGACAAAGAAAUUCAAUUGUUGCCGCUCGAUAAUUGGUUGUUAAGUCUCCAAACGGAGACUACAUGAGGAUGCCUUCUUAUGGGUUUAGCCUGCGAUAUCUUAUUCAUUGUUGCUUUUUUUUUUCUCUCUAUAUUCUGCCAGUCGCAAUAGGUAAGGUACUAUAGACUUUUUUUAUCUUACGAAUGUGAAAUAAAAUGAAUUUAAAUCAAUAAGUAUUUACAGAACACUUAAGUGCUGCUCAACCAUAGUACUAAAUCGGGCUUAAAUUUUGGAAGCUAAUUAUAUUAGUUGAUAAUAGAAAAUAGACAACUAAAAUAUUGCUUCAGCUCGUCGAAAUACACGGUUUUUGAGUGGAGGGUACAUAUUUUUGUUCAUUUGUACUGUAGUUGUUUUCUUGCCUCUUACCAUCCAUUCUUGCAACCAAGCAAAGAAAUCAAUAUUCCUUGAUCAAACCAAACAAAUUAAAGAAUCAAUAUCCCUUUUCCCCCAUUGCAUUCCCCUUUCCAUUCCAUUCUUGCAACCAUCAUUUUCCAAAACUUGGUGAAUACCAAUAGUCAUUCUAACUCUUUCUAGAAAUUUAAUGUUGAAUUAUAUAAACCCUCAACCUUGAUGCUUUAUAUGUACCACGGUCCCUUUUAGAUAUCUUAAAGAAGCAAUAUUACUCUUGAGAGAAUACCCUAGCCCUUGAAGAACCUUAUUAUAAUCAAUCUUUCUUCAGUACUAGUUUUAGUACUUGAAGAUUUAUAAUAGUUUGGAGGAAUUUGCUGCAAUGGAAAAUGACUUUGUAGACCAAGUUGGUAUGUUCUCUGACUCUUUCCCCACCUCCCCUUCUCUAUCUAUGUUUAUAUAUGUGCAUUGAAAAUUUCUAGCAUGUUAUUUUCUGAUCAAUGUUAAAAUUACUCUUGACAGCAAUUUCGAGAUCCAUUUCACAUGUACCACCGGCACAUUUCUUACUCAAAAUAGAGGCAUUUUCAUCUCUUGUGGAGAAUGACGUGGAAAAUUAUAAAUCCUUGGAAUUUGAUGCUGGAGGCUACAAGUUGUGUGGCCCAAAACCUAAUUGUACACUAUAUUCAGAUCACCUUAUUACUAAAUUACAUAUCAUAAUCUAAUAUGUUAUUUUGAAUUCAUGAUGGUUUCAGGAAACUUGUUGUCUACCCAAAUGGAAAUAAAAAUGAAAAUGUGAAAGACCACAUCUCAGUCUACUUGGCUAUGGUAGACACAAGUUCACUUGGCCAUGGUUGGGAAGUCUAUGUGAUUUUCCGCCUAUUUGUGCUUGAUCAGAAGAAAGACGAGUUCUUGAUUCUUCAAGGUUAGUUAUUACACUCAAUAAUGUUUAUGAUUGUUUUGUGCUUAAUUAUUUAAGUGAGACCUAACCAAUGAUUUGGGCCGGUCACCUCCAUGUGAUAGAUGCAAUGGGUAAACAAAGACGUUUUCAUGGAUUAAAGCUUGAAUGGGGUUUUGAUCAAUUCAUCCCGCUUGAAGAAUUUAUUAAUGCUUCGAAUGGAUAUCUUGUGGGAGAUACGUGUGUUUUUGGAGCAGAAGUAUUUGUUAAAGAAACGAAAGAAUGCACAGGAGAGUGCCUUUCCAUGACGAAAUUGACAUCUGCUUCCAAUUAUAAGCUUGUUUGGAAGAUCGAGAACUUUUCAAAGUUAGAGGACAUGUUUUAUGAAUCAGAAGUAUUCGUUGCUGGAGAUCAAAAGUGGUAUGUAUACUUUUUGAAAUGGUGUUCAAAUCCGGACAUUCGGAGUUCAUAAAAAUCGAAUUUAAAAUAUGAUCAAAGUUCUACAUUUAAUAGCAAUUUAAAACUCUAAUAUAUCAUAGACUAAAUCUAGACCCGAGCAUGGCUAACACUUUAGGGUUUAUUUGUACGUCUGCAAUAGAUUUCUGAUGCAAAAGAAAUUCUUUUGAGUUUUGAAUAAUACAACUUGUUAAAAAGAUGCAUCAUGUUAAAACCACUUCUUCAAAUGUAUAAUGUAAAAUGAAUUGUUAAAAUUUGUUUGUUUCUCUAUUCACAUGUAUAAUCUAAAUGCCACAUCUAGAAGUUAAUGUAUUGAUAAUAUGUACAAUUGAAUGCAGAGACUUAUACUUUACCCUUAGUAGAUUUUUUUUUAGGAAGAUACUACUCCUUCCCAAAGGACUGGGAGAAGCUAAAGGCAGUCAUAUUUCUAUGUACUUGGAAUUGACUGACUCGUCAACUAUAACUGGUGGUUCUAAAAUAUACGUGCAUUUUACACUGCGAAUCCGGAAUCAAUUGCUGUCAAAGCAUUAUGAAAAAAAAGGUAAAUUAUUAUGAACCCAGACUUUAACAGGUAAUUCAGUUCAAUAAGUUUUGUAGCUAAAUGCAAAUAACUUAAGGUUUCUAUUCUCGUGUUUGCAGCUGGAGAAUGGUUAAAUACCUCAGACAAAUUUGGGGGUUGGACAAAAUUUGUUGAACUCAAUUACCUGAACAAGGCAGGAAGUGGUUUUCUUGUGAAUGAUGUGUGCAUUGUGGAAGCAGAGAUGCCUGUGCUUGGAAUUUCCAAAGCCCUGUAAUAUAUAUUCUAAUGAGCAUUGCGACUCUUGCAAGAAAAUUGGGAUGCCAAUUUUUAAUUUUAUAUCUUCUAAUAAGAGUUGAUCUCAUUGGACCCACCUCUUUUGGCAAAGAAAUUCAGUUGUUGACGCUCGAUAAUUGGUGGUUAAUUGGUUCUUAAGUCUCCACAUGGAGAUUCCAUGCAGCUGCUGUUUUAUGGGUUUAGCAUGUGAUAUCUAAUCCACUGUUGCUUUUGUCCUCUUUGUAUUUCGCUUUAUAGUCGCAACUAGUAAACCCGGUGGUAGACCCACACGUGGGUUAUACCGAACUGUGGUCUGGUCUAGUCCAGAAAAAAUCAUUUAUACCCCUUACAUUUUUAAUUAAUUUAGUAAAAUUAAAUCAUCCUAAAAUGUUGGCAUAUGCAUCUAAAUACUUUUCCAAGGAUGUUUUAAUAAAGUGUCAUUCAGGUAAAAUGUCUAAAUUGGAUGCAAUUGCAAUUGGCAACGAAUUUGCCAAAUUUAAGAAGAAAGAGAUGGGGUCCUCUAAAGCAGGAUUUGGGAGAUCUAAGGUAGGGGUUAGAGUAGAAGACCUAAUUUAGUGUCAGCCCAUUUUAAAAUAAAAUCUUGGGUGUGUUUUACACAAUCUUGCACUUCAUUAUCAUCUAUGAAAGUAUGCCUUUAUAUAAAUAAGAGAAAAAAAACCUUAACUUUCAAAUCACAUAAAAAAAAAUAAAAAAUACUUAAGUACUGCUCAACCACAAUACUUAAUUGAACCUAAAUUUUGCAAGUUAAUUAUAUAAUAUUUGGUAGUAGAAAACAAAACAACUAAGAUAUUGCUUCAACUCGAUGAAAUAUACAUUUUCUAGUGGAGGAUAUUUUUAUUCAUUUGCAUUAUAGUUGUUUUCUUUCCCCUUGCCAUUCCAUUUUUGUAACCAAACGAAAGAAUCAAUAUUCCUUGACCAAACCAAACAAAUUAAAGAAAUCAAUAUUCCUUUUCCCAUUCUAUUCCCCUUUUCUUUACCCUUAGCUUUCCAUUCCAUUCUUGCAACCAUCAGUUUCCAAAAUUUGAUAAAUAUCAACAGUCAUUUUGACUCUUUCUAAAAAUUUACUCUUAAAUUGUAUAAACCCUUAACUUUGAUAUGCUUCUAUAUACCAUGGUCCCUUUUAGAUAUUUUAAAGAAAAAAUAUUACUCUCGAGAGAACUCUAACCCUAGAAAAAUCUUAUUAUAAUCAACUUUCUUCGGUACUAGUUUAGGUACUUGAAGAAUUAUAGUAAUUUGGAGGAAAUUGUUGCAAUGGAAAAACAAGUUGGUAUGUUCUUUGAAAUGGUGCUUCGGUCCAAACGUCCCUACCAAGUUUGGAUUUAAGCUAUGAUCAGACAGACGUCCAAACUUGAGGAUAAUUAUAUCUAAUUAGGGUCCAAAAAUACACAGGUGUGAUAUAAUUGAUGCAAAAGAAAUUCUAUCAUAUGAAAAUGAUUUGUUUGUUAAUAUCUUUACUCAUAUCAUCUAAUUAAUUAAAUGCCUCAUCUAAAAAUGAGCCCUUAGGCCAUGUUUGCUUGGGGGUAGAGGAGUGGGGAGAGGAAAAGAAUUUGAUUUCUUUUUCACUUUCCACUAUUUGGUUGGACCAAAUUCAAUAAAAUUGAAUUUCCAUUAGAUUGAAGAAUUUGUAUUCCUUAUCAAUGGGUAAGGAUUUCGAAUUUCUCAUCUAUUGGAAUACAAAAAUUCCAUUAUUAUUCUCUAAUAAAAAUAAUUUAAAAUAAGUUAAAAUGAAAAUAAUUUAUAUUUAUUUUCUUAAAUUAAGAGGAUAAUUUAUUUUAAAAAAGAAAAAGCACUAAGGUGAAUCGCCAGACCGUCACUGAAGACUCGCUGGAGAUGCAUUUCACUAUCAAAACCAGUACCAAUGGAAUCCUUGUGAGCCGAUCUACAACUCUAUGGAGUUAGAAAUGCUAAUAUACAUUAUUACUUACCUCAAAUCUUGUUUAAAUAUUUGGGAAUAUUUUAACUCCCAUAUUUCCAACUAUAUAGUGUAUUUUCUGCAAAAUUAACACUUCCAAUGAGUAAAUCGUCCAUUUUUUUUUUAUCAUUAUUAUGUAUUUAACACGAUAAAAGAUGGCGAUUAGCAUCGAUAACGCCGGUCAACGGCGGUGUAAUUUUUAUUUUAAAAAAUAAAAUUCUCUAUUUAACUAGGUAAUUUCAACCUGGAAGAGAUGUAGAGGGCUUUUUUCUAUUAUUAAUAUUUUUUAAUUUUAAAAAUGCCAUAAAAAAUACUAUGAAAUACAUUCAUCCAAUAUAACAACACAACUUAAGUACCUAAAUACCUAUUUUUUCCCCCCUAUCUCUCUCUCAAUUUUUUGAUAUUUUUUCUUUUUUUUAAAAAAAAAGUUACAGACUUUUUUAAUUUAAUUCCUUGCUCGUUAUAAUACGUAGAUAAAUUGUUUAAUUAUAGUUAGAUAGUCAUGGAAUAAUUAACAAAUUGUUGAAUCAUAAUCUGUAUAUUUUCGAUAAUAUUCGAGCAAUUAAAAGAAUUAAUUAAAUAAAACCAAACGUAGAUCGAGAAGGAAUAUGAGUAUCAUAAUUACGUAACCAUUGAGGUCGAGACUGGUUGUCACCUUGAGAAAAGGUCGCGCAACCAUAUGUAAUGGGUGUAGGCAGAGGCCGAGAGGCGUGCAUUUGGCAGUUCCAAUAUAAGGGCAUUUUAGACUUUUCAUCACAUGUUUUGUAUUCGGUGCAAAAUUUAAAUUCCUCAGAAUUUCCUCUUUAUGUACGUAUAGAAGCUCACAGAAUAAACAGUCGAACACUCAAGACCGAAACGUGAUGGGUGACGAAGAUCGAACUUUCUGGCGGCUUGAAUCAAAGAAUCCAUAGAUUUUACUUGGGAGAAAAGAAACGUCAAAAUAUAAGAAAAAAUAUACAAAAUAAAUAAACAUAAAACUAGAAAAAAGAAGUGCAUAAAUACACUCACAGAGAGAGACUCAGAGAGAGUGAGAGAGAGAGAGAGAGAGAGAGUUCUAGCAAGGGAGAGAAUGGUGCUGUGGGAGAUCACAUUGGGAACAGCGUAUUUCUUGGGACUGAAGCGGACUUACAGGCUUGCUUUGAGGAUUCAGCGUCGCGUUAUCAGCCCUAAGCACCCUCGGAUUCGUCAAUUUGUUCACCGGUGUAUUUGUGUCGUUUUAUUAUUAUUAUUAUUAUUUAAUUAUUUUGUUUUGAGUUUGAUUCUGAUUAAUUUGUAGCUUGAUGGGUCAGCUAUCAAUAUGGUUAUUAGCGGAUGAGUCACAGAUUGGGAAUGGGCAUUUUCAAGUGUAUUUAUUGAUUAAGCUAGGUACUAGGUAGUUCAAGUUUUAAUUUUCAUUAAUGGGUUCUGUAGCUAUGCUCGUUAAGACAAUAAGAGCUGGUGAUUUUAGAGUCAAAAGAGGAUUAUGAUGAUAAUGAUGAUGGUGUUGGUGGUGUUGAUAAUGAUACGUAUGACACUGAUAUGGGUAUACUAACAAUACAUUGCGAUAAACGACUAACUAAACCUAGGUUAAAAGUAAAAUUUAACCCUCUCUCUAGAUGAGUAGCGAAAUCCUAAGCAAAGAACCUCCACCGCCGCUGGUGGAUGAUCGUUCAACAAAAAAGGCAAGGUUUAGGGAGCAAGGUGUUGAUGCUGAUAAUCCACCGCCCUUAUCCUUUAAAGAUAAACUGAUGGAAGACCAAAAUGAGCUUGAAGAGGAGAUCUUGGGUAGAGAAGAAGACCUGGAAUUUGAGCCUGAAGACGUGAUUGUAGAAGACAAGAAUAGUAUCCCAUCCAUCUCUUUCUCAGGAAAGAUACAAGCUCAGCUCGUUAAGCCAUGGAUGAACACGAUUGUUGUCAAGUUGCUAGGGAGGUCUAUGGGAUAUAGGGCUCUCUGCAAUAAGCUGAAUGAUCUAUGGAGAACGUUGCAAGGCUUCACAGUUAUAGACCUGGAGAAUGACUUCUUCCUGGUUAGAUUCAAGUCUGAGAUUGAUGCACAGUAUGCUCUCACACAAGGGCCUUGGACCAUUCUUGGCCAUUAUCUCACCGUACAACAGUGGACACCUCAUUUUGAUAGUUCUAAUGUCAAUAUUGAAAACAUUGUGGCUUGGAUUCGCAUACCGGGUAUGCCUCUACACUAUUACCACAAAAGGAUCCUUCGCAUGAUUGGAAACGUCGUGGGAAAAGUGAUUAAAAUUGACUACAACACCGAGUCAGCAAGGAGGGGAAAGUUUGCUCGCAUUGCAGUGGAAAUUUCAUUAAAGAAGCCUCUCUGCUCACAAUUUUUUCUGGAUGGGAAGUUGCAAAAUAUUGAGUAUGAGAAUCUGCCUAUUAUUUGCUUUAAUUGUGGAAUUUACGGGCAUAAGAAUGAUGAUUGCCCACAGUCAAACACAUUGAAAAAUCCGAUGGAGAGUUGUGAGAAUAAUGUUGCGGAGGAUAAUCCCGGUGGUGGGGAGGAAAAGUCAUCAUCUUCUGAAGUUCCGGUUAAUCCUAGUUUUGGUCCUUGGAUGAUCGUCAGCCGGAAAGGGAGGGGAAGAGUCAGCAAGGAAGGCGGCUACACAAAAAAUUUCAACCGUUUCCGAGACGGCAAAAGUGAAGGGGGCUCUCGUUUCGAAGUUCUCGAGAAGGAGGAAACUGAAGAAAGAGAAAUUGCUCUCCCUCGAAACCAUAAUGUUUCCACAACCGAAAAUGAACAGCCAGUUACCCACUUUAAAUAUAAAACCAAAAGCAAUCCUAAAACCAACUCCACCAUGCAAAAACCAAGUGUCAACAAUGCCAAGCCCCAAUAUUUGAAUAUUGAACACUCUUUAUCCCCACCAGCUCCCAUGCAUGCAAGAGCACUACCACGUACCCUUUCAACUAACCAUGCACCCUCAACCGAUUUACCAGUUCCCACCACAGUCCCUACUAGCUUGGAUCCCGCAAAGCACACAGCCAUUAAAUUUAUUCCCCCAAGAGUUGAACCUUCAUCACUAAAUGCAAUUAUUGAUACAUCUCAAUCCAAUUUGAGGCUUGCUGUCCCCACCAUCUAUUUCGGAGACCAUGACAAACCCCCUGAUGAUAAUUUGGCUAUGGACGAUAAUGAAGAGAAUAACCCGGAUGAUGGAAACUCAAUGGAUGAUGAUAGUGAGUAUGAUUCAGCUUCUGUUGAUAGCAGGGCCUCUUUGGAGGAGAAAGAUAACAUGGAAUGUUAAUGAUGUCUCGUAUGGCCAAUCCUUUGUCUUUUUUUUCCUUAAUGAUGAAUUUAUCUAUCCUUUUUUGGAACUGUCAAGGGGUAUCUUCAUCGGGUUUUAAAAGAACUUUUAAAACCAUGAGCAAGAUUUACAAACCUGAUAUUGUUGCUAUUUUGGAGCCUAAAGUCAGUGGGGCUAAAGCUGAUUAUUUUAUUAAAGGAAGUGGCUUUGAAUUCUCACAUAGAGUGGAGGCUGAGGGCUUUGCUGGGGGUAUUUGGAUACUAUGGAAUAGAGGUUUCGCAAUGGAGUUUGUCGUUAACCACAAACAGUACAUUCAUUUUAAAGUUACAGACUUUUCUGGUAAUUGGUCAUGGGUCACUGCAGUAUAUGCCAGCCCCAAUCCCAGCCUUCGAAGGAAAUUUUGGAACGAGCUAGAGUCAAUAGCUAAAUCGAUAAAGGGACCUUGGAUGUUGGGUGGCGAUUUCAACUCAAUUCUUCAUGCUUUAGAGAAAAAAGGUGGCUCACCAAAAAGCAGUGGUAUUUGCAGAUCUUUCAAUAACUGGUUUCACGACAAUCGCCUUAUAGAUUUGCAUUUUAAAGGGCCUUGCUUCACUUGGUCUAGAGGAACCCUGUUUAAAAGACUUGAUCGUGCCAUUUGUAAUGAUCAUUGGAAUAGUUUGUUCACAGAAGCUUCGGUCUUACAUCUCCCAAAAAUUCACUCUGAUCACCGUCCAAUUCUUGUCAGCUUCGACUCAAAUUUGAAUAGGAGGAAUGGUGUAAAACCAUUUCGUUUUUUAGCAGCAUGGCUAAUGGACCAUUCUUUUAUUUCUCUCGUUGCUAAAGAAUGGAGGGAUUCUGAGGGGUAUUUUCAAGCUGCUCAUGAUUUUGUGGAUAAAGUCAGCAAGUGGAAUAGAGAUAAUUUUGGGAAUAUUUUUAAAAGAAAAAGGAGAAUUCUUGCAAGAUUGAAUGGCAUUCAGAGAGCCCUGGAGUGCUUUGAUUCAAAAAGGCUUCUUAAACUAGAAUCCAAAUUGAAGACGGAACUUGAAAAUAUUUUAUCCCAAGAGGAAUUAUUAUGGUACCAAAAGUCAAGGCGUGAAUGGAUUGCUUGCGGGGAUAGAAACACAGCCUAUUUCCAUAGUAAAACAAUUGCUAGAAGAAGAAGGAAUCGAGUGGAUGCUAUUCAAAAUAGCGAGGGCAAGUGGAUUUAUGACAAGGAAGAAAUUAAAACUCACGCCAUUGAUUUUUUCUCUAGACUUUUCAACUGUCAAGAUGAAGAGGUCCGAUUUUACUCCAUUGCAAAUGCCUUUCCAAAGAUUGAGGAAGACAGAAUAGCCGAUAUUUGCAGAGCUGUUCAGAGAGAGGAAAUAAAAGCUACUAUUUUCGGAAUGAAACCAUUAAAGGCUCCAGGAAUUGAUGGACUCCAUGCUCUCUUUUAUCAGACACAAUGGAAUGUGGUUGGUGCUUCAGUUUGCGAUCUUGUGAGUAAUAUUUUUAAAGGCAAUCCCCUUCCCCUAGAACUGAACAGGACCCUUAUUGUCCUUAUCCCAAAAACCAAUAACCCCACCAACAUGAAAUUGUUUCGUCCUAUCAGCCUUUGUCCAGUUCUGUACAAAACAGUCACAAAAAUUUUGGCAAACCGGCUAAAGGAGAUUUUACCUGACUUGAUUGGUCCAACUCAAACUAGUUUCGUCCCCGGAAGGCAUAUCACAGAAAAUAUUGUCAUGGCGCAAGAAAUCAUCCACACAAUGAAAAAUAAAAGGGGUAAAGUUGGGCAGAUGGCUAUCAAAGUAGAUCUUGAGAAGGCUUAUGACAGGCUCCGAUGGGAUUUUAUUCAUGAUACUCUUAAAGAUGUUGGGUUGCCUCAGGAGUUUAUUCGAAUUACAAUGGAAUGCAUCACCACAGCUAGAAUGCAAAUCUUAUGGGAAGGGGAGCUCACUGAUGAAUUCACUCCUUCUAGAGGCAUCCGACAGGGAGACCCUCUUUCUCCCUACAUUUUUGUUCUUUGUAUUGAACGUCUUAGUCACGGAAUUAAUCAAGCAGUGUCUGACGGAAGAUGGUGUCCUAUACGUCUUUCACAUAAUGGUGUCCCUCUAACACAUCUCUUUUUUGCAGACGAUUUGCUCCUUAUGGCUGAGGCUUCUUAUAAUCAAGCCCAAGUUAUAAAUAAUGUACUUGACAAUUUCUGCAGCUGCUCAGGGGAGAUGGUUAGUAAACAGAAGACCCGUGUGUUUUUCUACAAGAAUGUUGAAAAGGCUAUGGCAAGGAAAAUAAGUGAGUCUUUAGGUUUCUCUGCUACGGACAAUCUUGGCAAAUAUCUCGGAAUGCCGCUGCUUCAUAACAGAGUUACCAAAGCUACUUAUCAGGAGAUUGUGGACAAUGUUGAUAAAAAGCUGUCAGGGUGGAACUCAAUGCAUCUCUCUUUAGCUGGAAGAAUUACUCUUGCUCAAUCAGUUAUUCAAGCGGUUCCUAUUUUUGCCAUGCAAACGACAAGGAUUCCUCAGGGAGUGUUAGAUAAAAUUGAUCGGAUUUCUCGGAGAUUCAUUUGGGGAGGAAAUAAUGAAGACCGAAAAAUCAAUCUGCUUAAUUGGGAAAUGGUUUGUACACCGAAAUCUGGAGGUGGUCUUGGCUUGAAGAAUCUUUCUGAUAUGAAUAAUGCUCUGCUUAUGAAAAUUGGAUGGAAUAUGUUGGUUUCUCCACACAGUUUGUGGGUUAAGAUUCUGAGAUCUAAAUAUGGGCUUACCUCAGACUCUAUACCUAUAGCUAUUGACAAUAAGUGCAGUUCUUAUCUUUGGAAAAGCAUAAGCAGAAUCUGGGAUUAUGUGUUACGGGGCAUGAGAUGGACGAUUGGAGAUGGAAAUAAAAUUAACUUUUGGCAUCAGCGUUGGGUUUCAGAAGAAAUAAUUAUUGCAGAUUAUAUUACAAAGCCAAUUCCAGCUGAGUUAAUAAAUAAACGAGUGGCUGAUUUUGUAAAUGCUGAGGGGCAGUGGAACUGGAACAUGAUUAGUACUUUUAUCCCCAAUCAAAUUCUUCUCCAAAUUGCAGCGGUCAAGCCCCCGUCUGAUGGCAAAUGCGAAGAUCUCCUAUAUUGGGCUCACUCAAAAACGGGCAAGUUCACAUCUAAAUCAGCUUACCUUUUUCUGAAUAAUUCCAAUUGCAGCAAAGAUGCUCAUUUCUGGAAAUUAAUUUGGCAAUGGAAAGGGCCCCAACGAGUUAAAAUUUUUUUAUGGUUGGUGAUGCAUGGAAAAAUUAAAACUAGAGAGGAGCUUUUUAAGAGGCAUAUUCUGGAUAAAAUGAAUUGUGAAAGAUGUGGCCAUGAGAGAGAAAACGAGAUGCAUGCACUUAGGGACUGUUUUGUUGCAAAGAGAAUAUGGAAUUGUUUAAUUCCAGUCAACUUCAGACAUCAUUUUUUCUCCUUUAAUCUUCGUGAUUGGCUCUGUUUCAACUUGGGAAAGACUGGUAUCAAUGAAGUGGGGGAUGAAUGGGCAUGUUUAUUUGGAGUGGCUAUCUGGAAAAUUUGGUUUUGGCGUAAUCAAUUUCUUUUCUCACAAAAAUCCCCUUACUGCACCCAUGUUGUUGCUGAAAUUAAAUCUUGGGCUCAAGACAUUCAAAAUGCACGAUCAACUCUUAGUUUCGGUCAGAGUAAUAAGAUCAUCAAAGAUGUUAGAUGGCAAGCUCCCCCUGAAUCUUUUUUCAAAUUAAAUACUGAUGGAUCACGAUUAAAGAAUGGUCUAGCCAGCACUGGAGGCUUGGUGAGGGAUUGCUAUGGAAAGUGGCAGUUUGGCUUUGGCAUGAACAUUGGAUUUGGAUCGGUGACUACUGCAGAACUUUGGGGUCUUUUUCAAGGACUUAAUAUUGCUUGGGACCGUGGCAUUCGUUAUUUAAUUGCAGAGGUGGAUAGCCAAUGUGUUUCCCAACUUAUUUCCUCUACUAGUUUGAUGCCUAAUGCACAUUUUUCUCUCAUAACUGCCAUAAAGGAACUGAUGAAUAGACAAUGGCUCAUUACCAUAAAGCAUAUAUAUCGGGAAGCCAAUUUUGCUGCAGAUUCCAUGGCGAAACUUGCUGGUUCCUUACCCCUUGGACUUCAUGUCUUUGAAAAUCCCCCCGCGGGUCUUGGUUAUUGGUUAUGUAAUGAUAUAUAUGGGACCUCUAUUCCCCGUUCUGUUUUAGCCUAGUUUUACUAGGCUCCAAUGUAUCAAAAAAAAAAAAAACAAUACAUUGCGAUGCAAUGUUCUUUGUUUCACGAUUUUAUGAUAUUUUUCGAAAUUGAUCUUGGUAAUUUGAUUUAACUGUAUGGUUGUGUUUGUUAUUCGGAAGUUGGUUAUUGAUGCUUGCUAAAGAUCUAAUGUAAGAAAGCAGAGGAGAGUAAUGGAGUUUUAUUGUGGUAGGAAUUGAUUCCUUGGAGUAAUAAUGUGGCUUACUACCAGCUUGGCUAGACCGAGAACGGCUUAUUAGCAAAGGCAACGGACAGAAGGAGCCAAAAUUUUAGGUUUUCUAAGAAUAGGGAGAGGGUGAAGUAAAUAAAAUUACAAAUUUGUAAAAGAUCCUGAAAACCUGAUUUCAAAAGUUUAUCCAGAUAUAUGUGUUGUUGUCUACUCAUAUCAUAUAUUGCAGUGAAAGUAAGACAGGUUUACCUUAUAGAAACUAGUGUUGUGUGAACUUAACCAUGGAGUAACUAUAUAGGAAGCAACAGACGUGAGCUUUCCUUGUGGCAUCUUCUAUGUACUUAUAUAUUUCCUUAGGGAGUAAUCCUAUGCUGUCAAAAACCAUAAAAGCGUAUGCUCUUUUGGGAGGCAUUGCAUGGAUUUUGGUUUUCUUUUGGGGUCAAUGAUUCAUAGAAUUUCUUCUUGCUCUUCCCUUGUAUUCUCUCUUCUCACUACCUAUUUUACUGUUAUCUCUUCUAUUUCUCUUUCUUUAAAAGCUUUUCAGCUGAAAUUUCUACCUUCUUACGCCUCUUCAAUCGGAUUUUGAUGGAUCUUGUGGAGUUGAUUUUGUCAAAUCUGAAUUCAAUAUGUUGCAGCAAUGCAUCCUACCGCAUGGGAUUAUCUUAGACUAUGUGUCCACAAUAACGACAGCUUGUCUUUGCCUACGUAUUAAUCAUCUCUUUGAAAAGAUACUUUCACGGUGGUUCAUAAAUUGUUAUUCAUUGUCUGAAUUUUCUGUGUGAGUGCCCCAUGCCGUUAGACCAUCUCUUAAAAUGGAAGUUUUCUUGCUAGAUGCAUGAUGAGCAUAAUUUAUAUACAUAUUUUACCCUUAAUAAUAUAAUUGCUAGUUAUAUUUAUUUAUUAUUUUUAAUUAAUUGAAUUGUUUUAUUGAAUAGGGAAUUAAUUGGAGAUUGUUGAUAAAAAGGGCAUGAAAACACUUCAAAUUGAGAAGGAAUAAAGAUUAAAUUGGAAGACAAAAAUGCAACCAAGAAUUAAUGGAAGUCAAGAAGACCAAAAUUGGAAGUCAAUCUCUUCAAAGGAUGAACGGUCGGCAUGCAUUUGGAAAGCAAAGAUUUGGCAAUUUGGAAUGCAUGUGCUGGGCAUUAAAAGAAGAAAUCAUUAAUUGGCCUUUUGCUUUUGUGGUCAAACGUGUGCUUUGCUUUCAAAGUUUAAUAAGGAAAUAAUUUUAAAAGGCCUUGGUGAGUGGGCUUUAUAAGUCGGUGGAGAAGAAUUAAUGCAAUUAGAAUCCAAUAAGGAUUAAGCAAGUCAGUAACAUUAUAUAAAGGCAAGAGGGCCACGGGAGGAAGGAGGGAACUGGAGACGCAAGGAUUCAAGACAGAGAAGAAAAUCAGCAGCAAUAUUUCGGCUUCCCCAUGGCUGAAUUUAUUUAUUUUGUUGCUCCCAAUUCAAGUAUGUCUAGCUAAUUUUCUUAUACUGAGGUUAAGGAUGAAACCCUAUUCAAUGAAAUAAUUAUCUCUUUUUAUUUAAUUAAUUCCCUAUAUAUGUUCUUUGAUAAUUAUGGUUUUUAUUUCACAUGAUUAAUUGGAUGUUAUUAAAAUCUUUUCAUCAAUUCUGUCAUGCAUUAUUGAUUGUUAGGAUUAAUAUUCGAUUAAUUCUAUGCUUGGAUCUAUAAAGUUUAUACAUGAUUAUCUUUGAUUUUAUGUCUUUCAUUAAAUUGUUUACAUAGAGUGCUUAGGAAAACUUUGACUCUUUGUUAUUCAAUAUGUUUACAUGGGAGGCUUAGAUGUCAUAUUAUUAAGCAGAAAAAGAACCUACAUUAGAUUUAAUUACUUGGGCUUAAUUGUUAUAUCUAUGAGAUGACAUAGAUUGAUUUCGAGUUGUCACUCUAAAAUUGGGGAUUAAUUAAUAAUUAGAUAAUUACUAGUUGAAUAGUGGUGGAUUCUGAAACCUUGGUAAUUUCUAUCUUAUUGAAUUCUCUUUUAUUUUAAUUGCUUCCUUAGUUUAAUUGGUUUAAUUUUCUUAAAAACUCAAUUUGCUCAACUAGGUUAGGAGUAAUAUUAAUUUUAGAUUUAAAUUAGACUUUUUAUCAAUCCCUGUGGGAUCGACCUCGUUACCACUACUCUAUUUCUAGAUUCGUGCGCUUGCGAGUAUAUUAAAAUUUUCACAACAAUGCACCUAUUGUAUUCUGCUUGUUUACGUUUGAGUGUGCCCCAUCUUGGCUAUUCCAAUGAACUUAUUGCUUCCAAUCUAAUGAGCUCCAUUGAAGCUUAGUUAUACAGAGGUCAGCAUAUGUGUUUGAAUACGGCUAUAACAAAGUACCAAUCUAUAUUUUAGCUGUGUUAAUUAUAUAGGAAUAUGAAGGGAAAAACUUUAGUUUAGUAUUUCAACUAGUUCAUUGUGCAUCCUGUCACUUCUACUUCAGCUUGGAUGUAAACUGAUGUGAAUGGUUCACAUUGACUUGAUAUCAUGUGCAAUAUGAGAGACCACUGAGCUCUUCCCUCAAAGCAAUUAUUCUUUCCUAUCUGACUUAGAAUGGCCCUGUGCAUUUCAUAAUAAAAUCAGCUUCUAAAUCUGUGAUCUUAUGACAUAUUGUAUAGGCUAGGUUGCUGAAUUUUUUAUUUAACCAAUUAUGGAGCAAAGCCAAUCCUUAAAAGAUUAAGAGAAGUUACUAUCAACUCAGUUGAUCGUUGAAUAUCUGCAACUGCAACCUGCAUUCCCUCGCUCUAGAUUGGUGCAUAAUUUCUAUUGCGAAGUUUUGCAAACCUCCAACUAGUUUUGUCUAUGUGCCAAUUAUGGGAUUUGAAUUAACUUAUCUUUUAGAUUUGCUAUACCAAACUUUUAACGAAAUGUUUUUUGCUGUUUUGGCAUUAUGUUGAACAUUGAUGUCAAAAUAACAUGUUUGCCAGCUUCUUGUAGUACCUGUAGGUGAAGCAGUCAGAGAGUCUCAUAUGUAUUCCUGUGAACUUAUUACCCAAUCAAGCUACAAUGCUCCGAUACCAGAACUAAAUUCAUUAUUAUGAGCACAUUCUUAAAUUGCUGUCUCUCUUUGGGUGAUAUGAAGAUUUUGGAGAAGCAAAGGUACUAACGUCCAAAGCUGGAGGUCAUAGCUGUACUCUUGUUUAGUUCGGAGAGACUGUUUUGAAAUGAUACAUUGAAAGUUCUUCUGUGCUUUUCUUUUUAAUGAGCUGUUGUAUUUUGAUGUUUAUUAGGAGGACGUUAUUAACUUCAUGAAGGUAAGUUACCAGGGCACAUUUCUUUGUUCCAGAAUCCUUCCGAUCUAGUUGUAAUUAUUCAUGAAAGCCUCUGGAUAAAACGGAAAUCCUAAAUUAGUUAAUUGUUUCAAUACUUUGGACUUUGAAUUGAUUUAGUAUGCCUCAUGAAACCAAUAAUUGCACAUCCUCCACUCUUAGAGUCUCAGUGUGAUAUUGACCACGGUACUGCCUGAGCAUUGCAUUCUUCCCACUGGUUGGCUCAUUGGAUUCCAUUCUACUGUUUAACUACUGCUGUUAUGUCAGUUACUAGCUGGCAAAUACUGUUAUUUCUACAAUUGUUUUGAAUAAUAACAAAUUUAUUACUCCUCCAACUUGGAACUGCCAUUGUUUUUUGAAGACUGACCUUCAUUCUUCAUUGAUUUUUUCCACAGCCGAGUACGUGCUGCCUUUGAUGUUGCUCUCAAGUUUCACAGGAACAUACAAGAGAGGGACAUAGAAGUUGGUAGAAAUGUUGGUAACUGGAUUCUACGUUGGCUUGACCGAAUGAAAGCAUCUGCCCAGAUACGUGGUCCGCCUGAGAAACUGUCACAUGGCUCCAGCAUGAGCAUGACCAGCCAUGGAAUGAAGUCCUCGAAUCCAAAAACUCCUGGAGUCCAAACAUCUAAACCAACCUUUUCCACCAUUGCCAUGAUGAUGCGGCAUCCAAGACCUGCAGGAACCACAACCCAGUAUAGGCAUCUUGAGACAAAUGGAUCUGAUCUGUUGAGUUUGAACUACAAUAGAAAUGGGUUUGAUGGAGUGCUGCGAAAGGACAUUAUGCAGUGGUUGCUGCAAAAGUGAAGGUAGAAGCUUAUCAGACACCUGUUCCUUUCUGAAGUUUUAAUCGCCAAUAAUUCAGUUAUAAUAUCUCACUCAAACCGCUCGCAUUAUUGGACUCCUAAAUUUGAAAUUCAUCCAUGCUAGUUAUGGACAUGUUGCUUGAUGCACUAAUUACUGGAGGGCUGCGUGCUGCGAAAGCUGGUAAAGAUAGGUUUUAGUUGUUCUGCUUCUGUACUCAAAGAUAGUAAUUGUUCUCUCCGUUUUCAGUGACUAGGUUUUUUGUUUCCGAACCAGUAACUGCAUAGUUGCUUCUGGUAAUGUUUGUUUGUUUCUUUGUUUGUGAUGCACAUUCCCCCAGAUUGGAAACGGCUGUGGUGAUGGCGAUCAUCUUUCUCUGUACUUGGCUUUGGGAGAUUCCACAGUCGAGGUGAUUAAAGAAUAUAUAUGCAGAGCAUACAUUGCGAAUCAUAGAUCAAGUGGGGGCGAAACAUAAAUCUUUUCGAGGUAAAAUGUGUGUGUUUACAUGCAAUUAGUAUUUGAGGCAAAUCCAAAUAAUAUAACGAGAGUGUUCCUUUUACUCUAGCAGAGAAUAAAUACUGGUUCCAUACACCAAGCGAUAACUGUGGCCGGCCAAGAUUCAUUUCAUUGAGUGAGUUAGAUGAGCCAGAGACUGGAUUUCUAGUGAAUGGCGUUUGCGUGGUGGAAGGCUGGAAGUGGAAGCUGAGGUCACUGUGCUUGUAAUUUCCGAGCCAUUAUAACAAGUAAUUAAUUGUCCUCCAAAUGGGUUCUUUUAUUGUGUGAUGCUGACUGCCUGGCUAAUCUAGGAAAUUUAUUUCUCUUGUGGUUUUCCAAAAUAACUCUUACGUUGUUUAUUGUUUAUGCUGUCCAGCUAACUUUUUAGUGUGAUUUUGGUUUUCUAUUUCUCUGCAUCUCUUUAAGGAGAAAUUCAUUAUAUCCCCUACGCUGUAAUGCUUCUCUUCUAAGAUUUUGAUUUUAAAAAAAAAUAAGAAAAAAGAAAAAAAAAUGUAGUUGAAACGAAGAAAAUUAGGUGCAAGAGAACUAAUAAUUUCACUUAGAAAAUUAAAACAAAGUAGAAUAGAAUCUUGUUGAAUUAAUAUUGGAUAAAUUGAUAACUUUGAUUAAAUAAUAGUUUUUGUCAUUGUAACUUAGAGUCAAUAUGGUAAAUUAAUAAUUCGAUAAAUUUUAUUAGAUAAUAUAUUUUAAAAAAUUAUUUUUCUAUAGGACCCAAUUAAUACAUGUAUUAAUAAUUAAUUAAUUUAAAGCUAAAUAUAUAUGACAUGUCAAUGAUUUUUUUUUUUUUUGUUGUUGCGCUGACAUAAUGCUUUAUGCAUUUUAUCGAUCAUUAUUACUUUUUAUACAAGAGAAGUUAUUGUUCUAUUAUAUGUGUUGUGGUAAGAGAAAUGAGAGAGAGAGAUCGGUUUAAUCUAUUACCUCCAAAAAAUCUCUUUUGAUGAGUCACCAUGUAAUCGUGAUCCAGCCAUGCAAUCUAACCAAAGAAUUAUCAAGUGAUUGAUUCACUCAAUCAAGAUCAAAUCAAAAUCCUAUCAUACAACUUGAUAAAAUCACUAAAUUCUCUAAUUAUGCUACCACUGUAUUUCAUAAAAAAAUUCAAUUAUCAACGUGAUAUUAUAUCUAUAAAGAUGAAUAAUAUUCAUUAAUUUAUGGAUAUAGCCAAAGUGCCAAACUGCCAACCAUUUUGUUAAUAAUCCAGGGAAGCAAGAAAAUAAGGCUUUUUGCGGUUGAUUAAAGUCCCCGCAAACAAACCAUAUUUACUAGUAGUGGCGUGGAUAAUGCUAAUUAAUUACUAAAUUAAUUAUACUAGCAAUACUACCUUAGGAUAUUUUGUUAAAUUCUCUAGUAAUACUACCUUAGGAUCACUAAAUUUUCUAAUUAUACUAGCUCAGAAUCACUAAAUUCUCUAAUUAUGCUAACACUAUAUUUCAUAAAAGUUCCUGUUAUCAAUGUGAUAUUAUUUCUAUAAAGAUAAAUCAAUAUUUAUUAAUUUAUAGAUAUAGCCAAAGUACCAACCAUUUUGCUAAUAAUCCAGGGAAGCAAUUGAUCCACUACAAGCCAUAUUUACUAGUAGUGGCGUUGAUAAUGCUAAUUAAUUACUAGUACUAUUUCUACAAUGAUGCUUCUAUUCAUGUAUCAGUGCAAUAAGUGAGCUACUGAUAAUCGUGGCUCUGUUUUGGACUUCAAUACCUUUGAAGAGCCAUCUAGCGGUCUUGUAGUUGUUUCACAUUAUAUGCGAGGGAGGAAGGUUAUGUUCUUUUGUGGUAUCACUGCUCCAUUAACACUUUGCCCAUGUUUGAGUAUCAUAUUGGCAUUUUUACGUUGAUUAACUAAUUAACAUAAAUAUAUCAUCUAAGCUGCUAUGCACAACGCUGUGGUUAGAUCUAAUUAGGAUUCAAUAAUAUCGUAUUUUUCAAUAUUAACUUGGGGAUAUUCUGUCGAUCUAGACUUACUUCAGCUUUGAGCUUUGAAGUACAUUUUAAUACUUGCACAUUAUUAUACAUGCGAUUAUUAUCUAUAUAUUUGUUAUGUUUACUUUAAUUAUUAACAAUCAAGAAAUUUCUCCACACAAAAAAAUCUGUGAAAUGAACAAUCCCGACAUGAGCUUAGAAUUUUCUAAGCGCUGUAACGAAGAUUAGUACAAACCAAAGAAAAUUUCGAUUGAGUUUGUAUUUUCGAGUUUGGUCAAUUAGAAAGUAGGAUGUAGACAGUCCAAUCAUUAGGCUUUUUAUUAAAUUUAUUUAUUUAUCCCCUAAUUUAGUAAUUAAUGAAGAUUCAUUGUAUAUUUGCUUAAAUUAUGUUUAUUCAUUGUAUUUUCAAGCAUCACAUUUUUGUGUUCUAGAUUCUAUGAUUUUUUACUUUUUUUUUGUAGAGAUCGGUGAAACUUAGUACACGUCCUCUGAGUAAUUUUAUUUUUCUUUUAUUUAAAACGACUUCGUGCUGUCCAAGUUACCAAAAAUAAAAAUAAAAAUUCAACAACUUUUUGGAGAACUUUUCGCAAUGGAAAAUAUCUUUGUUUAACAAAGAUGGUAUGUAUGUUCAACUUUUUCUCACGUUCUCUAGAGGACAAUAUUCUUAAAAUUUUCAGCUUAUUUUUAUUUCUAAUCAAUCGGUGUUAAUUAAAAAUUACUUAAAUGUAUAGCUAUUGCAAGAUACACUUCACUACCACCGGCUCAUUACAUUGUCAAAAUAAAAUCAUUUUCAUUACUUGCGGAAAAAGCAGAAGAGGAAUAUGAAUCAGGAGAGUUUGAAGUUGGAGGAUACAAGUGGUACACAUAUAUAUAUAUUCUUAUCCUUAAUAACACAAGUUCAUUUACUUUGGAUUGGGAAGUCUCUGCAGUUUUUCGUCUGUUCUUACUUGAUCAGAACCAAGAAAACUACUGUGUAGUUCAAGGUUAAAUCAAAUUUAGUGUGCAGAAUUGUAUAUUGCAACAUUAGGAAAAAAAAUUGAAUGCAUGCAUAAUGAGUGGUUGCUUGUAAUAUGAUAGAUAUCAUGGGAAAGGAAAGACUGUUUAAUGGACUGAAGCAUGUAUGGGGUUUCGAUAAAUUCAUCCCGCUUAGAGCUUUCAAUGAUACUUCGAAUGGAUACCUUGUCGAAGAUACGUGUGUUUUUGAAGCUGAAGUCAAGAAACAAAUUCAAAGAAAUUUCAAUUAGUUGUAAGUGUAUUUCGAAAAUCGAGAACUUUUCAAAGUUAGACGCAGGAUAUGAGGAAUCACAAGUUUUCGACGAUGGAAAUCACAAAUGGUAUCAAAGAUUUUAAUUUUUAAAAAAAAUUUCUACAGGUAUAAUAAAUAAUGAGUUCUUGGGACAAAGUUGUCAGUGAGUCUACAAAUAAUAAAAUACCGUUUCGGUGUUUUCAGGAAGACAGAGCUACACCCAUGGGAGCUGGGCCCGAUGCUGGUGAUUAUCUUUCCUUGUUCUUGGUUUUUGGAGAUUCCACAGUUCGGAGUACUGUUAAAGUAUACGCAGAGUUUACAUUUCGAAUCUUGAAUCAAGUUCGGGCAAUGCAUGAAUCUUCUUAAGGCACAUUGCUUGUUUUAAUACGCAACUAAUUUAGUUGCCACUGGCAGCUUGACCGAGUGAUUUUCAAGCAGUUUUCUUUAACUUUUGAUUUUGAAAGUACCUUUAACCCAAAAUAAUAAUAAUAAUAAGCUUAAUUUGAGGCUAUAGAAUUCAAAUAAUAUGUAUAAUGAGAAUGAUUCUUUUUCUCUAGGAGGUAGAGAAAGGUUCCAUUGAGUAAGUUAAAUGACCCAGAGAAUGGGUACCUUGUGAACGACGUUUGCGUUGUGGAAGCUGAGAUCACUGUGCUCAGAAUCUCCGAGGCAUUGUAAUAACAAGUAUUCUUUUUGGUUUCUCACGAAAUAAAGAAAUUCAUUGAUUUUUUGCUUACUUAUGCGAUCACGUUUGUUCAUUGACAUAAUUCUUAAUCCUGGAAGGAAAUCUCUGACAAUCUUAAUCCUGGAAUAAAAUCACAUCUAUCAAAUAUUAACAAGUGAGAUGGUGACAAAAACUCUUAGUUUUUAAUUAAAGAGUAAGUAUUGAUAAGAUAAAUUGAGUACAAUAGAGCAAGAAAUUAAUAUUACAUAAAAGGAAUAUCAUUUAUGGACAUUUAAGAAUUCAAAAGUAGUUUCUAAACUAAAAAAAGGAUCAGUAGCUAAAGUACUACUUUGUUACGUUUCACAAAAAUAUGUUACUGCAAAAUAAGAUAAUUAAUUUGGUGAAUAUGAAUGGUCAUAACAGUCCACAACAGUGAACUAGAUAUUAGAUUUUUAUUUGUGCUUGGUCAGAAAAGAGACGAGUUCUUGAUUCUUCAAGGUCAAUUAUUAUACUCAACAAUGUUUAUGAUUAUUUUGUUCUUAUUUAAUUAUUUAACUAACAGUUAAUCAAGGAUUUGGGGUCACCUUCAUGAAAUAGAUGCCAUGGGAAAUGAAAGAAGCUUGAAUUAGGUUUUGAUCAAUUGGGAAUUUAACGAUGCUUCGAAUGGAUAUCUUGAAGGACAUACGUGUGUUUUUGGAGCUGAAGUCUUUGCUAAGAAAGGAACAAAGGCGAAGGAGAGUGCCUUUAAUGAUGAAAUUCACAACUGCUUCCAUUUAUAAGCAUGUUUGGAAGAUCCAGAACCUCUCAAAGUUGCACUCAAAGCGUUACGAAUCAGAAAUAUUCAUUGCUGGAGACCAAAAUCUGGAUUUGAUGCUCAAGACCAGACGUUCAUAGUUUAUGAAAUCUCGAUUCGAACUAUAAUCAAAGUUGUACAUUUUAUAACGCUGCACAACUCUAAUAUAUAGUAGCCUAAUCUAGACAUCUGUAACUGAACAGGACUAAUACUUAAGGUUCAUUUAGACUUGUGCGAUAUGUUUCUAAUGGUAAUACAAAAGAAAUUAGAAUAGUACAACUUGUUAAAAAGGUGCAUCAUGUCAAAACCACUUCUCCGAAUGUAUAAUGUAAAUGAUUUUCUAAAAUUUGUUUGUUUCUCUAUUCAUAUAUAUAAACUAAAUGCCACAUUUGGAAGUUAAUGUUUUAAUAAUUUGUUCAAUUGAAUGCCGAGACUUAAACUUUACCCUUGUUGAUUUUUUCAGGAAGAUAUACCUCUAUCCCAAGGGAAGAGAGAGAAGGACCUGGCAGUCAUAUUUCUAUGUAUAACACAGGGGUGUUUGAAAUAUUUGGUCUUCAAGUUAUACCAAGUGCAGUUCAAGUUCUUACAUUAAUCAAGUGAGCAGAAUUUCUGUGCAGAAGGGGCAUCUUUGGGAAUUAAACUGUACUGCUUGAGAUUGAAUUAAUUUUCGAGCCAUACAUCAUUGGAAAGAUAUUUCUGUUAGCUUUCCAAUAAAUUUUACUAAUAUAAAUUUGGAGCUUUCUACAAUAAGUUAUGAUCAGUUAAGUGCGGGCUGUUCAGUUUUGAGUCAAGAAGAAUAUUUCUGGAAUGCUCUUUGCUGUGUUUUAAGCAUACCAAUGUUUUAUUAAUGUCUAGCUUUAAUGUUGGUCUUUGAAGUCAAGUCAUUUAAAGGGUUUCUUUGUAGUAUAUCUAUGCUUGGAGGAUUGUUCCAAGAAAGUUAUUUAAGCUUAUGUAGUUGUAACCAAAAGAUAGAGAUUAAUUUUGGGGAUUGGGUGAACUUUGAGUUAUUAUUAAACUAUGUAUCUCUUUGGUGGAUUCCAUUGAGUGGUGAGUAUUUUAAGCCCUGUAUCCUUAGCUUAACAACUUUAGGUGGUGAAUUUUUUUUCUGUAUCCUUUUGUUGUUUGCUGUGGUGAUGAGCUUGUGAUUUCUUGGGUGUGUGACGUUGUGUUUUCUCAUCUAUUGUGUCCGGUGUCAAAUUUGGUAUCAGAGCUUUGGGUUCUGAAAAUUUAUGGCCCAACGAUGUCGACGUAAUGCAAGAGUUGCAGAGCCUCCUGUUCGUGAGAGGGACUUGGGUGAUAGAGAAAGGGAUGAUCUUAGAAGGCAAGUAGAACAACUUCAGCAACGAUUACAACACCUUGAAGGAACUUGAGAAGCUGCUCCUAAUAGUAGUUCGGAAGAAAAAGGCUCAAUCAAUGACGGGGUAGAUUAUAAUCCCUUCCAUCAAGAACAAAGCUCCAAUAGUGAAUUUUCUUCUCGUUCUCGAAUUCAUAGGCAUCGCAAUUCUUUUCAGCCUUUCGACUUCAAGGUCGAAAUUCCUAAAUUUGAAGGAAGAAUGCAACCAGAAGAGUUUGUUGAUUGGCUUAAUAUUGUUGAACACAUUUUCGAAUACAAAGAUGUGCCUGAAGAUCGCAAAGUGAAACUUAUUGCCAUUAAACUUAAAAAGUAUGCUUCUUUAUGGUGGGAAAAUCUUAAGAGACAAAGGAAAUGAGAGGGACGGAGGAAAAUUGUUACUUGGGAGAAAAUGAAAAAAGAGCUUAAGAGAAAGUGUUUGCCCGAUAACUACAUGCAAGUUAUCUACCUUAAGUUCCACAACUUCAAGCAAAAGGAAUUGUCAGUGGAAGAUUAUACAGCAGAGUUCGACAACCUAAUGAUGAAGUGUGAUUUGGUAGAGGCAGAAGAGCAUACAAUCGCACGCUAUCUGGGUGGUUUAAAACCUGAGAUUGGUAAUGUGGUCCAGCUCCAAUCAUAUUGGACUUAUAGGGUGUGUUUGGUACACGUAUUGUAUUAUUCUGUAUUGCAUUAUUUUAAUGCUGGUGUAUUGUAUUAUGUUGUAUUGCAUUAGCACUGUAUUAUAAUAAUAUUGUACAAUGUUUGGUGCUACAAUAUACUGUAUUAAUUUUUAGUUAUACUAUGUUUGGUGUUGCACUGUACUAUAUUAAUUUCUUUUGGUGAUUAAUUUUAAUUAUAUAUUUAGAAAAUAAUAUCUACUAGUACUUAGAAAAAUACUAAAUAUAGAAGUGUUAAAUUUAAGAAUUUUUACAUCAAUUUUUUUGUUUAAAUAAAAGAAUCAUAAUUCUUUAUGUAAAACUAACAAAUUCUAAGAUUUACAAUGAUAUAAGAUUUAUUUUUUCAAUAAUUCGUAAAUAUAUAACCUAUGAAAUAAAGAUUGAAACAAAUAAUCCAAUCAAAUAGCAUUUAAAAACUAUCACAGCAUAAAUAAAAUAAACUAUCACAAGAUUCAUUCAAAGUUAAUACAUACUUCAAAAACAUCACAAAUUAGUAAAGUAACACAAUAGUUGUUUGCGUUCGAUAAUUUAAGUACACACAUCUACAAGCCAAACUCCUAAUGCAAAAUAUCAUUGUUUAGUUAGAAAUCCAUACUCUCUAAUCAAAUUCCACCUCUCCUCUCAUGCUCACGCAAAAGCAUCCUAACAUAAGCCAACUUACGAUCACGAUCAUUUCAUAAUACUUUGAAAGCCCUUAUAUGUGAGGGCUUCUCAGCCAUCAAAUUUAAGGCAAUAAGCUCGUCAUCCACAGAAAGUCCCAUCGAAGCAAGCUCUCUACCAAUGUACUCAUGAUCUUCACUACUUCCAAACAUAUUAUGAGACAUGUCAGCGUUGACUUGGUGAAACGCUGAAACCAAUUUGUCAAUACCACUAGCAAUUUGUUCAUCUAAUUUAGACCUCCUCCUGUUUGAUGAUUGUGAACGUGAUCGAGUAGUGUAUUGAGAAUUUGAAGGCAGUAUAGUUGACAUUGGAGAACCUUCAUCAUCAUGAAUUUCUUCUUGAAGUGCUGCAUUAGCCAUAUCAUUUGGAGUUUCUGUUGAACUUCUAGUUGCACGGUCUUUUCCAAAUAUGUUUGCUAGCCUCUCAUAAUAUGGAAAUGGCUUAUCUCUCCAAUUUCUUGCAUCUUUAUGGGACUACAAUAAUAAAAUAAGAUAAUGAAAUAAACUCUAUUAUAUUCAUAACAAACAAAUUAAGGACAAUGUUUGCAAAUGAUGACAUAAAAAGAAAUAAUUUUCUUUACUAACCUCCACAUAUGAUCUCCAUACUUCGUCACUGUCAACCACUACACAUUUUCUCACUUCAUUCCAGCCAAAACCGCUAGUGUUCAACAUAUCAAAUAUCACUCCAUAACUUUUCUUCCAUAUCCUUAUCUUAGAAUCAAUAUGUGGAUACGCCUUCAAACCGCUCCCUGGUAAUAGUUUUUCUAUUUCAUUUUCAAUAUAUUUGUAACUUCCAGAUUUAAAGGUGUCGUUAUCAGCUCGACCACUAUUUGCAACUACAGCAUCUAAAAUGUUCAACAUUGCCUCUUCUUGGUCUUUUGUCCAUACUCGUCUUGAUCCUGUCUUAUUUCCAAUAGUAUGGCUUGGUCCUCCACUCUCCAUUCCUACAAAAUAAAUAUUAUAACAAUUUUUUGAACAAGUAACUAAAAUAUAACACCAAGUCAAUUCACAUCAAUAAACCUCGAUAAAUUUCUAAUGACAUCAAAUAUAAAUACAAGGUUACAACCUUAGACAUUUUCCUAAUGACAUCUAUAUACUAACAAAAGUACAGCUUCCAAUGCUUUCCUAAUCACAUCUAUAUACUAACAAAAGAUGGUUUCCUAACGAUCUCUGUAUACUAACAAAAGUACAGCCUCAGAUAUUUUCCUAAUUACAUGUAUAUACUAACAAAAGUAAAUGCUCGGAUACUUUCCUAAUGACAUCUAUAUACUAACAAAAUUACAUGCUCAAAUGCUUUCUUAAUGACAUCUAUAAAUUAGAUAAGUCCUAAUUUCCAAGCCAAUUAUUAUACAUAGUAGUAGCUAGAUCAUCCCUCCAACUCGUCCACUGGUCUGAAGCUUCAAUGCUACUUAUACUAUCAUUAUCUUCUGCUUCAUUAUUAGGUAAGUCAACUAAUUCUUGCUCCAUUGGAUCCACAGACAUUUCUCUCCUAAUCAGAUUAUGCAAUAAACAACAUACAGUAAUAAUGCGACAUUGGGUUUUAAUUGGAUAAAAUAAAGGACUUCGAAGAAUAGCCCAUCGCAUUUUGAGCAAUCCAAAACACUGUUCAAUUACGUUUCUUGCUGAUGAAUGUUUCAUAUUAAAGAAUUCUUCUUUAUUGCGAGGAGCACACCCAUCUCUCCAUUCCGAUAAAUGAUAUCUCGUUCCCCUAUAUGGUGCAAGGAAUCCUUCAGCAUUUGUAUAUCCAGCAUCCACAAGAUAAUAAUAACAUAUUUAUUUCACAUAAGCAUUAAUAUAAUUUUGAUUUUGAAUAUGUAAUUUGAUUAAAUUAAUUUUUUGGAUUGAGUAAUACCUGCAGGAACUUUUAAACCAGUUGGUUUAUUUAAUGCAUCGCGAAGUACUCUUGAGUCAGAGGCAGAGCCUUCCCAUCCGGGCAUCACAAAGAUGAAUUUCAUAUCUCGUGAACAUACCCCUAAAACAUUUGUAGCAAUCUCACCCUUUCUUAUUCGAUAUCUUGGUUUAUCAUUUUCUAGCACAAGGACUCUAAUAUAAGUUUCAUCCAAUGCCCUCAAGCAAUUCUACAUGCACAAAACAAACGAAAAUUUAAUUAGCAUUAAAUUAUCAAUCGCUAUAAUAAAAUAUAAGUAAUUGAAAAUGUACCUUAAACCACUUCCACCUUUCAUCAGUGCAAUUCUCUGGUACGAGAUCUGGCACCCUUAGUAAAAUAUCGUGUAGUCGUAAUACUCCGUUGAACACUGAAUUGAAGUAUCUACUAACAGUCUCACCAGAUCUAAAAAACCUACUACCAAUUGUGCGAUUCUUAACACGAUGAGACAAAGUGUGUAGGAAUAUGCAAACUUGCUCUUCAACAGCCAAUGAACCACUAGCCUUUAGUCCCCUCGAUCGAAGUAGCUCACAUAGUAGGCCAAAUGUCCUUCUAUCCAUUCUUAGUUGAUUUACACAUUGAAUGUCACUAUUGCCUAUAAUGGUAUCUAAGUAUUGUAGUCUAGUAGCAUGGAAUUGGAAUGUACGACUACGAAUCAUUUUUCUUUCAUUAUGCCUUCAGAUCAACAUCAUUAACAAAAAAUACAUCAUAGUGAACAUGAACCUCAAUUUCAUUGGCCACAAGAUGAAAGAAAAUUUUCUUCUCAUGUCUAUAUCUAACACAACCAAUAAAAUGAGGGAAAACAAUCAGCUAGUAGACCAUUUGAUAAAUUUCCAUAAAGUUAGAUUAUAUUUCCAUAUAAAGGCUAUGUUUCAACACUUGAGCUAAAUAGAAUCACAAAGAAGAGAAUAGAGGCAGAUGAUGAUCAUAAAUAAUAAUAAUAAUAACAAAAUCAUGCCUAUCACACGAUAUAACAGAGGGUACAAGAAAUAUAUUGAAAUCCAAGGAAUUAUAUAUCAUAAGUCAUUUCUUGUUGAACAAAUAAUAAAUGGUAAGAAAUUGAACUCACUGGAAGCAAGCAGCAGUCGUUGGAAGGAAAUUCCAAUUUACGUAUUUUUUUUGCAACCUAAAUAAAAAUAACCCAUUGAAAUGAAUAAAAAAGAUGUCGAUUUUAAUGAAUAAUUAAAUCUGAAAAAAAAAAUCAUACAAGGUAUGCAACAUUUGCUAACUACAAUAGCUAUAAAUAUGUGUGUGUAUUUAGCAACUAAUAAGUCCUUAUAAAAUUCAUAUGAGUACUUAAACUCAAACUCUUUUACUCAUACACUAAUUUUUUUCCUUUUAAUUUAUGAAUGGACAACAAAACUUGAGAAACUUUUUUAUCCCCACAUAACAUGAAUUUGUCCAGGAAAAGAUUAUCCAUUGCACCAAUAAUACUCUACAGGUGGUCAUAUAUUAUAUAAAAGAAGAUAAUGUUCAACAAUAAUGGUAUUUUGAAUUUUUUGUUUGGUCUUUAAUCAUUUGGUCAUAAAGUUACUGUCUUUUUUAAUUUUAUCUUUUGACCAAAAAGUGUAGCACAAUCAUAAAUAACAAAUUGCAACUUUUCCAGAAACACCAACAGCAGCAUGAUAUUAUCGCUUUCUCUAGUUACAAUAAACAUAUUUAAGGAAGUUAAAGCAAAAGCACAUGCCAGGACAAAUUUACAUGUUAAUAUUAAACAAUGAACAAAAAAUAAGAAAGCAACUGGAAUUACACAAUUCCAAGACACCAGAUAAAAAAAAUUUCCCAAUAACAUAUCACAAAGAGAGUUGUGCAUUGCCAAAAUCAGAGAGUGAAAAUAAAUAAUCAAACCCAAAUAGAAUUCACCAGACAUUAUAUCACAAAUUUAGAGAUGCAGCAACGUUAACGGAGAAAGAACUCACAGAUUUAGAGAGACAGCAACGACGAAGAGAGCAGUAACAACAACACUAGAGAGAGCAACGAUGAAACAGAUAGAGCAGUAACGAGGGAGAGACAGCGGCAGCACAGAGAGAGAUCACCAAUAGCGAGGGACAGAGCAGCAACACUGGAGAGAGCAAUUAGCCCCUUAUUUUCCAUAAAAAUCAAUUGCCAUGAAUGUUUGAUUAUAACGGAAAAACAUGAUUAAAUUGAAAGCAAAUAAAAUAAAACCCUAAUCUAGAAAUUAAACCCAAAUGAAAUAUCAAACCUUAGGUAGUGAAGGACAGGGAGAAUAGUUGUAUUGCACAGUAGAGAUGGUGUUGCAGCGGAGGUGGUGUCAUGCAGUGGGGUGAAGUGGAGGUGGUAUCACGCAAUGGGUGGGUGUCGCACGAUGAGGUUACGUUGGAGUUGGUGUCGCACGACAAAGGCUGUUGAUGUUGUAGUGGAGCGUCGUGGAGUUGGCUCUUGUUAAGCCACUGCACAGGAGAAAUCACAGAUCGAACAAGGAGAGCUAUUUUGGUUUAUUUGAGGACAAGGUGAGAACGAGAAGGAAGUCUAAUUUUUUUGGUCUCAGAAAUAGUUGCAAAACCCGCAUAAACCCGACCCCCCUUGGGGUUUAGUUUAUGCAGGUUUGACUGCAUAAAAUUUUGAGUUGACCACAUUGUAAUACUAUGUGAUGUAAUUGCCAAACAUGGUAUUAUAAUACUCUAAUACAAUGAGUAGCUCUAAUACCAUAACCAAACAUGCCCAUAGUGAUGUAUGCAGACUUGCUCUUAAGGUGGAAAAGUAACAAAAAGAUGCUCGUGGUGGGGGUAUUUGGUUCAUAGUUCGUGAUGUCAAUCGAGGGAGUGGCUCCGUUUCUAAGCAUAAUUCUUGUUUGAAUUCUACUGCAAAGAAAAUUACGAGGAAUGAUAUCGGGGAAUGAUCUAAACAGCGAGCAAGUGGUUCGAAUGCUAGUUCUCGUCAAUGUUUUAAAUGCCAUGGUUAUGGGCACAUUGCUUCUGAGUGUCCUAAUCGUAGGGUGGCUGAUCUUGUUGAAGAGGAAAGCGAUGACGAGGAUGCAGAAGAUCAUGAGAAUCCUAGUGUCGAAAAGGAUGAUGAAGAUAGAUAAGUUACAUAUGCUGAUAAUGGAAUCUCUCUAGUUAUUUAAAAGAGUUUGAGUAUUGUUUGUGAAGAUGGGGAAGAUUGACUGAGAAAGAAUAUCUUUCACACUAAAUGCACUUGUCAUGGAAAGGUAUGUAAUGUCAUUAUUGAUAGUGGCAGUUUUGAGAAUGUGGUAGCAACUGAAAUGGUAAAGAAGUUGAAGCUCAAAACGGAGCAGCAUCCUCAACCUUAUAAACUUUCUUGGCUUAAAAAGGGAAAUGAGAUUGAGGUAAACACACGUUGCCUUAUUUCAUUUUCUAUUGGGAAUAAAUAUAAAGAUGAAAUUUGGUGCGAUGUUAUCCCUAUGGAUGCAUGUCACUUGCUUUUGGGUUAUCCUUAGCAGUACGAUAGAAAGGUUAUUCAUGAUGGUUAUAGGAAUACUUAUACUUUCACUAAAGAUGGAAGUAAAGUCAUUUUAGGUCCUUCAAAGAUAGAGAAAAGUUCUAAACCUAUCAAACGAGUGGAAAACAAUUUGCUGACUAUUUCAGAUUGUAAAAAAGAAUUGGAAAUGGGUAGUGAAGUUUACGUGCUGGUGGUGUUUGAGGAAAAUGAAGAUAACAAUUAGUCACCUUUGAUUAUGAAGUAUUUUCUUGAAGAAUUCUCAGAUGUUGUUCCAAAAGAAUUACCACAUGGCCUUCCUCCCAUGAGGGACAUUCAACAUUGCAUUGAUCUUAUUCCGGGUUCUGUACUCCCAAAUAAAGCGGCUUAUCGAAUGAAUCCAAAGGAGCACGAAGAAUUAUAGAGGCAAGUUGAAGAGCUUAUAAGGAAAUGGUUGGUGAGAGAAAGCAAAAGUCCUUGUGAUGUUCCUGCCUUAUCGGUACCAAAGAAAUAUGGGCCUUGGCGUAUGUGUGUUGAUAGCAGAGCAGUGAAUAAGAUAACGAUUGAUUAUCGUUUCCCUAUUCCACGCCUUGACGAUCUUCUAGACUAGCUCUAUGGUGCUACAAUCUUUUCUAAGAUCGAUCUUCGAAGUGGCUAUCAUCAAAUCAGAAUGAGACCUAGUGACAAAUGAAAAACGACCUUCAAAACGAGGGAUGGACUUUAUGAAUGGAUGGUUAUGUCAUUUGGUCUACUAAUGCCCCAAGCACUUUCAUGCGGCUGAUGAAUCACGUUUUUAACCGUCUAAUUAGUAGAUCUGUUGUUGUGUAUUUUGAUGACAUCCUUGUGUACAGCCAAGAUGAAAAACAACACUUGGAGCAUCUUUGCCAAGUCUUCGAGAUUUUGAAAAAUCAAAAGCUUUAUGUCAAUUUGAAAAAGUGCAGGUUCUUCACUGAUAGCCUUGUCUUUUUGGGUUAUGUUGUAUCGAAAAAUGGAAUUAAAAUGGAUCUAAGUAAGGUGGAGGCCAUUUUGAGCUGGCCAAUUCCUAAGUCGCUACAUGACAUCCGAAGUUUUCAUGAUCUUGCUUCUUUUUAUCGACGAUUUAUCAGAGGGUUCAGUACAAUUAUUGCUCCAGUAACUGAAUGCUUGAAAGGAGAAGGUUUCAAAUGGACCAAAAAGGCACAAGAGAGUUUUGAAAUCAUCAAGAGAAAGGUGUCUAAAACGCAUGUUCUUUCACUUCCAGAUUUCAGCAAGGUGUUUAAAGUUGAGUAUGAUGCCUCUAAUACUGGAAUUGGUGCUGUACUCAGCCAAGAAAGGAAACUAGUUGCUUUCUUUAGUGAAAAAUUGAAUGACUCCCGCAGAAAGUACUCAACUUAUAGCAAAGAAUUGUAUGCUAUUUGCCGAGCUUUGAACCAUUGGAGUCAAUAUUUGCUUUCAAGGCCAUUUAUUCUCUUCUCCGACCAUGAGGCACUAAAGUUUAUCAAUAGUCAGCAGAAGCUUAAUAGAAAACAUGCCGGAUGGGUGGAGUUUCUUCAAGCUUACAAUUUUACCAUCAAGCAUAAAUUGGGUGCUCAAAAUGUUGUGGCUGAUGCUUUAAGUCGAAAACAUUCCUUGCUUUCUUCUAUGCAAGUGAAGGUUGUAGGCUUUGAAAUUUUAAAAGAGCUAUACAAGGAUGAUUCGUUCUUUUGCAGGAUUUGGAGAGAAUGUGAGAAUGGAUCAUAUGAUCAGUACCAAUUGCAUGGUGGCUUUCUUUUCAAGGGGAAUCAUUUAUUUAUUCCUCAGUGUUCUUUACGAGAAUCUAUUAUCAUGGAGGCACAUGAUAGUGCUGUUAGAGAUCUCUUUAGAAGGGAUAAGACGUUAGCUUGCUUGCAAGGUAAUUUCUAUUGGCCAAAGAUGGAUAAAGAUGUAGUGCAUCAUGUGCAGAGGUGUAAAAUCUGUCAUAUUGCCAAAGCUCACAGUCAAAACACAGGCCUAUAUAAUCCUUUACCAAUCCUUAAAGCUCCUUGGGAAGAUGUUAGUCUAGACUUUGUUGUUGGGUUGCCAAGAACUCAAAGAAACAAAGACUCUGUCAUGGUGGUGGUUGAUCGAUUCUCAAAAAUUGCUCAUUUUGUUCCAUGUAACAAGACUUUGGAUGCCUUUCAUGUGGCUGAUUUGUACUUCAAGGAGAUUGUGAAGCUACAUGGAAUUUCGAAAACCAUUGUCUCUGAUCGGGAUUUAAAUUUUUUGAGUCACUUUUGGUGCACUCUUUGGAAGAAGUUGGGAACCACUCUUAAAUUUAGCUCUUCUCAUCAUCCUCAAACUGACGGUCAGACUAAAGUGACGAAUCGAAGCUUGCAAAUCUCUUGAGAAGUUAUGUGGGCAAGAACAUUCGUCAAUGGGAUCUUAUUUUGCCUCAGAUUGAAUUUGCUUACAAUCACUCCAUACAUCUGUUGUUGUGUAUUUUGAUGACAUCCUUGUGUACAGCCAAGAUGAAAAACAACACUUGGAGCAUCUUUGCCAAGUCUUCGAGAUUUUGAAAAAUCAAAAGCUUUAUGUCAAUUUGAAAAAGUGCAGGUUCUUCACUGAUAGCCUUGUCUUUUUGGGUUAUGUUGUAUCGAAAAAUGGAAUUAAAAUGGAUCUAAGUAAGGUGGAGGCCAUUUUGAGCUGGCCAAUUCCUAAGUCGCUACAUGACAUCCGAAGUUUUCAUGAUCUUGCUUCUUUUUAUCGACGAUUUAUCAGAGGGUUCAGUACAAUUAUUGCUCCAGUAACUGAAUGCUUGAAAGGAGAAGGUUUCAAAUGGACCAAAAAGGCACAAGAGAGUUUUGAAAUCAUCAAGAGAAAGGUGUCUAAAACGCAUGUUCUUUCACUUCCAGAUUUCAGCAAGGUGUUUAAAGUUGAGUAUGAUGCCUCUAAUACUGGAAUUGGUGCUGUACUCAGCCAAGAAAGGAAACUAGUUGCUUUCUUUAGUGAAAAAUUGAAUGACUCCCGCAGAAAGUACUCAACUUAUAGCAAAGAAUUGUAUGCUAUUUGCCGAGCUUUGAACCAUUGGAGUCAAUAUUUGCUUUCAAGGCCAUUUAUUCUCUUCUCCGACCAUGAGGCACUAAAGUUUAUCAAUAGUCAGCAGAAGCUUAAUAGAAAACAUGCCGGAUGGGUGGAGUUUCUUCAAGCUUACAAUUUUACCAUCAAGCAUAAAUUGGGUGCUCAAAAUGUUGUGGCUGAUGCUUUAAGUCGAAAACAUUCCUUGCUUUCUUCUAUGCAAGUGAAGGUUGUAGGCUUUGAAAUUUUAAAAGAGCUAUACAAGGAUGAUUCGUUCUUUUGCAGGAUUUGGAGAGAAUGUGAGAAUGGAUCAUAUGAUCAGUACCAAUUGCAUGGUGGCUUUCUUUUCAAGGGGAAUCAUUUAUUUAUUCCUCAGUGUUCUUUACGAGAAUCUAUUAUCAUGGAGGCACAUGACAGUGCUGUUAGAGAUCUCUUUAGAAGGGAUAAGACGUUAGCUUGCUUGCAAGGUAAUUUCUAUUGGCCAAAGAUGGAUAAAGAUGUAGUGCAUCAUGUGCAGAGGUGUAAAAUCUGUCAUAUUGCCAAAGCUCACAGUCAAAACACAGGCCUAUAUAAUCCUUUACCAAUCCUUAAAGCUCCUUGGGAAGAUGUUAGUCUAGACUUUGUUGUUGGGUUGCCAAGAACUCAAAGAAACAAAGACUCUGUCAUGGUGGUGGUUGAUCGAUUCUCAAAAAUUGCUCAUUUUGUUCCAUGUAACAAGACUUUGGAUGCCUUUCAUGUGGCUGAUUUGUACUUCAAGGAGAUUGUGAAGCUACAUGGAAUUUCGAAAACCAUUGUCUCUGAUCGGGAUUUAAAUUUUUUGAGUCACUUUUGGUGCACUCUUUGGAAGAAGUUGGGAACCACUCUUAAAUUUAGCUCUUCUCAUCAUCCUCAAACUGACGGUCAGACUAAAGUGACGAAUCGAAGCUUGCAAAUCUCUUGAGAAGUUAUGUGGGCAAGAACAUUCGUCAAUGGGAUCUUAUUUUGCCUCAGAUUGAAUUUGCUUACAAUCACUCCAUACAUCAAACUACUGGUUCUAGUCCCUUUGAAGUAGUUUACGGCAAGAAUCCAAUCAGUCCUUUGGAUUUGGCUCCACUUUUGACUAAUCAUCAAUUUAGUGGAGAGGCUAAAGAAUGCUCUAAAAGUAUCAAGAAGAUGCAUGAACAAGUUCGAGAUAGAAUAUUGAAGCAAAAUGAGAAGUAUAAAAAAUCUACAGACAAGCAUCGAAAACAUGCUAAGUUUCAGAAAGGAGAUUUGGUUUGGGUUCAUCUUAGUAAAGAUCGUUUUCCACCUGGGAAGUAUGCUAAUCUUAGACCAAGGGCUGCUGGACCAUUUAAAGCAUUGGUGAUAAUGCUUACAAGAUUGAGCUACCAGAUGGCUAUGGUGUUUCGUCAACAUUCAACAUAUCAGACUUGUCUCCUUAUCAUGAAGAAAAUGGUCAAAACUCGAGGUUGAAUUUUUUUCAAGUAGGAGAGAUUAACACAGGGGUGUUUGAAAUAUUUGGUAUUCAAGUUAUACCAAGUGCAGUUCAAGUUCUUAUAUUAAUCAAGUGAGCAGAAUUUCUAUGCAGAAGGGGCACUUUUGGGAAUUAAACUGUACUGCAUGAGAUUGAAUUAAUUUUCGAGCUUUACAUCAUUGGAAAGAUAUUUCUGUUAGCUUUCCAAUGAAUUUUACUAAUCUAAAUUUGGAGCUUUUUACAGUAAGUUAUGAUCAGUUAAGUGCGGACUGUUCAGUUUUGAGUCAAGAAGAAUAUUUCUAGACUUGGACUUUUUUAAUGCUCUUUGUUGUGUUUUAAGCAGCCCAAUGUUUUAUUAAUGUCUAGCUUUAAUGUUGGUCUUUGAAGUCAAGUCAUUUGAAGGGUUUCUUUGUAGUAUAUCUAUGCUUGGAGGAUUGUUCCAAGAAAGUUAUUUAAUCUUAUGUAGUUUUUUUUUUUUUUUUGAAUACUGAUUAAUCAUCAUAUUACUGCAUUACACAGAUAUUUACAACUGCUAUUAUAGCAGAUAUAUUACACUGAUAUUUACAAUCAGAAAUACAUGAUUGGGACUUAUAUUAUUACAUUGAAUUCUGUGAAGUACAUGCCCAGACAAAUAAUCCCUUACAAAAGAGGGAUGUCCAUACUCCACUCGUAUUGCACGAGGGAGAUGAAAUUUUUGAAAUAUUAAACAAAUAAGCACGUAAUCUUAUGUAGUUGUAACCAAAAGAUAGAGAUUAAUUUUGGGGAUUGGAUGAACUUUGAGUUAUUAUUAAACUUUGUAUCUCUUUGGUGGAUUCCAUUGAGCGGUGAGUAUUUUAAGCCCUGUAUCCUUAGCUUAACAACUUUAGAUGUGAAUUUUUUUCUGUAUCCUUUUGUUGUUUGCUGUGGUGGUGAGCUUGUGAUUUCUUGGGUGUGUGACGUUGUGUUUUCUCAUCUAUUGUGUCCGGUGUCAAUGUACCUGACAUUGGCUGACUUGUCAACUAGAACUUGUGGUUUUAAAAAUACCUUCAUUCACACAGCAAAUCCAGGAUCAAGUGCAGUCAAAGCAUAAUUAUAAAACUUUGCUAGUACAUGGUUCAGGAACUCAAUCGAAGAUUGGGGUUGGCACAAAUUUGUUGAACUUAGUUACUUGAACAAGGCAAGCAAUGGUUUUCUUGUGAACGAUAUGUGCAUUGCGAAAGCAGAGGUGUAUGUGCUUAGAAUUUCCAAAGCCCUGUAACAUAUACUCUAAUAAGCAUUGCUACUCUUGCAUGAAAAUUGGGAUGCCAAUUUUUUAAUUUUAUUUCUUAUAAUAAGAGUUAAUCUCAUCGUACCCAUAUAUUUUGACAAAGAAAUUCAGUUGCUGCCGCUCGAUAAUUAGUGAUUAAUUGGUUAUUAAGUCUCCACAUGGAGACUACAUAGGGAUGCCUUCUUAUAGGUUUAGCCUGCGAUAUCUUAUUCACUGUUGCUUUUUUUUCCUCCAUGUAUUCUGCGAGUCGCAAUAGGUAAGGUACUAUAUAUACUUUUUUUUUUAUCUUACAAGUGUGAAAUAAAAUGAACUUAACUUUCAGAUUAGAUCAAUAAGUAUUCACCAAAUACUUAAGUGCUGCUCAACCAUAGUACUAAAUCGGGCCUAAAUUUUGGAAGCUAAUUUUAUAAUAUUUGAUAAUAGAAAAUAGAACAACUAAAAUAUUGCUUUAGCUCGUUGAAAUACACGUUUUUUGAGUGGAGGGUACGUAUUUUUGUUCAUUUGUUUUGUAGUUGUUUUCUUGCCCCUUACCAUCCAUUCUUGCAACCAAGCAAAGAAAUCAAUAUUCCUUGACCAAACCAAACAAAUUAAAGAAUCAAGAUCCCUUUCCCUAAUUGCAUUCCCCUUCCCAUUCCAUUCUUGCAGCCAUCAGUUUCUAAAACGUGGCGAAUAUCAAUAGUUAUUCUGAUUCUUUCUGAAAAUUUAAUGUUGAAUUGUAUAAACCCUCAAACUUGGUGCUUUAUAUAUACCAUGGUCCCCUUAGAUAUUUUAAAGAACAAACAUUAAUCUUGAGAGAAUACCCUAACCCUUGAAAAAUCUUAUUAUAAUCAAUCUUUCUUCAGUACUAGUUUUAGUACCUAAAGAAUUGCAGUAGUUUGGAGGAAUUCGUUGCAAUGGAAAAUGACUUCUUAGAUCAAGUUGGUACGUUCUCUGGCUCCUUCCCCAGCUCCCCUUUUUCUAUGUAUGUUUAUAUAUGUGGAUCGAACAUUUCUUGCCUGUUAUUUUCUGAUCAGUGUUAAAAUUACUCUUGACAGCAAUGUCAAGAUCCAUUUCACACGUACCACCGGCUCAUUUCUUACUCAAAAUACAGGCGUUUUCAUCUCUUGUGGAGAAUGAUUUGGAAAAAUACGAAUCUUCGGAAUUUGAUGCUGGAGGCCACAAGUGGUAUGGCCUAAAACUUACUUGUACACUAUAUUCUGAUUACAUAUCAUAAUCUAAUGUGUUAUUUUGAAUUCAUGGUGGUUUCAGGAUACUUGUUGUUUACCCAAAUGGAAAUAAAAACAAAAAUGUGAAAGAUCACAUAUCACUCUACUUGGCUAUGGUAGAUACAAGUUCACUUGGCCUUGGUUGGGAAGUCUAUGUGCUUUUCCGCCUAUUUGUGCUUGAUCAGAAAAAAGACGAGUUCUUGAUUCUUCAAGGUGGAUUAUUACAGUCAACAAUGUUCAUGAUUGUUUUGUUCUUAAUUAUUUAAGUGAGACCUAAUCAAUGAUUUGGGCGGGGUCCCAUUCAUGUGGUAGAUGCCAUGGGGAAAGAAAGGCGCUUCCAUGGAUUGAAGCUUGAAUGGGGUUUUGAUAAAUCCAUCCCGCUUGAAGAAUUUAACGAUGCUUCGAAUGGAUAUCUUGUGGGAGAUACUUGUGUUUUUGGAGCAGAAGUAUUGGUUAAAGAAAGGAACAAAUGCAAAGGAGAGUGCCUUUCCAUGACGAAAUUGAUAUCUGCUUCAAUUCAUAAGCAUGUUUGGAAGAUUGAGAACUUUUCAAAGUUGGAGGCAAAGCGUUACGAGUCCCAAGUAUUCGUUGCUGGAGAUCAAAAGUGGUAUGAUAUCUAUAUAUAUAUAUAUAUAUAUAUUCUGAAAUGGUGCUCCGCGUCUAAACUUUAUGAGGUUUAGAUUUAGCCUGCGAUCAGACAGACAUCCUAGCCUGAGGAUGACUAAUUCUUUCUGUAUCAUAUAUUUCUUUCUAUAUCAUUUAAUUUCUUUACUCGUAUCACCUAAUUAAAUGCCUCAUCUGAUAAUUAACCCUUGUUGAUUUUUUCAGGAAGAUAGAGCUCCAUCCCAAGGGAAUCAAAAGUGGAACCGGCAGUCAUGUUUCUAUGUUCUUGGCAUUGGCUGAUUCCUCAACUAUAGCUCGUGGUUUUAAAAUAUACGUGCAUUUCACACUGCGAAUCCGGGAUCAAGUGCGGGGAAAGCAUGAAGAUGCAAAAAGUAAUUAAAUUAGUAAUUAUUAUCCCGAACUUAUUUAACAGAUGCAUGAAUUAAUAAGCUUAUAGCACUGUAACUACUAUGAGCUUAUUUAUAGCUAAAUACAUAUAACUUUGAGGCUUUCUAUUGUUGUUGUUUCAUGCAGCAAGUAUAUGGUUCGGGUCCUCAAUUAAAGAUUGGGGUUGGCCAAGAUUUGCUGAACUCAGUUACUUAAAGGAGGCAGGCAAUGGUUUUCUUGUGAAUGAUGUGUGUGUUGUGGAAGCAGAGGUUUCAGUGCUUGGAAUUUCCAAAGCACUGUAGUAAUAUAUAUAACUAAUGAGCAUUGUUACUUGCAAGAAAAUUGGGAUGCCAAUUUUUACUUUUAAUUUAUUAUAAUAAGAAUUAAUCUCAUUGUACCUAUAGAUAGUUUUCGUGAGGGAAAUUCAGCUGCGGACACUCUCACUAUGUUUUGGUUUUCAAGUCUCUACAUGGCGAUUAGAUGGGUUCAGCCUGUGAUCUCUAGUUAAAUGGUGAUAUAGUUGCCGUAUUUUGCUUUAUUUCUCUUCAGUAAAUCUUUUUUUAAAAAAAUAGAAAAAAAAAAUUUAGUUGUUGUUACAAGAUAUUUUUAUCCACCUCUUCAUCAAAAUAAUGUACUUUCACACUAAUAACUUUAGAAAGUGAAUUAUAAAAGCAGCUACAUGAUUUGUGACGUAUGUAUGUACCGCAUCUUGUGAAACAUAUUAAUUAUGAAUUGUACAUCACAAAAUACUUUUAGGAAUAAAAAAUGUGUUGCUAAAUGCACAACUAAUCGAUAUGCUUUAUUGGUUAUAAAUGCCCAUCAAUCAAAUAAAUCAAGAGAUUGAGAAAUGAAAUAGCGAAAACGUGAAAUUUUUCUCUGAUCAACUUACUUGUUAUUAUUUCUAAUCAUUUUAACUUCAUAUUAUUUAUAUUAUUUGUAUGCUUAAUACACUUCCCAAAUUUGAUCUACAAUAAAUUGUGAGCUUAUGAAAUUGCAACGCAUUCCAUUGUGUACUUUAUAAGAGUAUUACUAAACACAUUCAAGCUAUUCUCCCAUUGUACUCCUUAAUCCAGGUAGGUGUAAGAAGAGAUGAAAGAAGUGUAUUUAAAAGAUCUCUUUCACAAAACAGUGCCCAAUUUAAGGGUGGGCAAAAUCGCUUUCGUAUUCGAAUCAACUCGAUCAGAUUUCAGGUUGAUUGAGUUGAGCAAAAACUCAUCCGAAUUCAAUUCGAAUAUAUAAUCCGAUCCGAUCCUAUUAAAAUAUUAUUUAGAUCGGAUCAGUUUAUAAGUUCGGGUGUCAACUAAUAUAAGCAGCUGUAGUGCUAUAAGAAUCAUGAUCGCACGGAUGCCCACUACCUUUGAUCAAGAUUCAAGAACAAGAAAUGGAGUUAUCACCACCGCCAGAACCAAAAGGGUCAAAAAUUCAUAAUGUGCAAGUGGGGCAAAAAUAUUUCACGAGAUUCAUCAUUGCAAGAAUAUUCAGCAGAAUGAUCAAGAAUUUUUAUAUAUAUUUUCGUCAGUACUUAACUACAUGGGUAUAUAUAUAUAUAGACAUACAAUGAAAAUUGAAAAUUUUGGGCUGGAGCUUGGAGGACCUUGGUGAUGGUGGCUAUCGGUCGAGGUGGAGGGAGCAACCUGCAGCAACUGUCAAGGUGGAGCAAUCGGCACUACAACAGCAGCAGUCGAGCUGUAGCAGAUCGCAUCGGCGCGUCGUGGGCUCGCGAUGGACUGAAGCCGCGACAGAUCGAGUCGCUGCUGUGCUGGCUAUGCUGCCGUGCCAUCUCCGAUCUGUCGUGUGCAGUGUGCUGCUGCUAUUGUAGUGUUGUGUGUGUGAAGAUGAAGAGAUGCCGGCUACCGUUGGUGUAAUGUUGUGUGUUUGAAGAUGAAGACGAUGCAUAUGCAAUUAGUCAAAUUAGGUUUUGCCCUUUUUUAUUUACUUAUUUAACUUUUUUUUUUUUUAUUAACCAAUCCGAUCGGAUUUUUGGAUCGGAUCGGAUUUAACCCAAUCUGAUCACGAUCUGAUCGGAUUGAGUGAAUUCCAUCCGAUCGGAUUGAACAUCAAAUCCGAUCUGAUCCAAACUCCAUUUUUUUUUAAUUGGAUUGAGGCAGAUCAAGUUGGAUCCGAUCAGUUGCCCACCCCUAGUAUCUACUGUGGCCAUUAUUGAUGAACAAAAAAUGCAACCGUUGAGAUGAGGCCAAGAGAAAACUGAAAGAGAUGUACGGUUUUUUUCUAUAAUUAUUAUUAUUUUAAUUUUAAAUAUGCCGUAAAAAAAAUACUAUAAAAUACAUUCAUUCAAUAUAACAACACAACUUAAAUACCUAAAUACCUAUUUUUUUCCCUUUGUCUCUCUCUCAGUUUUUUUGUUAGUUUUUCUUUUUUUUUAAAAAAAUUACACACUUUUCUUAAUUUAAUUUUGUUCGUCAUAAUAUAUAGAUGAAUUACUUAAUUAUAGUUAGAUAAUCAUGGAAUAAUUAACAAAUUAUUUAAUCAUAAUCUGUAUAUAUUCGAUAAUAUUCGAGCAAUUAAAAGAAUUAAUUAAAUAAAAUCAAAUGUUGAUCGAGAGUGAAUAUGAGUCUCAUAAUUAUGUAACCAUUGAGGUCGAGACUAAUUGUCACCUUGAAAAAAGGUCGCGCAACCAUCUAUAAUUAUGGGUGUAGGCAGAGGCGGGCCUAUAGCCGUUCAAAUAUAAGGGCAUUUUAGACUUUUCUGGACAUAUUUGUCACGUUUAUGAAAUUUUAAUUAUGUUGAUGGCAUAUGCUGUGCGAAACUAAAUUCCUCAAAAUUUCGGUUUUAUAUACAUAUAGAAGCCCGCAGACUAAAUGGUUGAACACUCAAGGCCGAAGCGUGAUGGGUAACCAGGGUCGAAAUUUCUGGUGGCUUGAAUCAAAGAAUCCAUAGAUUUUACUUGGGAGAAAAGAAACAUCAAAAUAUUAAAAAAUAUACAAAAUAAAUAAACAUAAAAUAAAAAAAAAAGUGCAUAAAUACACUCACAGAGAGAGACUCAGAGGGAGAGAAUGGUGCUGUGGGAGAUCACAUUGGGAACAGCGUAUUUCUUGGGACUGAAGCGGACUUACAGGCUUGCUUUGAGGAUUCAGCGUCGCGUUAUCAGCCCCAAGCACCCUCGGAUUCGUCAAUUUGUUCACCGGUAUAUUUGUGUUGUUUUAUUAUUAUUAUUAUUAUUUAAUUAUUUUGUUUUGAGUCUGAUUCUGAUUAAUUUGUAGCUUGAUGGGUCAGGCAUCAAUAGGGUUAUUAGCGGAUGAGUCACAGAUUGGGAAUGGGCAUUUUGAAGUGUAUUUAUUGAUUAAGCUAGGUAGUUCAAGUUUUAAUUUUCAUUAAUGGGUUCUGUAGCUAUGCUCGUUAAGACAAUAAGAGCUGGUGAUUUUAGAGUCAAAAGAGGAUUAUGAUGAUAAUGAUGAUGGUGGUGGUGGUGGUGGUGUUGGUGGUGUUGAUGAUGAUACAUAUGAUACUGAUAUGGGUAUACUAACAACACGUUGCAAUGCAAUGUUCUUUGUUUCACGAUUUUAUGAUAUCUUUCGAAAUUGAUCUUGGUAAUUUGAUUUAACUGUAUGGUAGUGUGUGUGGUUUGGAAGUUGGUUAUUGAUGCUUGCUAAAGAUCUAAUGUAAGAAAGCAGAGGAGAGUAAUGGAGUUUUAUUGUGGUAGGAAUUGAUUCCUUGGAGUAAUAAUGUGGCUUACUACCAGCUUGGCUAGACAGAGAACGGCUUAUUAGCAAAGGCAACGGACAGAAGGAGCCAAAAUUUUAGGUUUUCUAAGAAUAGGGAGAGGGUGAAGUAAAUAAAAUUACAAAUUUGUAAAAGAUCCUGAAAACCUGAUUUCAAAAGUUUAUCCAGAUAUAUGUGUUGUUGUCUACUCAUAUCAUAUAUUGCAGUGAAAGUAAGCCAGGUUUACCUUAUAGAAACUAGUGUUGUGUGAACUUAACCAUGGAGUAACUAUAUAGGAAGCAACAGACAUGAGCUUUCCUUGUGGCAUCUUCUAUGUACUUAUAUAUUUCCUUAGGGAGUAAUCCUAUGCUGUCAAAAACCAUAAAAGCGUAUGCUCUUUUGGGAGGCAUUGCAUGGAUUUUGGUUUUCUUUUGGGGUCAAUGAUUCAUAGAAUUUCUUCUUGGUCUUCCCUUGUAUUCUCUCUUCUCACUACCUAUUUUACUGUUAUCUCUUCUAUUUCUCUUUCUUUAAAAGCUUUUCAGCUGAAAUUUCUACCUUCGUAUGCCUCUUCAAUCGGAUUUUGAUGGAUCUUGUGGAGUUGAUUUUGUCAAAUCUGAAUUCAAUAUGUUGCAGCAAUGCAUCCUACCGCAUGGGAUUAUCUUAGACUAUGUGUCCACAAUAACGACGGCUUGUCUUUGCCUACGUAUUAAUCAUCUCUUUGAAAAGUUACUUUCACGGUGGUUUAUAAAUUGUUAUUCAUUGUCUGAAUUUUCUGUGUGAGUGCCCCAUGCCGUUAGACCAUCUCUUAAAAUGGAAGUUUUCUUGCUAGAUGCAUCUAUUGUAUUCUGCUUGUUUACGUUUGAGUGUGCCCCAUCUUGGCUAUUCCAAUGAACUUAUUGCUUCCAAUCUAAUGAGCUCCAUUGAAGCUUAGUUAUACAGAGGUCAGCAUAAGUGUUUGAAUACGGCUAUAACAAAGUACCAAUCUAUAUUUUAGCUGUGUUAAUUAUAUAGGAAUAUGAAGGGAAAAACUUUAGUUUAGUACUUCAACUAGUUCAUUGUGCAUCCUGUCACUUCUACUUCAGCUUGGAUGUAAACUGAUGUGAAUGGUUCACAUUGACUUGAUAUCAUGUGCAAUAUGAGAGACCACUGAGCUCUUCCCUCAAAGCAAUUAUUCUUUCCUAUCUGACUUAGAAUGGCCCUGUGCAUUUCAUAAUAAAAUCAGCUUCUAAAUCUGUGAUCUUAUGACAUAUUGUAUAGGCUACGUUGCUGAAUUUUUUAUUUAACCAAUUAUGGAGCAAAGCCAAUCCUUAAAAGAUUAAGAGAAGUUACCAUCAACUCAGUUGAUCGUUGAAUAUCUGCAACUGCAACCUGCAUUCUCUCGCUCUAGAUUGGUGCAUAAUUUCUAUUGCGAAGUUUUGCAAACCUCCAACUAGUUUUGUCUAUGUGCCAAUUAUGGGAUUUGAAUUAACUUAUCUUUUAGAUUUGCUAUACCAAACUUUUAACGAAAUGUUUUUUGCUGUUUUGGCAUUAUGUUGAACAUUGAUGUCAAAAUAACAUGUUUGCCAGCUUCUUGUAGUACCUGUAGGUGAAGCAGUCAGAGAGUCUCAUAUGUAUUCCUGUGAACUUAUUGCCCAAUCAAGCUACAAUGCUCCGAUACCAGAACUAAAUUCAUUAUUAUGAGCACAUUCUUAAAUUGCUGUCUCUCUUUGGGUGAUAUGAAGAUUUUGGAGAAGCACAAGUACUAACGUCCAAAGCUGGAGGUCAUAGCUGUACUCUUGUUUAGUUCAGAGAGACUGUUUUGAAAUGAUACAUUGCUUUUCUUUUUAAUGAGCUGUUGUAUUUUGAUGUUUAUUAGGAGGACGUUAUUAACUUCAUGAAGGUAAGUUACCAGGGCACAUUUCUUUGUUCCAGAAUCCUUCCGAUCUAGUUGUAAUUAUUCAUGAAAGCCUCUGGAUAAAACGGAAAUCCUAAAUUAGUUAAUUGUUUCAAUACUUUGGACUUUGAAUUGAUUUAGUAUGCCUCAUGAAACCAAUAAUUGCACAUCCUCCACUCUUAGAGUCUCAGUGUGAUAUUGACCACGGUACUGCCUGAGCAUUGCAUUCUUCCCACUGGUUGGCUCAUUGGAUUCCAUUCUACUGUUUAACUACUGCUGUUAUGUCAGUUACUAGCUGGCAAAUACUGUUAUUUCUACAAUUGUUUUGAAUAAUAACAAAUUUAUUACUCCUCCAACUUGGAACUGCCAUUGUUUUUUGAAGACUGACCUUCAUUCUUCAUUGAUUUUUUCCACAGCCGAGUAUGUGCUGCCUUUGAUGUUGCUCUCAAGUUUCACAGGAACAUACAAGAGAGGGACAUAGAAGUUGGUAGAAAUGUUGGUAACUGGAUUCUACGUUGGCUUGACCAAAUGAAAGCAUCUGCCCAGAUACGUGGUCCGCCUGAGAAACUGUCACAUGGCUCCAGCAUGAGCAUGACCAACCAUGGAAUGAAGUCCUCGAAUCCAAAAACUCCUGGAGUCCAAACAUCUAAACCAACCUUUUCUACCAUUGCCAUGAUGAUGCGGCAUCCAAGGCCUGCAGGAACCACAACCCAGUAUAGGCAUCUUGAGACAAAUGGAUCUGAUCUGUUGAGUUUGAACUACAAUAGAAAUGGGUUUGAUGGAGUGCUGCGAAAGGACAUUAUGCAGUGGUUGCUGCAAAAGUGAAGGUAGAAGCUUAUCAGACACCUGUUCCUUUCUGGAGUUUUAAUCACCAAUAAUUCAGUUAUAAUAUCUCACUCAAACCGCUCGCAUUAUUGGACUCCUAAAUUUGAAAUUCAUCCAUGCUAGUUAUGGACAUGUUGCUUGAUGCACUAAUUACUGGAGGGCUGCGUGCUGCGAAAGCUGGCAAAGAUAGGUUUUAGUUGUUCUGCUUCUGUACUCAAAGAUAGUAAUUGUUCUCUCCGUUUUCAGUGACUAGGUUUUUUGUUUCCGAACCAGUAACUGCAUAGUUGCUUCUGGUAAUGUUUGUUUGUUUCUUUGUUUGUGAUGCACAUUCCCCCAGAUUGGAAACGGCUGUGGUGAUGGCGAUCAUCUUUCUCUGUACUUGGCUUUGGGAGAUUCCACAGUCGAGGUGAUUAAAGAAUAUAUAUGCAGAGCAUACAUUGCGAAUCAUAGAUCAAGUGGGGGCGAAACAUAAAUCUUUUCGAGGUAAAAUGUGUGUGUUUACAUGCAAUUAGUAUUUGAGGCAAAUCCAAAUAAUAUAACGAGAGUGUUCCUUUUACUCUAGCAGAGAAUAAAGACUGGUUCCAUACACCAAGCGAUAACUGUGGCCGGCCAAGAUUCAUUUCAUUGAGUGAGUUAGAUGAGCCAGAGACUGGAUUUCUAGUGAAUGGCGUUUGCGUGGUGGAAGGCUGGAAGUGGAAGCUGAGGUCACUGUGCUUGUAAUUUCCGAGCCAUUAUAACAAGUAAUUAAUUGUCCUCCAAAUGGGUUCUUUUAUUGUGUGAUGCUGACUGCCUGGUUAAUCUAGGAAAUUUAUUUUAGCUAUCAGGAAAUUUAUCUCUCUUGUGGUUUUCCAAAAUAACUCUUACGUUGUUUAUUGUUUAUGCUGUCCAGCUAACUUUUUAGUGUGAUUUUGGUUUUCUAUUUCUCUGCAUCUCUUUAAGGAGAAAUUCACUAUAUUCCCUACGCUGUAAUGCUUCUCUUCGAAGAUUUUGAUUUAAAAAAAUAAGAAAAAAGAAAAAAAAUGUAGUUGAAACGAAGAAAAUUAGGAUGCAAGAGAACUAAUAAUUUCACUUAGUAAGAAAAUGAAAACAAAGUAGAAUAGAAUCUUGUUGAAUUAAUAUUCGAUAAAUUGAUAACUCUAAUUAAAUAAUAGUUUUUGUCAUUGUAACUUAUAGUCCAUAUGGUAAAUUAAUAAUUCGAUAAAUUUUAUUAGAUAAUAUAUUUAAAAAUAUUAUUUUUCUAUAGUAGCCAAUUAAUACAUGUAUUAAUAAUUAAUUAAUUUAAAGCUAAAUAUAUAUUAUAUGUCUAUGAUUUUUUUUUUUUUUGGGUUGUACUGACAUAAUGCUUCAUGCAUUUUAUCGAUCAUUAUUACUUUUUUUACAAGAGAAGUUAUUGUUGUAUUAUAUGUGUUGUGGUAAGAGAAAUAAGAGAGAGAGAGAGAGAUCCAAAAAAUCUCUUUUGAUGAGUCACCAUGUAAUCGUGAUCUAGUCAUGCAAUCUAACCAAAGAAUUAUCAAGUGAUUGAUUCAGUCAAUCAAGAUCAAAUCAAAAUCCUAUCAUACAACGUGAUAAAAUCACUAAAUUCUCUAAUUAUGCUAUCACUAUAUUUCAUAAAAAAAAUUCAAUUAUCAACGUGAUAUUAUAUCUAUAAAGAUAAAUAAUAUUCAUUAAUUUAUGGAUAUAGCCAAAGUGUCAAACUGCCAACCAUUUUGUUAAUAAUCCAGGGAAGCAAGAAAAUAAGGCUUUUUGCGGUUGAUUAAAGUCCUCGCAAACAAACCAUAUUUACUAGUAGUGGCAUGGAUAAUACUAAUUAAUUACUAAAUUAAUUAUACUAGCAAUAAUUAUACUAGCAAUACUACCUUAGGAUAUUUUGUAAAUUCUCUAGUAAUACUACCUUAGGAUCACUAAAUUUUCUUUACUCAAAAAAAUCACUAAAUUUUCUAAUUAUACUAGCUCAGAAUCACUAAAUUCUCUAAUCAUGCUACCACUAUAUUUCAUAAAAGUUCAUAUUAUCAAUGUGAUAUUAUUUCUAUAAAGAUAAAUUAAUAUUUAUUAAUUUAUGGAUAUAGCCAAAGUGCCAACCAUUUUGCUAAUAAUCCAGGGAAGCAAUUGAUCCACUACAAACCAUAUUUACUAGUAGUGGCGUUGAUAAUGCUAACUAAUUACUAGUACUAUUUCUACAAUGAGCUAUUUUGAAUUGCAGAACUCUAAUUUCUCAAGUUACGUCAGUCAAAUUUCCUCUCGAAACCAUCAAAUCUCACAAAAAACCUCUGUUCUUGGACUGAGGCAAUGGCGUUUCCUGUGUGUAGUUGGAGCUUUAGUGUUUUUAUUUGAAAGAAAUAGUGAAGAAAAAACAUGUCCUUAUCAGUACCACCAACUCAAUUUGCAAAUUAAAAAAAAGUGAGAGAGAGAUUAAUCGACAGAAACUCACUUCCGGCUCUUGGUUCAUUCCAUCUUUGCUAGCUUAUGCUUCUACCAGGUGAAUCCAACAUGGAAUUGGAAAAAACUAAUAAAGUUAGAAAUGACAAUAGCAUAAAAAACUCGGGAUUCCCUCCGCCAAAAUAUUACUUGAAAAGAGAAUAAGGGAAAUGCCUAGGAUCUCCAGCGAGAAUCUCAACUCUCAAGAUGAGACCAGAUAAUAAUGUAAUGCUAGAGAGAUAAUGUCAGAAGGGUAACUUUCCUUAGCCAUAGAAGCAAAUUAUGCAAACCAAAAUUAUCCAGCAAGCCAAUAUGAAUUCUUUUCAUCUCAACCUGCUCAAAAACAGAGCAAGAUAAAGCUUAAAUAAUAAUGUGAAAGCUCAAAAACAGAUCAAGAUGAAUCUUUUCAAUAAUGUGAAAGUAAAUAAAGCAAUAAGGUGAAGAGUUAUGGAUUUUCCUAAUGCUUGCGUAAACAAUCACGACCGAGGAAAACUUUCCUGAAAUAAGAACAGAAAUUUUAAUGCCACCUACAAAUGGGAUGAUAGAACAAGUUGUCAUUCACAUAUUGCUUAUUCAUCAAUCUUUUCACCUUUGGUUAAAGUCGGGAGGUAACACUCAAUUUAUGGAGGAACCAACAAACAAAAGAUGCAUUUUUUGGUAGUAUGAAGACAAUUGAACCAACGAGCGUGAAGGCCCAAAAAAUAUAUAUAUAUAAUAAAAAAAAAAUGAAGUAGAGAAUUGGUGACCCAGGUCAUAUGACUUUAGUAUGCUCGGUAGUAUCAUUUUUUAUAAAUUUCUGAGACUUUGUUUUGGGGUUGUGGUUAUAAGCUUUCGGGUCCCACGUCACAUGAUUUUCAGCCAAGCAAAAUUUAGUCUCCCUUUUGUCAGUCAAUUUGUUUCAGAAACUUUGAUGGUGAUCAAAUCAAAAUUGAUGCUUCUAUUCAUGUAUCAGCUAGUGAUAAUCGUGGCUCUGUUUUGGACUUCAGUAACUUUGAAGAGCUAGCUAGCGGUCUUGUAGUUGUUUGACAUUAUAUGCGAGGGAGGAAGGUUAUGUUCUUUUGUGGUAUCACUGCUCCAUUAACACUUUGCCCAUGUUUGAGUAUCAUAUUGGCAUUUUUACGUUGAUUAACUAAUUAACAUAAAUAAAUAUCAUCUAAGCUGCUAUGCACAACGCUAUGGUUGGAUCUAAUUAGGAUUCAAUAAUAUCGUAUUUUUCAAUAUUAACUUGGGGAUAUUCUUUCGAUCUAGACUUACUUCGGCUUUGAGCUUUGAAGUACAUUUUAAUACUUGCACAUUAUUAUACAUGCGAUUAAUAUCUAUAUAUUUGUUAUGUUUACUUUAAUUAUUAACAGUCAAGAAAUUUCUUCCCGCAAAAUAGUCUGUGAAAUGAACAAUCGCUACAUAAUCAGUGGUUGCUAAAACAAACUACUGUGUAGUUCAAGGUUAAAUCAAAUUUAGUGUGCAGAAUUGCAUAUUGCAACAUUAGGAAAAAAAUUGAAUGCAUGCAUAAUCAGUGGUUGCUUGUAAUGUGAUAGAUACCAUGGGAAAGGAAAGACGGUUUAAUGGACUGAAGCAUGUAUGGGGUUUUGAUAAAUUCAUGCCGCUUGGAGCUUUCAAUGAUGAUUCGAAUGGAUACCUUGUCGAUGAUACGUGUGUUUUUGAAGCUGAAGUCCUUGUUAAAGAAAGAAACAAGUUCAAAGGAGAGUGCCUAUCUAUGAAAGAAAUUUCAAUUAGUUAAAGUAUACGUAGAGUUUACAUUUCGAAUCUUGGAUCAAGUUCGGGCAAUGCAUAAAUCUUCUUAAGGCACAUUGCUUGUUUUAUUACGCAACUAAUUUAGUUGCCACUGGCAACUUGACUGAGUGAUUUUCAAACAGUUUUCUUUAACUUUUGAUUCUGAAAGUAUCUUUAACCCAAAAAAAUAAUAAUAAUAAGCUUAAUUUGAGGCUAUAGAAUUCAAAUAAUAUGUAUAAUGAGAAUGAUUCUUUUUCUCUAGGAGGUAGAGAAAGGUUCCAUUGAGUAAGUUAAAUGACCUAGAGAAUGGGUACCUUGUGAACGACGUUUGCGUUGUGGAAGCUGAGAUCACUGUGCUCAGAAUCUCCGAGGCAUUGUAAUAACAAGUAUUCUUCUUGGUUUCUCACGAAAUAAAGAAAUUCAUUGAUUUUAUGGCUAACUUAUGCGAUCACGUUUGUUCAUUGACAUAAUUCUUAAUCCUGGAAGGAAAUCUCUAACAAUCUUAAUCCUGGAAUAAAAUCACAUCUAUCAAAUAUUAACAAGUGAGAUGGUGACAAAAACUCUUUGUUUUUACUUAAAGAGAAGUAUUGAUAAGAUAAAUUGAGUACAAUAGAGGAAGAAAUUAAUAUUACAUAAAAGGAAUAUCAUUAUGGACAUUUAAGAAUUCAAAAGAAGUAGAUAUUAGAUUUUUAAAAAUAUGUUACUGCAAAAUAAGAUAAUUAAUUUGGUGAAUAUCAAUGGUCAUAACUAUCCACAACAGUGAAUUAGAUAUUAGAUUUUUAUUUGUGCUUGAUCAGAAAAGAGACGAGUUCUUGAUUCUUCAAGGUUAAUUAUUAUACUCAACAAUGUUUAUGAUUAUUUUGUUCUUAUUUAAUUAUUUAACUAAGAGCUAAUCGAUGAUUUGGGGUCACCUUCAUGUAAUAGAUGCCAUGGGAAAUGAAAGAAGCUUGAAUUAGGUUUUGAUCAAUUCAGAAUUUAAAGACGCUUCGAAUGGAUAUCUUGAAGGACAUACGUGUGUUUUUGGAGCUAAAGUCUUUGCUAAGAAAGGAACAAAGGCAAAGGAGAGUGCCUUUCAUGAUGAAAUUCACAUCUGCUUCCAUUUAUAAGUAUGUUUGGAAGAUGCAGAACCUUUCAAAGUUGCACACAAAGCGUUACGAAUCAAAAUCUGGAUUUGAUGCUCAAGUCCAGACGUUCAGAGUUCAUGAAAUCUCCAUUCGAACUAUAAUAUAUAAUAGCCUAAAUCUAGACAUCUGUACCUGAACACGACUAAUACUUAAGGUUCAUUUAUACAUGUGCGUUAUAUUUCUAUAUGGUAAUGUAGAAGAAAUUUGAAUAGUACAACUUGUUAAAAAGGUGCAUCAUGUUAAAACCACUUCUUCAAAUGUAUAAUGUAAAUGAUUUGCUAAAAUUUGUUUGUUUCUAUGUUCAUAUAUAUAAACUAGAUGCCACAUUUGAAAGUUAAUGUUUUAAUAAUUUGUUAAGUGGAACCUCUUAGUAAAUAAGUACAGAAUGCCGAGACUUUUUUUUUUUUAAUACUGAUUAAUCAUCAUAUUACUGCAUUACACAGAUAUUUACAACUGCUAUUAUAGCAGAUAUAUUACACUGAUAUUUACAAUCAGAAAUACAUGAUUGGGACUUAUAUUAUUACAUUGAAUUCUGUGAAGUACAUGCCCAGACAAAUAAUCCCUUACAGAAGAGGGAUGUCCAUACUCCACUCGUAUUGCACGAGGGAGAGGAAAUUUUUGAAAUAUUAAACAAAUAAGCACGUUAGCCCCCACAAAUGCUUUUGUGGGGGCUUGAACCGCUGCCCUCACAAUGCUUGUGAGGGCAGCAGCCCACCACUCCGACCAAGGCCGAAGUGGCCAGAAUGCCGAGACUUAAACUUUACCCUUGUUGAUUUUUUCAGGAAGGUAUGCCUCUAUCCCGAGGGACAGAGAGAAGGACCUGGCAGUCAUAUUUCUAUGUACCUGAUAUUUGGCUGACUUCUCAACUAUAACUCGUGGUUUUAAAAAUACCUUUGUUUCACACUGCAAAUCCAGGAUCAAGUGUAGUCAAAGCAUAAUCAUAAAACUUUACCCUUGUUAUUAUUAACCCAAGCUUUAAAAGGAAUUGAAGUUCAUCAAUAAGCGUAGUAACUAAAUACAGAUAACUUCAGGUUUCUAUUGUUGUUCCUGCAGCCAGUACAUGGUUCAGGAUCUCAAUCGAAGAUUGGGGCUGGCACAAAUUUGUUGAACUGAUUUACUUGAACAAGGCAAGCAAUGGUUUUCUUGUGAACGAUGUGUGCAUUGCUGAAGCAGAGGUGUCUGUGCUUAGAAUUUCCAAAGCCCUGUAAUAUAUACUCUAAUAAGCAUUGUUACUCUUGCAAGAAAAUUGCGAUGCCAAUUUUUUAAUUUUUUUUUUUUUUUUUAUCUUAUGAGCGUUAAAUAAAAUCAACUUAAUUUUCAGAUUAGAUCAAUAAGUAUUUACCGGACACUAAGUGCUGCUCAACCAUAGUAUUAAAUGGGGCCUAAAUUUUAGAAGUUAAUUUUAUAAUAUUUGAUAAUAGAAAAUAGAAUAACUAAAAUAUUGCUUGAGCUCGUAGAAAUACACGUUUUUUUAGUGGAAGGUACAUAUUCUUGUUCAUUUAUAUUGUAGUUGUUUUCUUACCGCUUACCAUCCAUUCUUGCAACCAAGCAAAGAAAUCAAUAUUCCUUGACCAAACCAAAUAAAUUAAAGAAUCAAUAUCCCUUCCUCCCAUUGCAUUCCCCUUUCCAUUCCAUUCUUGCAACCAUCAGUUUCCAAAACUUGGCGAAUAUCAAUAGUUAUUCUGACUCUUUCUGAAAGUUUAAUGUUGAAUUGUAUAAACCCUCAACCUUGGUGCUUUAUAUAUACCAUGGUCCCUUUUAGAUAUUUUAAAGAAGAAAUAUUAUUCUUGAGAGAAUAAUCUAACCCUUGAAAAAUCUUAUUAUAAUCAGUCUUUCUUUAGUACUAGUUUUUGUACCUGACGAAUUGCAGUAGUUUGGAGGAAUUCGUUGCAAUGGAAAAUGACUUCGUAGACCAAGUCGGUAUGUUCUCUGACUCUUUCCCCAGCUCCCCUUCUCUAUGUACCUUUGUAUAGGUGCAUUGAACAUUCUAGCCUGUCAUUUUCUGAUCAGUGUUAAAAUUACUCUUGACAGCAAUUUCAAGAUCCAUUUCACAUGUACCACCGGCACAAUUCUUACUAAAAAUAGAGGCAUUUUCAUCUCUUGUGGAGAAUGAUGUGGAAAAUUAUGAAUCUUUGGAAUUUGAUGCUGGAGGCUACAAGUGGUGUGGGCCAAAACCUAAUUGUACACUAUAUUCAUAUCACCUUAUUACUAAAUUACAUAUCAUAAUCUAAUAUGUUAUUUUGAAUUCAUGAUCGUUUUAGGAAACUUGUUGUCUACCCAAAUGGAAAUAAAAACAAAAGCGUGAAAGAUCACAUCUCACUCUACUUGGCUAUGGUAGACACAAGUUCACUUGGCCUUGGUUGGGAAGUCUAUGUGAUUUUCCGCCUAUUUGUGCUUGAUCAGAAGAAAGACGAGUUCUUGAUUCUUGAAGGUUGACUGUUACACUCAACAAUGUUUAUGAUUGUUUCGUUCUUAUUUAUUUGAGACCUAAUCAAUGAUUUGGACCGGGUCACCUUCAUGUGAUAGAUGCCAUAGGAAAAGAAAGACGUUUUCAUGGAUUGAAGCUAGAAUGGGGUUUUGAUCAAUUCAUUCCGCUUGAAGAAUUUAACGAUGCAUCGAAUGGAUAUCUUGUGGGAGAUACGUGUGUUUUUGGGGCGGAAGUAUCGGUUAAAGAAAGGAACAAAUGCAAAGGGGAGUGCCUUUCCAUGACGAAAUUGACAUCUGCUUCCAAUUAUAAACAUGUUUGGAAGAUCGAGAACUUUUCAAAGUUAGAGGCAAAGCUUUACGAAUCAGAAGUAUUCGUUGCUGGACAUCAAAAGUGGUAUGUAUAUUUUCUGAAAUGGUGUUCAAAUCCGGACGUUCGGAGUUUAUAAAAUUCGGAUUGAAAUAUGAUCAAAGUUGUACAUUUAACAGUAGUUUACAGCUCUAAUAUGUCAUAGACUAAAUCUAGACCUGAGCAUGACUAAUACUUGGGAUUCAUUUGUACAUGGCAAUAUAUGUAUGAGUUUUGAAUAAUACAACUUGUUAAAAAGAUACAUCAUGUUAAAAUCACUUCUUCGAAUGUAUAAUGUAAAAUGAAUUGUUAAAAUUUAUUUGUUUCCCUAUUCAUAAAUAUAAUCUAAAUGCCACACCUGAAAGUUACUGUUUAAUGGAAUGCAGAGACUUAGACUUUACUCUUGUUGAUUUUUUUCAGGAGUAUACAACUCAAUCCCAAAGGACAGGGAGCAGGUAGGGGCAGUCAUAUUUCUAUGUACUUGGAAUUGGCUGACUUUUCAACUAUAACUCAUGGCUCUAAAAUAUACGUGCAUUUUACCCUGCGAAUCCGGGAUCAAGUGUUGUCAAAGCAUCAUGAAAAAAAAAGUAAAUUAUUAUAAACCCAAACUUUAAUAGGUAAUACAAUUCAAUGAGAUAAAUACAAAUAACUUCAGGUUUCUAUUGUUGUUCUUGCAGCUAGUAACUGGUUCACUACCUCAAACACAAGUUGGGGUUGGCACAAAUUUUUGAACUCAGUUACUUUAACAAGGCAGAAAAUGGUUUUCUUGUGAAUGAUGUGUGCAUUGUGGAAGCAGAGGUGCCUGUGCUUGGAAUUUCUAAAGCUCUGUAAUGAAUAACUAAUAAGCAUUGUUACUCUUGCAAGAAAAAUGGGAUGCCAGUUUUUAAUUUUAUUGCUUAUAAUAAGAGUUAAUCUCAUUGUACCCAUACCUUUUGGCAAAGAAAUCCAGUUGCUGAUACUCGAUAAAAUUGGUUGUUAAGUCUCCACAUGGAAAUUACAAGGGGAUGCCUUCUUAUGGAUUUAGCAUGUGAUAUCUAAUCCACUGUUGCUUCUGUCCUCUUUGUAUUUUGCUUUAUAGUCGCAAUAAGUAAAUUUGACUAUGGCUUUGGUAUUACAAGCUUUUUAUCAUAUAAAUGUUAAAUAAAAUCAACUUAAUUUUCAAAUAACAUAAAAAAUUUACCAAUCACUAAAGUAUUACUCAACCACGAUACUAAAUUGGACCUAAAUUUUGGAGGCUAAUUAUAUAAUAUUUGAUAAUAGAAAACUGAACAACUAAAAUAUUGCUUCAACUCGUUGAGAUAUACGUUUUCUAGUGGAGGAUAUUUUUGUUCAUUUGUAUUAUAGUUGUUUUCUUUCCCUUACCAUUCCAUUCUUGUAACCAAACGAAAGAAUCAAUAUUUCUUGACCAAACCAAACGAAUUAAAGAAAUCAAUAUUCAUUUCCCUAUUCUAUUCCCCUUUCCUUUACCCUUAGCUUUCCAUUCCAUUCUUGCAACCAUCAGUUUCCAAAAUUUGGUGGAUAUCAGUAGUCAUUCUGACUCUUUCUAAAAAUUUAUUCUUGAAUUGGAUAAACCCUUAAUCUUGAUAUGCCUUAUAUACACCAUGGUCACUUUUAGAUAUUUUAAAGGAAAAAUAUUGCCCUUGAGAGAACUUUAACCCUUGGAAAAUCUUAUUAUAAUCAAUCUUUCUUCAAUACUAGUUUUGGUACUUGAAGAAUUAUAGUAAGUUGGAGGAAUUGGUUGCAAUGGAAAAACAAGUUGGUAUGUUCUUUGAAAUGGUGCUCCGGUCCAAACGUCCUCACCAAGCUUGGACUUAAACUAUGAUCAAACAGCCAUCCAAACCUGCGGAUAAUUAUACUUAAUUAGGGUUCAAAAAUAUACAUGUGUGAUAUAGCUGAUGCAAAAGAAAUUCUAUCAUAUGAAAAUGAUUAUUUUGUUAAUAUCUUUACUCAUACCAUCUACUUGAAUGCCUCAUCUGAAAAUUAACCCGUAGUAGAAUUUUUUCAGGAGGAUAGAUCUCCCUCCGAAGGGAAUCAAAAGUGGAACCGGCGAGUCAUCUUUCUAUGUACUUGGCAUUAACUGAUUCAUCAGCUAUAACUCGUGGUUUUGCAAUACAAGUGCGUUUCACACUGCGAAUCCGGGAUCAAGUGCGGGUUGGGGUUGGCCAAGAUUUGCUUAACUCGGUUACUUAAACGAGGUAGGCAAUGUUUUGCUUGUAAAUGAUGUGUGCAUUGUUAAAGCAGAGGUCUCUGUGCCUGGAAUUUCCAAAGCACUGUGGUAAUAUAACUAAUGAGCAUUGUUACUUGCAAGAAAAUUGGGAUGCCGAUUUUUACUUCUAAUUUCUUAUAAUAAGAAUUAAUCUGAUUGUACCUACAGAUAGCUUUCGCGAAAGAAAUUCAGCUGCUGACACUCUCACCAUGUUUUGGUUUUCAAGUCUCCACACGGCGAUUAGAUGGGUUCAGCCUGUGAUAUCUAGUCAAAUGUUGAUAUAGUUGUCUCUGUAUUUUGCUUUAUUUCUCUUUAAUUAAUUUUUUUUAAAAAAAAUGGGAGAAAAAAUCUUCGUUGUUGUUAUAAGAUAUGUUUAUCCACCUCUUGAUCAAAAUGUACUUUCACACUAAUAACUUUAGAAAGUAAAUUAUAAAAAAUAUUUAUGAAUUGUGCAUCACAAAGUGUGUUGCUAAAUGCACGACUAAUUGAUGUAAUUUAUUGGUUAUAAAUACCCAUCAAUCAAAUAUAGCAAGAGAUUGAGACAUGAAAUAGCGAACGGGUGAAGAAAUUUUGUUAAUCGUUCUCUCAUUGACUUUCUUGUUAUUAUUUCUAAUCAUUUUAACUUCAUAUUCAUAUUAUUUGCAUGCACAAUAUACUUCCCAAAUUUGAUCUACAACAAAUUGUGAGUUUACGAAAUUGCAACGCAUUCCGAUUAUGUACAGGCUUUUUAUAAGAGUAUUACUGAACACAUUCAAGUUAUUCUCCCAUUGCACCCCUUCUUAAACCAAGUAGGUGUAAAAACUAAAAAGAGAUGAAGGAGGUGUAUUUAAAAGAUCUCUUUCACUAAAACAGUGGCCAUUAUUAACAAACAGAAAACGCAACCGUUGAGAUGAGGCUGGGAGAAAACUGGAAGAGAUGUAGAGGGAUUUUUUUUGUUCUUUCUAUUAUUAUUAUUUUUUUAAUUUUAAAUAUGCCAUUAAAAAAAUACUAUAAAAUACAUUCAUUCAAUAUAAAAUGUCAGCUUGAGAAAAUGUCGCUCAACCAUGUGUAAUGGGUGUAGGCAGAGCAGAGGCGUGUCCGCGUGUCCAUGGCCGUUCCAGUGUAAGGGCAUUUUAGACUUUCCCUCACAUGUUUUGUCAUGUUUAUGGAAUUUUAAUUUCAUUGGUGGCAUAUUCGGGGCAAAAUUAAAUUCCUCAAAAUUUCCUCUUUAUGCACCUAUAAAAGCUGACACGAUGCCUUUCAAAAACCAAAAAAAAAAAAAAAAAAAAACUGACACGAUGAACAGUUGAACACUUGAGACCGAAGCGUGAUGGGUAACCAAGAUCGAAAUUUCUGGUUUUGGUGGUGGUGAUAAUGAUAUGUAUGAUACUGCGUGGGUUAUUCGGAAUUUGGUUAUUGAUGCUUGCUAAAUAUCUAAUGUAUGAAAGCAGACGAGAGUAAUGGAGUUUUGUUGUGGCUAGGAAUUGAUUUCUUGGAGUAAUAAUGUGGCUUACCACUAGCUUGACUAGACAGAGAACGGCUUAUUAGCAAAGGCAAGGGACAGAAGGAGCCAAAAUUUUAGGUUUUCUAAGAAUAGGGAGAGGGUGAAGUAAAUAAAAUUACAAAUUUGUAAAAGAUCCUGAAAACCUAAUUUCAAAUGUUUAUCCAGAUGUCAGUGUUGUUGUCUACUCAUAUUAUAUAUUUUUAGCAGUCCAACAUAACGAUUUUUAGUAAUUUUUAUACUCAACUAAAAAUUAUGAAAUUAAACAUACAGUAAGUAGACAUAAUAAGGAAAAUUGGCGAAGUCAGACAUGCUGCUGAAAAUCAGAAUUUUCUAACACAAUUGUUCUAAUUUCGAAAAUUCACAACAAAUUGAUUAGUUGGAAUUUCUUUGCACAAAAUACAUCAUUGAAAACCUUGAGAUGUCUACUUUAAUUUUAUGGUGCAGAAAUUAAAUCAAAAAUAAAGGAAAAAUAGUAACCAAAUCACAAUGCUCAUGCCUCAUAAUGCCUGACUGGUCAUUCAUGAUAAAAAGAACAAUACAUGCAUUCAUCAUCAAAUACAUAAGAUCGUAUUAGAGAGCAUGAAUUAAAGAAGGAUAAAUACCUCAAAACUUCUUUCAAACAUGCAUAAAAGAAGACCUUGGAAUUCAUUUUUUUAAUACAUUUUUAUUUGGUUGAAGAAUUUUAAAUCAUAUGGAGAUAGGAAGAGUUUAAGUUUUAUAAAAACAAAUGCUUUUAUAAAAAUACAUUAUACGAUAGAUAGAUAAUCCCUCAUAAUUUAUUUUAAAAAAAUAAAUAAAAAGAAUUAUACCUUAUCUCAAAUAAUGCUAAUUAAAAUAAAUUUGCAACAAAAGAUAAACAAUUAAAUAGAUAAGCAUAAUUAAAUUCAAACAAAUAAUUAGAGAUGGGUGUUACAUUGGGAGUGGCCAAAAUUUGUUAAACUCGGUUACUUGAACAAUGCUAGCAAUGGUUUUCUUGUGAAUGAUGUGUGCAUUGUGGAAACAGGGGUGCCUGUGCUCGGAACUUCCAAAGCCCUGCAAUAUAUACUCUAAUUAGUAUUGUUACUCUUGCAAGAAAAUUGGAAUGCCAAUUUUUAAUUUUAUUUCUUAUAAUAAGAGUUAAUCUCAUUGUACCCAUAUAUUCUGGUAAAGAAAUUCUUAUGCUGACAUUCAAUAAUUGGCAGUUAAUUGUUUGUUAAGUCUCCACAUGGAGAUUAGAUGGGAUGCCUUCUUAUGGAUUAAGCCUCUGAUAUCUAAUUCAUUGUUGUAUUUCUCUCUCUAUAUUUUGCCUUAUAGUUGCGCUAGGUAACGUAUUAUAGGUUUUUUAUCUUACAAGUGUAAAAUAAAGUUAACAUAUCUUUCAAAUCACAUCAAUAAAUGUUUACUAAAUACUUAAGUGCUGCUUAACCACAAUAGCAAAUCGGGCCAAAAUUUGGAAAUUAAUUAUAUAACAUUUGAUAAUAAAAAAUAUAACAAUUAAAAUAUUGAUUCAACUCGUUGAUAUAUACAUUUUUUUGAUUGGAGGGUAUUUUUGUUCACUUGUAUUGUAGUUGUUUUCUUUCCCAUUACCAUUCCAUUCUUACAACCAAGCAAAGAAAUCAAUAUUCCAUAACCAAACCAAACAAAUUAAAGAAAUCAAUAUUCCUUUACCCUUUCCAUUCCAUUCUUGCAACUAUCAGUUUCCAAAUUUUGGUGAAUGUCAAUAGUCAUUCUGACACUUUUUGAAAAUUUAAUGUUAUCAUUCCAUUCUUGCAACUAUCAAUUUCCAAAUUUUGGUGAACAUCAAUAGUCAUUCUGAUACUUUCUGAAAAUUUACCCUUUCCAUUCCAUUCUUGUAACUAUCAGUUUCCAAAUUUUGGUGAAUGUCAAUAGUCAUUUUGACACUUUCUUUCCCAUUAGCAUUCCAUUCUUGCAACCAAACAAAGAAAUCAAUAUUCCUUAACCAAACCAAACAAAUUAAAGAAAUCAAUAUUCCUUUUACCCUUUCCAUUCCAUUCUUGCAACUAUCAGUUUCCAAAUUUUGGUGAAUGUCAAUAGUCAUUCUGACACUUUCUGAAAAUUUAAUGUUGAAUUGUAUAAACCCUCAACCUUGAUGCUUUAUAUAUACCAUGGUCCUUUUUAGAUAUUUUAAAGAAGAAAGGUUACUCUUGAGAUAACUCUAACCCUUAAAAAAUCUUAUUAUAAUCAAUCUUUCUUCUAUACUCUUUUUAGUACUUGAAGAGUUAUAGUAGUUUGAAGGAAUUUGUUGCAAUGGAAAAUCAAGUUGGUACGUUAUCAGGCUCUUUCCCUAGCUCCCUUUCUCUAUGUAUGUUUAUAUAUGUAAAUCGAACACUUUUAGCUUGUUAUUUUCUUAUCAGUGUUAAAAUGACUCUUGACAGCAGUUUCAAUAUCCAUUUCACAUGUACCACCGGCUCAUUUCCUACUCAAAAUACAGACAUUUUCGUCCCUUCUAGAAAAUAAUGUGGAAAGUUAUGAAUCUUCAGAAUUUAAUGUUGGAAGCCACAAAUGGUAUGGCCUAAAACUUAGUACACUAAUAUUAAGAUUACCUUAUUACUUAAUUAUAUAUCAUAAUCUAAUAUGUUAUUUAAUUCAUGAUGGUUUCAGGAAACUUGUUGUGUACCCAAAUGGAAAUUAAAAAAAAAGGUGAAAGAUCACAUCUCACUCUACUUGGCAAUGGCAGACUCAAGUUCUUUUGGUUUCGGUUGGGAAGUCUUUGUGAUUUUUCGCCUGUUUGUGCAUGAUCAGAACGAAGACACGUACUUGAUUCCUCAAGGUUGAUUAUUAAACUCAAGAAUAUUUAUGAUCAUUUUGUUCUUAAUUAUUUAACUGAGAGCUAAUCAAUGAUUUGACGUUACUUCAUCAUGUGGUAGAUGCAAUGGGAAAUGAAAGACGUUUUCAUGGGUUGAAGCUUGAAUGGGGUUUUGAUCAAUUCAUCCCGCUUAAAGAAUUUAACGAUGCUUCAAAUGGAUAUCUUGUGGGAGAUACAUGUGUUUUUGGAGCAGAAGUCUUUGUUAAAGAAAGGAACAUAGUCAAAGGAGAGUGCCUUUCCAUGAAGAAAUUCACAUCUGCUUCCCCUGAUAAGUAUGUUUGGAAGAUCAAGAACUUUUCAAACUUGGAGGCAAAGCGUUACGAAUCAGAAGUAUUCGUUGCUGGAGAUCAAAAGUGGUACUUAUACUUUCUGAAUUGCUGUUCAAGUACAGACGUUCGAGAGUUUUUAAAAUUCGGAUUUGAACUAUGACAAGUUGUACUUUUAACAACGAUUUACAACUCUAAUGUAUCAUAGACUAAAUCUAGACAUUUGUACCUGAGCAUGACUAAUACUUAGGGUUCAUUUGUACAUGCGCGAUAUAUUUCUGAUGCCGAUGCAAAAGAAAUUCUUUUGAGUAGUUUUGAAUAAUACAACUAGUUAAAAUAAUGCAUCAUGUUAAAACCACUUCUUCAAAUGUGUAAUGUAAAAUGAUUUGCACAAAUUUUUUUAUUUAUCUAUUCAUAUAUAUAAUCUAAGCAUCACAUCUGAAAGUUAAUGUUUUGAUAAUUUGUUAAAUGGAACCUCUUAGUAAAUAUGUACAAUUGAAUGCCGAGACUUAAACUUUACCCUUCUUGAUUUUUUCAGGAAGAUACAACUCUAUCCCAAGGGACACGGAGUAGCUAGUGGCAGUCAUAUUUCUAUGUACUUGGCAUUGGCUGACUCCUCAACUAUAACUCGUGGUUUUAAAAUAUACGUGCACUUCACACUGCGAAUCCGGAAUCAAGUGCGGGGAAAGCAUAAAGAAGCAAAAGGUAAUUAAAUAAAAAAAUUAUUAUCCCAAACUUAUUUCACAGGUGCAUGAAUUAAUGCAAUAAUAGUACUGCAACUAUAAGCUUUAUAGCUAAAUACAAAUAACUUGAGGCUUUCUUUAUUGUUGUUUCACGCAGCAAGUAUAUGGUUCAGUUACUUAAACGAGGCAGGCAAUGGUUUUCUUGUGAAUGAUGUGUGCAUUGUGGAAGCAGAGGUUUCUGUUCUUGGAAUUUCAAAAGCAUUGUGAUAAUUUAAAUUCUCGUUGUUGUUAUGAGAUAUACCUAUUCAUCUCUUGGUAAAAAGAAUGUGUAUUUUACACUAAUAACUUUAGGAAGUGAGUUGCAAAAGCAGCUCCAUGAUUUAUGAUGUAUGUGUGUAUCAUCAUACUCCUUGAAAUAUAAUAUACAUAACACCUUAAGAAUAAAAAAAACAUGUUGCUAAAUGCACGACCGAAUAUAUAUGCUUUAUUGGCUAUAAAUACCCAUCAAUCAAAUAUUUCAAGAGAUUGAGAAAUGAAACAGUGAACACGCGAAGAAGUUCUGCUAAUUAUUCUACCAUUGACUUAUUAUUAUUUUGCUCCUUUUAACUUCAUGCCAUUUUUAUUGUUUGACAUAUUUGUACCCCUUUUUUAUUCAAGUAAAGAGGUGUAUUUAAAAGAUCUCUUUCACUAAAACAGUGGCAUUAUAAAAAUUAAAAAACAGAGAACCCAACAGUUGAGAUGAGGCCGGGAGACCUCAAAGAGAUGUAGAGUUUUUUUUUUUUUUUUUUUUUUUUUUUUUUUUUUUUUUAAUUUUAAAUAUGCCGUAAAAAUGGCCAAUUUCCAGAACUACGCCUGCUUUCGGCUUUAUUCACUUAUAUGAGAUUACGACCGAGUGAAUUGCACAAAGACUAUAAAAUACAUUCAUUCAAUAUAGCAACACAAGUUCAAUACCUAAAAAACCUAUUUUGCCUCUCUCUCUCCAAUUUUUUUUUUUUUUUAAAGUGAUAGGCUUUCUUUAGUUUAAUUUUUCGUUCGUUAUAAUGCAUAGCAUAGAUAAAUUACUUAAGUACAAUUAGAUAAUUAUGGAAUAAUUAACAAAUAAUAUUAUCAUAAUUAAUUCAUUUUCGAUAAUAUUCGAGUAAUUAAAAAAUUAAAUAUAGAUCGAAUAUGAAAAUGAGUCUCACAAUUAUGUAACUAUUGGUUAAAAUAAAGUCGAGUAUGGUUGUCAACUAAAAAAAGGUCGGGCAGCUAACUAAUGGGUGUGGGUGGAGUGUGUCAUUCUAAUGGAAGGGCUUUCUAGACUUUUCCUCACAUAUUUGUCAUGUUUAUGGAAAUUUUAUUUUCAUUGAUUGCAAAAUCCUCAAAAAUUCCUCUUUAUAUACAUAUGAAGUCCGGAGACAAUAAACGGAUAAACACUCUUUAAGGCCGAAGCGUGAUGGGUAACCAAGAUCGAAAUUUCUGGCGGCUCGAAUCAAGGGAUCCAUAGAUACUUGGGAGAAAAGAAACAUCAAAAUAUAAAAAAUAUCCAAAAAUAAAUAAACAUAAAACAAAAAAAAAAGUGCAUAAAUACACGAACAAUACAGAGAGAGAGAGAGAGAGUUCUAGAAAGAGAGACAAUGGUGCUAUGGGAGAUCACAUUGGGAACAGCGUAUUUCUUGGGGAUGAAGCGGACGUACAGGCUUGCUUUGAGGAUUCAGGGCCGCGUUAUCAGCCCUAAGCACCCCCGGAUUCGUCAAUUUGUUCACCGGUAUAUUUGUGUUACUGUUGUUGUUAUUAUUAUUUGAUUAUUUCAUUUUGUUUGGAGUUUGAUUUUGAUUAAUUUGUAGCUUGAUGGGUUAGCAGUCAAUAGGUUUAUUAGCAGAUGGGUUUAAUUAAGCUAGGUGGUUUCAAGUGUUAAUUUUCAGUAAUGGGUUCUGUAGCUAUGUUCAUUACGGCAAUAAGAGCUGUUGAUUUUGGAGUCAAAAGAGGUUUAUGAUGAUGAUGGUGGUAUUCGUGGUGUUGAUAAUGAUAUGUAUUAUACUGAUAUGGGAUAUAUUAACAAUACAUUGCAAUGCAAUGUUCUUGUGUUUCACAAUUUUAUGAUAUUUUUCAAAAUUGAUCUUGGUAAUUUGAUAUAGUAGUGUGUGUUAUUUUGAAUUUGGUUGUUGAUGCUUGCUAAAGAUCUAAUGUAACAAAGCUGGGGAGAGUAAUGGAGUGUUUUGUGGCUAGGAAUUGAUUUCUUGCAGAGCUAAUGUGGCUUAAUAGCGGCUAGACAGAGAACUGCUUAUUAGCAAAGGCAACGGACAGAAGGAUCCAAAAUUUUAGGUUUUCUAAGAAUAGGGGGAGAGGGUGAAGCAAAUAAAAAUUACAAAUUUGUAAAAGAUCCUGAAAACCUAAUUUCAAAAGUUUAUCCAGAUAUGAGUCUUGUCGUCUACUUAUGUUAUAUAUUGCAGUGAAAGUAAACCAUGUUUACCUUACUGAAACUAUUUUUGUGUGAACUUAACUAUGGAGUAACUAUAUAGGAAGCAACAGACAUGAGCUAUCCUUGUAGCAUCUCCUAAUUACUUAUAUAUUUCCUUAGGAAGUACUCCUAUGCCAUCAAAAACCAUAAAAGCGUGUGUUCUUUAGGGAGGUAUUGUAUGGAUUUUGGUUUUCUUUUGGGGUCAAAGAUUCAUAGAAUUUCUCCUUGCUCUUCCCUUGUAUUCUCUCUUCUCACUACCUAUUGUACGAUUCUUUCUUCUAUUUUCCUUUCUUCAAAAAAAAUUUAGCUGAAAUUUCUACCUUCUAAUGCCUCUUCAAUGGGAUUUUGAUGGAUUAUGUGGAGUUGAUUGCGUCGAAUCUGAAUUCUAUAUGUUGCAGCAAUGCAUCCUGCGGAAUGGGAUUAUCUUAGGAUAUGUGUCCACGAUUAUGACGGCUUGUAUUUGCCUAUGUAUUGUCAUCUCUUUGAAAAGUCCACAAUUAUGAUGGCUUGUCUUUGGCUAUGUAUUAAUCAUCUCUUUGAAAAGUUACUUUGAUGGUGGUUCAUAAAUUGUUAUUCAUGGUCUGAAUUUUCUGUCUGAGUGCCAUGCCACUAGACCAUCUCUUAAAAUGGAAGUUUUCUUGUUAGAUGCACCUGUUGUACUCUACUUGUCUACUUUUGAGUGUGCCCCAUCUUGGCUAAUCCGAUGAACUUAUUGCUUCCAAUCUUAUGAGCUCCAUUGAAGUUUAGUUGUACAGAGGCCAAAUAUGUGCUUGAAUACAACUAUAACAAAGUACCAAUCUGUAUUUUAUUUGCGUUAAAUAUAUAAGAAUAUGGAAGGAAAAACUUUAGAAUAGUACUUCAACUAGUUCAUCGUGCAUCCUGACAUUUCUACUUCAGCUUGGUUGUAAGCUGAUGUGAAUGGUUCACAUUGACUUGAUAUCAUAUGCAAUAUGAGAGACCACUGGUCUCCUCCCUGAAAGCAAUUAUUCUUCCCUAUCUGACUUAGAAUGGCCCUGUGCCUUUCAUAAUAAAAUCAGCUUCUAAAUCUGUGAUCUUAUGACAUAUUGGAUAGGCUAGGUUGCUGAAUUUGUGAUUUAACCAAUUAUGGAGCAAAGCCAAUCCUUUAAAGGAUUAAGAGAAGUUACUAUCAACUCAGUUGAUCGUUGAAUAUCCGCAACUGCAACCUGCAUUCUCUCAUUCUAGAUUGGUGCAUAAUUUCUAUUGCGAAGUUUUGCAAACCUCCAACUAGUUUUGUCUGUGUGCCCAUUAUGGGAUUUGAAUCAACUUAUCUUUUAGAUUUGCCAUAUCAAACUUUUAACAAAAUGUUUUUGCUGUUUUGGCAUUAUGUUGAACCCUUGAUGUCAAAGCAACAUGUUUGCCAGCUUCUUGUAGUACCUGUAGGUGAAGCAGUUAGAGAGUUCAUAUGUAUUCCUGUGAACUUAUUAUCCAAUCAAGCUACAAUGCUCGGAUACCAGAACUAAUUUCAUUAUUAUGAGCACAUUCUUAAAUUGCUGUCUCUCUUUAGGUGAUGUGAAGAUUUUGGAGAAGCACAAGUACUAACGUCCAAAGCUGGAGCUCAUAGCUGUACUCUUGUUUAGUUCAGAGAGACUGUUUUGAAAUGAUAGAUUGAAAGUUCUUCUGUGCUUUUCUUUUUAAUGGGCCGUUGUAUUUUGAUGUUUAUUAGUAGGACGUUAUUAACUUCAUGAAAGUAAGUUACCGGGCACAUAUUUUUGCUCCAGAAUCCUUCCAAUCUAGUGCAUAAAAUGGAAAUCCUAAAUUAGUUAAUUGUUUCAAUACUUUGGACUUUGAAUUGAUUUAGUAUGCCUCAUGAAGCCAAUAAUUGCACAUCCUCCACUCUUAGAGUCUCAGUGUGAUAUUGCCCACGGUACUGCCUGAGCAUUGCAUUCUUCCCACUGGUUGGCUCAUUGGACUCCAUUUUACUGUUUAACUACUGCUGUUAUGUCAAUUACUAGCUGACAAAUACUGUUAUUUCUACAAUUGUUUUGAAUAAUAACAAAUUUAUUACUCCUCCAACUUGGAACUGCCAUUGUUUUUUGAAGACUGACCUUCAUUCUUCAUUGAUUUUUUCCACAGCCGAGUAUGUGCUGCCUUUGAUGUUGCUCUCAAGUUUCACAGGAACAUACAUGAGAGGGACAUAGAAGUUGGUAGAAAUGCUGGAUUCUACGUUGGCUUGACUGAAUGAAGCCAUCUGCCCAGAUACGUGGUCCCCCUGAGAAACCUUCACAUGGCCCCAACAUGAGCAUGACCAACCAUGGAAUGAAGUCCUUGAAUCCAAAAACUCCUGGAGUCCAAACAUCUAGAAACAAGGAAUCUGAUAGACAUCUGUUUAGCUCAUCAAAAAAUAUAUGGCCUAAACCACCCUUUUCUACCAUUGCCAUGAUGAUGCGGCAUCCAAGGCCUGCGGGAACGACAACCCAUUAUAGGCAUCUUGAGACAAAUGGAUCUGAUCUGUUGAGUUUGAACUACAAUAGAAAUGGGUUUGAUGGAGUCCUCGAACAUCAUGCAGUGGUUGCUGCAAAAGUGAAGGUAGAAGCUUUUCAGACACCUGUUAGUUUCUGAAGUUUUAAUUGCCAAUAAUUCAAUUAAAAUAUCUCACUCAAACCGCUCGCAUUAUUGGACUCCUAAAUUUGAAAUUCAUCCAUGCGAGUUAUGGUCCUGUUGCUUGAUCAUCAAGCCUUGAUCACUAAUUACUGAAGGGCUGCGUGCUGCGUGCUGCGAAAGCUGGCAAAGCUAGGUUUUAGUUGUUUUGCUUCUUUACUGAAAGAUAGUAAUUGUUCUCUCUGUUUUCAGUGACUCUAGGUUUUGUGUUUCCAAACCAGUAACUGCAUAGUUGCUUCUGGUAAUGUUUGUUUGUUUCUUUGUUUGUGAAGCAGAUUCCUCCAGAUUGGAAACGGCUGUGGUGAUGGCGAUCAUCUUUCUCUGUACUUGGCUUUUGGAGAUUCCACAGUCAAGGUGAUUAAAGUAUAUAUAUAUAUGCAGAGCAUACAUUGCGAAUCAUAGAUCAAGAGGGGGCAAAACAUAAAUCUUUUCGAGGUGAAAUAUCUGUGUUCACAUGCAAUUAGUAUUUGAGGCAAAUCCAAUGACUAUAACGAGAAUGUUGCUUUUACUCUAGUAGAGAAUAAAGACUGGUUCAAUACACCAAGCGAUAACUGGGGCCGGCCAAGAUUCGUUUCAUUGAGUGGGUUAGAUGAGCCAGAGACUGGAUUUCUAGUGAAUGGCGUUUGCGUGGUGGAAGCUGAGGUCACUGUGCUUGGAAUUUCCAAGCCAUUAUAACAAGUAAUUAAUUGUCCUCCAAAUGGGUUCUUUUAUUGUGUGAUGCUGACUGCUUGGCUAAUCUAGGAAAUUUAUUUUAGCUAUCAGGAAAUUUAUUUCUCUUGUGGUUUUCCAAAAUAACUCUUACGUUGCUUAUUGUUUAUGCUGUCAAGUGUCAAGCUAACUUUUUAGUGUUAUUUUGGUGUUCUAUUUCUCUGCAUCUCUUUAAGGAGAAAUUCAUUAUAUCCCCUACGCUGUAAUUUUUCUCUUCUAAGAUUUUGAUUUAAAAGAAAAAUGAAAAAUGAAAAAAAAAAGUAGUUGAAACGAAGAAAAUUGGGAUGCAAGAGAACUAAUAACUUCACUUACUAAGAAAAUGAAAACCAAGUAGAAUUGAACCUCAUUGAAUUAAUAUUGAUAAAUUGAUAACUCCUAUUAAAUAAUAGUUUUCUUCAGUUGACUUAGAGUCAAUAUGGUAAAUUAAUAAUUUGAUAAAUUUUAUUAGAUAAUAUAUUUUUAAAAAAAUUAUUUUCUAUAAGACCCAAUUAAUACAUGUAUUAAUAAUUAAUUAAUUUAAAACUAAAUACAUAUAAUAUGUCUAUGAUUUUUUUUUGUUGUAUUGGCAUAAUGCUUUAUGCAUUUUAUCGAUCAAUAUUACUUUUUUUACACUUUUCAGUUGAGAAGUUAUUGUUGUAUUAUAUGUGUUGUGGUAAGAGAAAUAAGAGAGAGAGAGAGAGAGAUAUUUAAUCUAUUGCCUCCAAAAAAUCUAUGUUGAUGAGUUACCAUGUAAUCAUGAUCCAACUAUACAAUCUAACCAAAGAAUUAUCAAAUGAUUGAUUCACUCAAUCAAGAUCGAAUUAAAAUCCUAUCAUAUAACAUGAUAAAAUCACUAAAUUCUGUAGUUAUCCUACGUUAGAAUCACUAAAUUUCUUUACUCAAAAAAAAAAAGAUCACUAAAUUUUCUAAUUAUACUAGCUCAGAAUCACUAAAUUCUUUAAUUAUACUAUCACUAUAUUUCAUAAAAAAAUCCUAUUAUCAACGUGAUAUUAUUUCUAUAAAGAUAAAUUAAUAUUUAUUCAUUUAUGGAUAUAAAAAAAAGUACCGACCAUUUUGUUCGGGGACUGAGGCAAUGGCGUUUCCUGUGUAUAAUAGGAGCUUUAGUUUUUUUAUUUAAAAGAAAUAAUGAAGAAAAAACAUGUCGUUAUCAGUACCACCAACUCAAUUUGCAAUUAAAAAAGAAGAAGAAAUUAAUCGACAGAAACUCACUUCCUGCUCUUGGUUCAUUUCAUCUUUCCAAGCUUAUGCUUCUACCAGGUGAAUCCAACAUGGAAUUGGAAAAAAUAAUGAAGUUAGAAAUGACAAUAACAUAAAAAGCUUUGGAUUCCCUCCGCCAAACUAUUACUUGAAAAGAAAAUGAGGGAAAAGCCUAGGAUCUCCGGCGAGAAUCUUAACUCUCAAGAUGAGACCAGAUAAUAAUGUAAUACUAGAGAGAUAACGUGAAAGGGUAACUUUCCGUAGCCAUAGAAGCAAAUUAUGUAAACCAAAAUUAUCCCAGCAAGCCAAUAUGAAUUCUUUCCACCUCAACCUGUUCAAAAACAGAGCAAGAUAAAGCUUAAAUGUCAAAAGAAGUGAAUCUUUUCAAUAAUGUGAAAGUAAAUAAAACAAUAAGGUAAAGAAUUAUGAUUUUUCCUAAUGCUUGCGUAAACAAUCAUGACCGAGGAAAACUUUCCAGAAAUAAGAACAGUGAAGACAUGAUUCACAGGCAUUAAACCCAAUAAAAUCCCUCACCAAUAUUUACCUCAUUAAAUUUUAAUGCCACCUACAAAUGGGAUGAUAAAACGAGUUGUCAUUCACAUAUUGCUUAUUCAUCAAUCUCUUCACCUUUGAUUAAAGUCGGGAGGUAACAUUCAAUUUGUGCAGGAACCAACAAACAAAAGAUGCAUUUUUUUUGUAGUAUGAAGACAAUUGAACCAACGAGCGUGAAGCGCCGCCCCCCCCCCCCCCCCCCCCAAACAAAAAAAGAAAAAAAGAAAAUUGAUGACCCACCUCAUAUGAUUUUAGUAUGCUUGGCAGUAUCAUUUUUUAUAAAAUUUCUGAGACUUUGUUUUCGGGUUAUGGUUAUAAGUUUUCGGGUCCCACGUCACAUGAUUUUCGGCCAAGCAGAAUUUAGUUUCCCUCCCUUUUGUCAGUCAAUGUGUUUCAGAAAUUUUGAUGGUGAUCAAAUCAAAAUUGAUGCUUCUAUUCAUGUAUCAGUGCAAUAAGUGAGCUAGUGAUAAUCGUGGCUCUAUUUUGGACUUCAGUACCUUUGAAGAGCUAGCUACCGGUCUUGUAGUUGUUUGACAUUAUGGGCGAGGGAGGAAGGUUAUGUUUUUUUCUGGUAUCACUGCUCCACUAACACUUUGCCCGUGUUUGAAUUUCAAUUCAUGCCAAAUUCUCAUCAAACAAAGAGAUCUUUUGAUUGUUAACAUGCAAGGUGCAAGUAAUCAAUCAUGGUUCUGUCUUGGUAAAAUUAUAUUACAAAUUAUAAUCAGUCAAAUUGAUCGUAUUUGAGUCGUUUUUAUAAUUUCAGUUUAGUUAGGACUUAAUUUAGUUUCUUAAAUUUUUAGGAUUAAAAUUAAGCUAAAUUUUAAGUUAACUUAUCUUCAAAAGAAAAAAAAAAAAAAAAGAUAUUCAAUAUACAGGGUGUGUUUCUCUAUUAUUUCUAUUUUUUUUCCCAUUUUGCAAUAUAUAUUCAAUCAACUCCUCAACCCUAAUGUAAUCCGAAUUCGAAACCCAAACCUUUUGAACCACCGCUAUUAUCAUAUUUGUAUAUUCACGUUGAUUAAUUAUUUAAAAUAAAUAUAUCAUCUAGGCUGUUAUGCACAAAGCUUUGGUUGGAUCUAAUUAGGAUUCAAUAAUAUCGUAUUUUUCAAUAUUCAUGCACAUUUUUAACUUAGGGCUAUUCUGUCGAUCUAGACUUAGGGUGCGUUUGGGUUUGAAGUUGGGCAGAGCUACAGCGCUAAAGUGUCUGAUAAACAAUAAUUGUUGUAGCUUAAAAGCUAUCUUAAUAUGAUUUUUCACUUGUAUGAUGAAAAAGGGAAAAAUCCUCUGUCAUCCCUAGGGUUUCAUGUAAUACCUCAUUUCAUCCCUACUUUUUAAAUAAUAACUCAAAACAUCCUUUUAUUAACUCAUUGUUAGUUAAAUGUCGUUUGUUAGUUAUUAUUGAGGGUAAAAAAAGAUUUUCUAUUAAAGAGAAAAUUAAAAAAAUAAAUAAAAGUUGACAUAUAACUAAAAAUGAUGUUUAUCUAAUCCCACUAAACAGUAAAUACCAAAAAAGAUGAAAACUUCUAUUUCAAACAAUUAUUUUACACUUCUCUCUAUUUUGGCAGCAUGAAAACCCUAUAGACUCUACAUUUAAGUACAAAAAAUAAUCAUAAUUUUAAUAUUCGUAUAAGCAUACUCUCUGAUUGUACUGUGAACCGACUUGGGGAGAUAGUGGAAAGGACUUGGGAAGACAAUAAUGGUCAAAGAAGAGUGGUGGCAAAGUUCAAAAUAAAAAUUGGUUGAAGAUUAAGAAGAUUUUCAGCACAUGUAAGCACAUAAAAUUUGGUUGUAUUUUUUAGUUUUUCUUCUAAAGAUUUAAAGAUAUUGUGCUAAUUACAAUUUGUUGCUUAUGGAAACUAUUAAGUGGUUAUAUCAAAUUACUUCAUCGUUGAUUUCAUUUAAGAAAAAAUUAAUAAAUUUGGCAUAUUUUGUAGUGUUACUUAAUUGUAUAAUGAAAUUAUUUUAAUAUAGUUUGAAACAUUUUAAUAAUAAUCAUAUUUUACCAAUUUAAAUGAAUUACUAGUUAACGGCAUUAAACUAACAGUGGUUAGCGGAAGGAUGUUUUGGGCUAUUAUUUAAAAAGUAAGGAUGAAAUGAGUUAUUGCAUAAAACUUUAGGGAUGAAAAGAGGUUUUUCCCGAUGAAAAAUCUAUUAUAUCUUUAAUAAUUUUAUCAAAAUUAUUAUUAAAAAUUCUUUUUACAAUAUACUAUUAACUUUUAUUUCAUAAUUACAGUUUUUUUUCUACAAUAGUUGUACCUUAAAAGUUACAACACUUCAAUUUCAAACAGACUCUUACUUUCGCUUUGAGCUUUGAAGUACAUUUUAAUACUUGCACAUUAUUAUACAUGCGAUUAAUAUCUAUAUAUUUGUUAUGUUUAAUUAUUAACAAUCAAGAAAUUUCUCCCCACAAAAUAAUCUGUGAAAUGAACAAUCGCUACAUGAGCUUAGAAUUUUCUAAGCGCUGUAACGAAGAUUAGUACAAACCAAAGAAAAUUUCGAUUGAGUUUAUAUUUUCGAGUUUGGUCAAUUAGAAAGUAGGAUGUAAACAGUCCAAUCAUUAGGCUUUUUAUUAAAUUUUUUUAUUUAUCCCCUAAUGUAGUAAUUAAUGAAGAUUCAUUGUAUAUUUGCUUAAAUCAAGUUUAUUCAUUGUAUUUUCAAGCAUCACAUUUUUAUGUUCUAGAUUCUAUGAAUUUUCUGAGAGAUAAAACUCAGUACCUCCUCCCAGUAAUUUUAUUUUUCUUUUAUUUAAAACGACUUCGUGCUGUCCAAGUUACCAAAAAUAAAAAUAAAAAUUCAACAACUUUUUGGAGAACUUUUCGCAAUGGAAAAUAUCUUUGUUAACAAAGAUGGUAUGUAUGUUCAACCUUUUCUCACGUUCUCUAGAGGACAAUAUUCUUAAAAUUUUCAGCUUAUUUUUAUUUCUAAUCAAUCGGUGUUAAUUAAAAAUUACUUAAAUGUAUAGCCAUUGCAAGAUACACUUCACUACCACCGGCUCAUUACAUUGUCAAAAUAAAAUCAUUUUCAUUACUUGCGGAAAAAGCAGAAGAGGAAUAUGAAUCAGGAGAAUUUGAAGUUGGAGGAUACGAGUGGUACAUAUAUAUAUAUUCUUAUCCUUAAUAACACAAGUUCAUUUACUUUGGAUUGGGAAGUCUCGGCAGUUUUUCGUCUGUUCUUACUUGAUCAGAACCAAGAAAACUACUGUGUAGUUCAAGGUUAAAUCAAAUUUAGUGUGCAGAAUUGUAUAUUGCAACAUUAGGAAAAAAAUUUGAAUGCAUGCAUAAUGAGUGGUUGCUUGUAAUGUGAUAGAUAUCAUGGGAAAGGAAAGACGGUUUAAUGGACUGAAGCAUGUAUGGGGUUUUGAUAAAUUUAUCCCGCUUAGAGCUUUCAAUGAUGCUUCGAAUGGAUACCUUGUCGAAGAUACGUGUGUUUUUGAAGCUGAAGUCCUUGUUAAAGAAAGAAACAAGUUAAUUCAAAAGAGAGUGCCGAUCUAUAAAAGAAAUUUCAAUUAGUUGUAAGUGUGUUUGGAAGAUCGAGAACUUACACGCAGGAUAUGAGGAAUCACAAGUUUUCGAUGCUGGAAAUCACAAAUGGUAUCAAAGAUUUUAAUUUUUUUUUAAUUUCUACAGGUAUAAUAAAUAAUGAGUUCUUGGGACAAAGUUGUCAGUGAGUGUAUGUUGGAGACUUAACACAUAUAACACUAAAAAAACACACUAUUUUAUUUCUUCAACAAUACUCCUCACCAACUACAACUCUUAUUUUUCACUCUCUACAACUUAGAGAUUUUGUUACUUCAUUUGAUACUUAAACUAAAGGGGAGAGGGAGUAUUUAUACAUGAAACAAACUAAUCACAACCAUUCAUUUAUUCAACUAAUAAACAAAUCCUUACCAUCCAUUAAAACAUAUCACUCACCUACUUCACCAACCACACCUACCACACCUAACACAAAUAAUUUAAACCUCAUCAACCUUCCAUGAGUUGGGCUUGAAUUUAUUCAUCUUGGAUCAAGUUUAUGAUCCAACAGUGUACAAUUAAUAAAAUACCGUUUCGGUGUUUUCAGGAAGACAGAGCUACACCCAUGGGAACUGGGCCCAAUGCUGGCGAUUGUCUUUCCUUGUUCUUGGUUUUUGGAGAUUCCACAGUUCGGAGUACUGUUAAAGUAUACGUAGAGUUUACAUUUCGAAUCUUAGAUCAAGUUCGGGCAAUGCAUGAAUCUUCUUAAGGCACAUUGCUUGCUUUAAUACGCAACUAAUUUAGUUGCCACUGACAGCUUGACCGAGUGAUUUUCAAGCAGUUUUCUUUAACUUUUGAUUUUGAAAGUACCUUUAACCCAAAAUAAUAAUAAUAAGCUUAAUUUGAGGCUAUAGAAUUCAAAUAAUGUGUAUAAUGAGAAUGAUUCUUUUUCUCUAGGAGGUAGAGAAACGUUCCAUGCACCAGGCGAUAAUAAGUGGGGUUGGUCGAGAUUCGUUUCAUUGAGUAAGUUAAAUGACCCAGAGAAUGGUACCUUGUGAACGACGUUUGCGUUGUGGAAGCUGAGAUCACUGUGCUCAGAAUCUCCGAGGCAUUGUAAUAAUAAGUAUUCUUCUUUGUUUCUCACAAAAUAAAGAAAUUCAUUGAUUUUUUGCUUACUUAUGCGAUCACGUUUGUUCAUUGACAUAAUUCUUAAUCCUGGAAGGAAAUCUCUGACAAUCUUAAUCCUGAAAUAAAAUCACAUCUAUCAAAUAUUACCAAGUGAGAUGGUGACAAAAACUCUUAGUUUUUAAUUAAAGAGAAGUAUUGAUAAGAUAAAUUUAGUACAAUAGGGCAAGAAAUUAAUAUUACAUAAAAGGAAUAUCAUUUAUGGACAUUUAAGAAUUCGAAAGAGGUAGUUUCUAAACUAAAAAAAGGAUCAGUAGCUAAAGUACUACUUAGUCACGUUUCACAAAAAUAUGUUACUGCAAAAUAAGAUAAUUAAUUUGGUGAAUAUCAAUGGUCAUAACAGUCCACAACAGUGAAUUAGAUAUUAGAUUUUUAUUUGUGCUUGAUAAAAAAAGAGACAAGUUCUUGAUUCUUCAAGAUUAAUUAUUAUACUCAACAAUGUUUAUUUUGUUCUUAUUUAAUUAUUUAACUAAGAGCUAAUCAAUGAUUUGGGGUCACCUUCAUGUAAUAGAUGCCAUGGGAAAUGAAAGAAGCUUGAAUUAGGUUUUGAUCAAUUCAGAGUUUAACGAUGCUUCGAAUGGAUAUCUUGAAGGACACGCGUGUUUUUAUAGCUGAAGUCUUUGCUAAGAAAGGAAUAAAGGCAAAGGAGAGUGCCUUUCAUGAUGAGAUUCACAACUGCUUCCAUUUAUAAGCAUGCAUGGAAGAUCGAGAACUCUUCAAAGUGCAGUCAAAGCGUUACGAAUCAGAAAUAUUCAUUGCUGGAGAUCAAAAUCUAGAUUUGAUGCUCAGGUCCAGACGUUCAGAGUUCAUAAAAUCUCGGUUCGAACUAUAAUCAAAGUUGUACAACUCUAAUAUAUAAUAGCCUAAAUCUAGACAUAUGUACCUGAACAGGACUAAUACUUAAGGUUGAUUUAUACAUGUGCGGUAUAUUUCUAAUGGUAAUGCAGAAGAAAUUAGAAUAGUACAACUUGUUAAAAAGGUGCAUCAUGUUAAAACCACUUCUUCAAAUGUAUAAUGUAAAUGAUUUGCUAAAAUUUGUUUGUUUCUCUGUUAAUAUAUAUAAACUAAAUGCCACAUUUGAAAGUUAAUGUUUUAAUAAUUUGUUAAGUGGAACCUCUUAGUAAUUAUGUACAACUGAAUGCCGAGACUUAAACUUUACUCUUGUUGAUUUUUUCAGGAAGAUAUACCUCUAUCCCAAGGGACAGAGAGAAGGACCUGGCAGUCAUAUUUCUAUGUACCUGGUAUUUGGCUGACUUCUCAACUAUAACUCGUGGUUUUUAAAAAUACCUUUGUUUCACACUGAAAUCCAAGAUCAAGUGUAGUCAAAGCAUAAUCAUAAAACUUUACCCUUGUUAUUAUUAACCCAAACUUUAACAGGUAUUGAAGUUCAUCAAUAAGCGUAGUAGCUAAAUACAGAUAACUUCAGGUUUCUAUUGUUGUUCCUGCAGCCAGUACAUGGUUUAGGAACUCAAUCGAAGAUUGGGGCUGGCACUAAUUUGUUGAACUCAGUUACUUGAACAAGGCAAGCAAUGGUUUUCUUGUGAACGAUGUGUGCAAUGCUGAAGCAGAGGUGUCCGUGCUUAGAAUUUCCAAAGCCCUGUAAUAUACUCUAAUAAGCAUUGCUACUCUUGCAAGAAAAUUGGGAUGCCAAUUUUUUAAUUUUAUUUCUUAUAAUAAGAGUUAAUCUCAUCGUACCCAAAUAUUUUGACAAAGAAAUUCAAUUGUUGCCGCUCGAUAAUUGGUGGUUAAUUGGUUGUUAAGUCUCCAAAUGGAGACUACAUGGGGAUGCCUUCUUAUGGGUUUAGCCUGCGAUAUCUUAUUCAUUGUUGCUUUUUUUUUUUAUCUCUGUAUCGCAAUAGGUAAGGUACUAUAGGCUUUUUUUAUCUUACGAGUGUGAAAUAAAAUGAAUUUAAAUUAAUAAGUAUUUAUAGAACACUUAAGUGCUGCUCAACCAUAGUACUAAAUCGGGCUUAAAUUUUGGAAGCUAAUUAUAUAUUAGUUGAUAAUAGAAAAUAGACAACUAAAAUAUUGCUUCAGCUCGUCGAAAUACACGGUUUUUGAGUGGAGAGUACAUAUUUUUGUUCAUUUGUACUGUAGUUGUUUUCUUGCUUCUUACCAUCCAUUCUUGCAACCAAGCAAAGAAAUCAAUAUUCCUUGACCAAACCAAACAAAUUAAAGAAUCAAUAUCCCUUUUCCCCAUUGCAUUCCCAUUUCCAUUCCAUUCUUGCAACCAUCAUUUUCCAAAACUUGGUGAAUACCAAUAGUCAUUCUGAUUCUUUCUAGAAAUUUAACGUUGAAUUAUAUAAACCCUCAACCUUGAUCCUUUAUAUGUACCACGGUCCCUUUUAGAUAUCUUAAAGAAGAAAUAUUACUCUUGAGAGAAUACCCUAGCCCUUGAAGAAUCUUAUUACAAUCAAUCUUUCUUUAGUACUAGUUUUUGUACUUGAAGAUUUAUAAUAGUUUGGAGGAAUUUGCUGCAAUGGAAAAGAACUUUGUAGGCCAAGUUGGUAUGUUCUCUGACUCUUUCCCCACCUCCCCUUUUCUAUAUAUGUUUAUAUAUGUGCAUUGAAAAUUUCUAGCCUGUUAUUUUCUGAUCAAUGUUAAAAUUACUCUUGACAGCAAUUUCGAGAUCCAUUUCACAUGUACCACCGGCGCAUUUCUUACUCAAAAUAGAGGUAUUUUCAUCUCUUGUGGAGAAUGAAGGGGAAAAGUAUGAAUCUUUGGAAUUUGAUGCUGGAGGCUACAAGUGGUGUGGCCCAAAACCUAAUCGUACACUAUAUUCAAAUCACCUUAUUACUAAAUUACAUAUCAUAAUCUAAUAUGUUAUUUUGAAUUCAUGAUGGUUUCAGGAAACUUGUUGUCUACCCAAAUGGAAAUAAAAAUGAAAAUGUGAAAGACCACAUCUCAGUCUACUUGGCUAUGGUAGACACAAGUUCACUUGGCCUUGGUUGGGAAGUCUAUGUGAUUUUCCGCCUAUUUGUGCUUGAUCAGAAGAAAGACGAGUUCUUGAUUCUUCAAGGUUAGUUAUUACACUCAAACACUCAAUAAUGUUUAUGAUUGUUUUGUGCUUAAUUAUUUAAGUGAGACCUAAUCAAUGAUUUGGGCCGGUCACCUUCAUGUGAUAGAUGCCAUGGGUAAACAAAGACGUUUUCAUGGAUUAAAGCUUGAAUGGGGUUUUGAUCAAUUCAUCCCGCUUGAAAAAUUUAUUAAUGCUUCGAAUGGAUAUCUUGUGGGAGAUACGUGUGUUUUUGGAGCAGAAGUAUUUGUUAAAGAAACGAAAAAAUGCACAAGAGAGUGCCUUUCCAUGACGAAAUUGACAUCAGCUUCCAUUUGUAAGUAUGUUUGGAAGAUCGAGAACUUUUCAAAAUUGGAGGCAAAGCUUUACGAAUCAGAAGUAUUCGUUGCUGGAGAUCAAAAGUGGUAUGUAUGCUUUUUGAAAUGGUGUUUAAAUUAGUUCGGAGUUUUUAAAAUUCGGAUUUGAAAUAUGAUCAAAGUUAUACAUUUAACAGCAAUUUACAACUCUAAUAUAUCAUAGUCUAAAUCUAGACAUGAGCAUGACUAAUACUUAGGGUUCAUUUGUAGAUGUGCAAUAUAUUUCUGAUGCACAAGAAAUUCCUUUUAGUUUUGAAUAAUACAAUUUGUUAAAAAGAUGCAUCAUAUUAAAACCAUUUCUUCAAAUGUAUAGUGUAAAAUGAAUUGUUAAUUUUUGUUUUUUUUUCUCUAUCCAUAUAUAUAAUCUAAAGGCCACAUCUGAAAGUUAACGUUUUGAUAAUUUGUUAAGUGGAACCUUAAAUAUGUAAAAUUGAAUGCAGAGACUUAAUAUUUACCCUUGUUGAUUUUUUCAGGAAGAUACGCCUCUAUCCCAAGGGACAGGGACAAAGGACUGGCAGUCAUCUUUCUAUGUUCUUGGCAUUGGCUGAUUCAUCAACUGUAACUCGUGAUUUUAAAAUAUACGUGCGUUACACAUUGCGAAUCCGAGAUCAAUUGCAUUCAAAGCAUAAUGAUAAAAUAGGUAAGUUAUUAUUAACCCAAACUUUAACAGUCAAUGCUGUUCAAUAAGCUUUAUAGCUAAAUACAAAAAACUUGAGGCUUUCUAUUAUUAUUGUUUCAUGCAGCAAGGACAUGGAUCAGGCCCCCCAUUGGAGCUAGGGGUUGGCCACAAUUUGUUGAACUCAGUUACUUGAACAAGGCAAGCAAUGGUUUUCUUGUGCAUGAUGUGUGCAUUGUGGAAGCAGAAGUAUUUGUGCUUGGAAUUUCCAAAGCCCUGUAAUAUAUUAGUAUAUAACUAAUAAGGAUUGUAACUCUUGCAAAAAAAAAUUGGGAUAUCUUAUAAUAAGAGUUAAUCUCAUUGUACCUAUAUCUUUUAGCAAAGAAAUUCAUGACACUCAAUAAUUGGCGGUUAAUUGGUUGUUAAUUCUCCACAUAAAGAUUACAUGGCGGCCUUCUUAUGGGUUUAGCCCAUAUAUCUAAUUCAUUGUUGCUUUUUUACUCUGUAUUUCGCCUUAUAGUCACAAUAGAUAAGGUACUUUGGUUUUUCAAUUCAGAUUCUAAUUUUCAAAAUUAUUGCCACAUGACAAAGCACUUUAAUUAAUCACUUUCUUUUAUAUACACACACAUACUCUAGUGAGAGCAUCUUCAUUUUGUAUCAGUAAAAUGCAAAAAAAUACAAAUUUCAAUACACUAACAUAUAAAAGAACAAAGUCUCUAAUGUGUUAAAAUAUAUAUCUUUUUUGUGUUUUAGUGGCAUCCCCAGUCCUUACUAGAGAAGGACUUUAUGAUAACUGGAUUAUUUACUUUGGACAUUGUUAAACUUAAAUAUAAUCAUUACCACAUGACAAAGCAAUUUAAUUUUUUUAUAACUAGGUAUCGCUCAUAACUUGAUUAUUCAUUUUUUUUGUUACUUUUUUUUAAAGAACAGUUCUCAAUGCUUUUAGCUAUGUUAUCAAUUCAUUUCUUUCAAGAUCUAAUUUGGCAUCUCACUUGCUUAAUGCUAGUGAUUUGAAAUUGCUCGGAGUAAUUCGCAGAGCUUUCUCUUAUUGCAUAUGUAUUAGCGGGAAUUAGGUUUUAUUCAUUGCUUCUUUGGGAAAUAUUAAUAUAAUUUCUAGUGCAACUCAGUAGCAAUAAUUGAUUACUAGAAAAUGUGUAAGCUGGCCUACAGCGGAACUAGUUCACUGGAAAUGAAAACAAAAAUGUGAACGAUCACAUCUCACUCUACUUGGCAAUGGUAGACACAAGUUCACUUGGAUUUGGUUGGGAAGUCUAUGCAGUUUACCGCCUAUUUGUGCUUGAUCAGAACAAAGACGAGUUCUUGAUUCUUCAAGGUUGAUUAUUAUACUUGACAAUGUUUAUGAUUAUUUUUUUCUUAAUUAUUUACCUAAAAGCUAAUGAAUGAUUGGGGGCCACUUCAUCAUGUGGUAGACAAGGGUGGCUUUAAGUGUAGGCGAACAAGGCGAUUGCCUAAGGUCCUAUAUUUUUUGAAGGCCUCAUUUUUUUUUAGUGUUUCUUAAUAGUUCUUUAAUUAAUAAAGAUCUUUUUUUUUUUAAUUAUGUAUUGUAGAGAAGCCUAUUAGACAUCUUUAUAAUUAACAGUUAUACCACAACUAAGAAUUAUUAUUAUUAUUUUUUUUAUAGAAAAUCAAUAUUUGGUAACCUUAAUGUUCAAGAUAUAUAAUUAAUAAAAUUUUUUAGCUAUUAAUUCAUUCAUUAUUAGUUUUUCCAAAAAAAAUUAAUUAAUUUUUUACCUUUUAAGUUUCCUAAAAAAAUUAAAUUCUUUGACUUUUAAUAUUCCUUUUAAUUUCCAUUAAAACCUUGUAAUAUAAUAUAAAAAUCAAUAAAUAAAUAGAUUUCUUGCUCUUUUUUUUUUUACAAAGAGAAUUAUUACAUUCAUUAAUUCAUGUAAAAAAGAAAAAAAAUUAGUUUCUUAAAAUAUAAAGUGCAUAUCUAUUAUUUCAUAAUCAAUUCAUUAUCUCAACUUUAUGCUAUUCUAAAUAUUCUAUUUGAAAAUAAUAUUGUUUUUAUUUAUUUGUUUGUUUAUUUUUGUAAUAAUUUUAAUGGAAGUAAAAAAGAUAUCUUCUUGGUUAUUUUUUUAGGUUUGGUUUUUGAAAAUUUUUAAGAUAUUUUUUAUUACUAUUAAAAUUCAAGAGUUAAAAGCCGAAUGAAUUUUUCAGUCUUUUAUAUUUCUUUGAGUAUUAAAAUUGUAAAAUAAAAAAAGGCCCCACAAAAAAAUUUUGCCUAAGGCCCCAUAUACUUUAAAGCCGGCCCUGGUGGUAGAUGCCAUGGGAAAAGAAAGACGUUUUCAUGGAUUGAAGCUUGAAUGGGGUUUUGAUCAGUUCAUCCCACUUGAAGAAUUUAACGAUGCUUCGAAUGGAUAUCUUCUGGGAGACACGUGUGUUUUUGGAGCAGAAGUAUUGGUUAAAGAAAGGAACAAAUGCAAAGGAGAUCAAAAGUGGUAUGUAUGCUUUCUGAAAUGGUGUUCAAAUUCAUUCGGAGUUCAUAAAAUUCGGAUUUGAAAUAUGAUCAAAGUUGUACAUUUAACUGCAAUUUUCAACUCUUUUAUCAUAGACUAAAUCUAGACGUUCAUACCUGAGCUGAGCAUGACUAAUACAAAGGGUUUAUUUGCACAUGCACGAUAUAUUUCUGACGUUGACACAAAAGAAAUUUGUUUGAGUUUUGAAUAAUACGACUUGUUUGAGAAUGUCUCAUAUUGAAAACCACUUCUUCGAAUGUAUAAUGUAAAAUGAUUCGUUAAAAUUUGUUUGUUUCUCUACUCAUAUAUAUUAUCUAAAUGCCACAUUUGAAGGUUAAUGUUUUGAUAAUUUGUUAAAUGGAACCUCUUAGUAAAUAUGUACAAUUGAAUGCAGAAACUUAAACUUUACCCUUGUUGAUUUUUUUUUAGGAAGAUACUACUAUAUCCCGAAGGACUGGAUGAAGGUUGUGGCAGUCAUCUGUCUAUGUUCUUGGCAUUGGCUGAUUCGUCAACUAUAACUAGUGGUCUUAAAAUAUACGUGCAUUUUACACUACAAAUCCAGCAUCAACUGUUGUCAAAGCAUAAUGAAGAAAAAUGUAAAUUAUUAUAACCCCAAACUUUAAUAGGUAAUGCAGUUCAAUAAGCAUUGUAGCUAAAUACAAAUAACUUCAGGUUUCUAUUUUUGUUCUUGCAGCUAGUACAUGGUUCAGUGCCACAGACGAAGAUUGGGUUGGAUAGAAUUUGUUGAACUUAGUUUCUUGAACAAGGAAGAAAAUGGUUUUCUUGUGAAUGAUGUGUGCAUUUUGGAAGCAGAGGUGUCUGUGCUUGGAAUUUCUAAAGCCGUGUAAUGUAUAACUAAUCAGCAUUGCUACUCUUGCAAGAGAAUUAGGAUGCCAAUUUUAAUUUUAUUUAUUAUAAUACUAGUUAAUCUCAUUGUAUCCACAUCUUUUGGCAAAGAAAUUCAUUUGCUCGCACUCGAUAAUUGGUGGUUAAUUGGUUGUUAAGUCUCCACAUGGAGAUUACAUGGGGCUGCUUUCUUAUGGGUUUAGCAUGUGAUAUCGAGUCUACUGUUUCUUUUGUUCUCUUUGUAUUUUGCUUUAUAUCAGCAAUAGGUACACUUGGCGAUGGCUUUGGUAUUCUUAGGUUUUUAAUCGUACAAGUGUGAAGUGAAAUCAAUUUAACUUUCAAAUUACAUAAAAAAAAUAUUUACCAAACAAUUAAUUGCUGCUCAAUCAAAAUACCAAAUCAAGCCUAAAUUUUGGAAGUUAAUUAUAAAAUUUUUGGUAAUAAAAAUAAAACAACUAAAAUAUUGCUUCAACUUGUUGAAAUAUACAUUUUUUUAGUGGAGGGUAUUUUUGUUAAUUUGUAUUGUAGUUGUUUUCUUUCCUCUUACCAUUCCAUUCUUGCAACCAAACAAAGAAAUCAAUAUUCCUUUCCCCUUUCCUUUACUUUUAGCUUUCCAUUCCAUUCUUGCAACCAUCAGUUUCCAAAAUCUGGUGAAUAUCAAUAUUCAUUAUGAGAGAACUCUAAUCUUGAUCCUUUAUAUAUACCAUGGUCCCUUUUAGAUAUUUUAAAGAAAAAAAAUUACUCUUGAGAGAACUCUAACCUUAAAAAAUCUUAUUAUAAUCAAUCUGUCUUCAGUACUGGUUUUGGUAUUGGAAGAAUUAUAGUAAUUUGAAGGAAUUUGUUGCAAUGCAAAAACAAGUUGUUAUGUUCUUUGAAAUUGUGUUGCGGUCCAAACGUUCAAACUUUACUUGUUUCCAAUUAUAAGCAUGUUUGGAAGAUCGAGAACUUUUCAAAGUUAGAGUACACGAUUUACGAAUCAGAAGUAUUCGUUGCUGGAGAUCAAAAGUGGUAUGUAUGCUUUCUAAAAUGGUGUUCAAAUCCGGACAUUCGGAGUUCAUAAAAUUCGGAUUUAAAAUAUGAUCAAAAUUCUUCAUUUAACUGCAAUUUAAAACUCUAAUAUAUCAUAGAUUAAAUCUAGACCCGAGCAUGGCUUAGGGUUCAUUUGUACGUGUGCAAUAAAUUUCUGAUGCAAAAGAAAUUCUUUUGAGUUUUGAAUAAUACAACUUGUUGAAAAAAGAUGCAUCAUGUUAAAACCACUUCUUCGAAUGUAUAAUGUAAAAUGAAUUGUUAAAAUUUAUCCUUUUCUCUAUUCUUAAAUAUAAUCUCAAUGCAAUAUCUGAAAGUUAAUGUAUUGAUAAUAUGUAUAAUUGAAUGCAGAGACUUAAACUUUACCCUUGUUGAUUUUUUUUCAGGAAGAUACUACUCCUUCCCAAAGGACUGGGAGAAGCUAGUGGCAGUCAUAUUUCUAUGUACUUGCGGUUGACUGACUUGUCAACUAUAACUGGUGAUUCUAAAAUAUACGUGCUUUUUACACUGCGAAUCCGGAAUCAAUUGCUGUCAAAGCAUUAUGAAAAAAAAGUAAAUUAUUAUAAACCCAUACUUUAACAGGUAAUUCAGUUCAAUAAGCUUUGUAGCUAAAUGCAAAUAACUUAAGGUUUCUAUUGUCGUGUUCGCAGCUGGAGAAUGGUUAAAUACCUCAACCCAAUUUGGGGGUUGGAAAAAAUUUGUUGAACUCAAUUACCUGAACAAGGCAGGAAAUGGUUUUCUUGUGAAUGAUGUGUGCAUUGUGGAAGCAGAGGUGCCUUUGCUUGGAAUUUCCAAAGCCCUGUAAUAUAUAUUCUAAUGAGCAUUGUGACUCUUGCAAGAAAAUUGGGAUGCCAAUUUUUAAUUUUAUAUCUUAUAAUAAGAGUUGAUCUCAUUGUACCCACCUCUUUUGGCAAAGAAAUUCAGUUGCUGACACUCGAUAAUUGGUGGUUAAUUGGUUGUUCAGUCUCCACAUGGAGAUUUCAUGCGGAUGCCGCCUUAUGGGUUUAGCAUGUGAUAUCUAAUCCACUGUUGCUUUUUUCCUCUUUGUAUUUCGCUUUAUAAUCGCAAUUAGUAAACUUGGCGAUGGCUUUGGUAGUACAAGUUUUUUAUUAUACAAGUUGCAAUAAAAUCAACUUAACUUUCAAAUCACAUUAAAAAAUAUUUAACAAAUGCUUAAGUACUGCUCAACCACAAUACUUAAUUGAACCUAAAUUUUGCAAGUUAAUUAUAUAAUAUUUGGUAAUAGAGAACAAAACAACUAAGAUAUUGCUUCAAUUUGAUGAAAUAUACAUUUUCUAGUGGAGGAUAUUUUUGUUCCUUUGCAUUAUAGUUGUUUUCUUUCCCCUUACCAUUCCAUUUUUGUAACCAAACGAAGGAAUCAAUAUUCCUUUAUCGAACCAAACAAAUUAAAGAAAUCAAUAUUCCUUGACCAAACCAAACAAAUUAAAGAAAUCAAUAUUCCUUUCCCCAUUCUAUUCCCCUUUUCUUUACCCUUAGCUUUCCAUUCCAUUCUUGUAACCAUCAAUUUCCAAAAUUUGAUAAAUAUCAACAGUCAUUCUGACUCUUUCUGAAAAUUUACUCUUAAAUUGUAUAAACCCUUGACCUUGACAUGCUUCUAUAUACCAUGGUCCCUUUUAGAUAUUUUAAAGGAAAAAUAUUACUCUCGAGAGAACUCUAACCCUAGAAAAAUCUUAUUAUAAUCAAUCUUUCUUCGAUACUAGUUUAGGUACUUGAAGAAUUAUAGUAAUUUGGAGGAAUUUGUUGCAAUGGAAAAAAAAAGUUGGUAUGUUCUUUGAAAUGGUGCUUCGGUCCAAACGUCCCUAUCAAGCUUGGAUUUAAGCUAUGAUCAGACAGACGUCCAAACUUGAGGAUAAUUAUAUCUAAUUAGGGUCCAAAAAUAUACAGGUGUGAUAUAGUUGAUGCAAAAGAAAUUCUAUCAUAUGAAAAUGAUUUGUUUGUUAAUAUCUUUACUCAUAUCAUCUAAUUAAUUAAAUGCCUCAUUUGAAAAUUAACCCUUAGGCCAUGUUUGCUUGGGGGUAGAGGAGUGGGGAGAGGAAAAGAAUUUGAUUUCUUUUCAACUUUCCACUAUUUGGUUGGACCAAAUUCAAUGUAAUUGAAUUUUCAUUAAAAUUCAAUUUCCAUCAAAUUGAAGAAUUUGUAUUCCUUAUCAAUUGGUAAGGAUUUUCGAAUUUCUCAUCUAUUGGAAUACAAAAAUUCCAAUAUUAUUCUCUAAUAAAUUUAAUUUUAAAUAAGUUAAAGUGCAAAUAAUUUAUAUUUAUUUUCUUAAAUUAAGAGGAUAAUUUAUUUGAAAAAAGAAAAAAGCACUGAGGUGAAUCGCCAGACCGUCACCGGAGACUCGCCGGAGUUUCGCCGGAGAUGCAUUUCACCAUCAAAACUGGUACCAAUGGAAUCCUUGUAAGCCGAUCUACAACUCUAUGGAGUUAGAAUGCUAAUAUACAUUGUUAUUCACCUCAAAUCUUGUUUAAAUAUUUGGGAAUAUUUUAACUCCCAUAUUUCCAACUAUAUAGUGUAUUUUCUACAAAAUUAACACUUCCAAAGGAUAAAUCGUCCAUUUAUGAUCAUUAUUAUGUAUUUAAUGCGAUAAAAGAUAGCGGUCAACAUCAGUAGCGUCGGUCAACAACGACGUAAUUUUUAUUUUAAAAAAUAAAAUUCUCUAUUUAACUAUGUAAUUUCAAACAGGAAGAGAUGUAGAGGGAUUAUUAUUAUUAUUAUUUUAAUUUUAAAUAUGCCAUAAAAAAAUACUAUGAAAUACAUUCAUCUAAUAUAACAACACAACUUAAGUACCUAAAUCCCUAUUUUUUCCCUCUAUCUCUCUCUCAAUUUUUUGUUAUUUUUUCUUUUUUUUAAAAAAAAAGUUACAGACUUUUUUAAUUUAAUUUCUUGCUCGUUAUAAUACGUAGAUAAAUUACUUAAUUAUGUUAGAUAGUCAUGGAAUAAUUAACAAAUUAUUGAAUCAUAAUCUGUAUAUUUUCAAAAUAUUCGAGCAAUUACAAAAUUUAUUUAAAUAAAACCGAAUGUCGAUCGAGAAUGAAUAUGAGUAUCAUAAUUACGUAACCAUUAAGGUGGAGGCUGGUCGCGCAAGGCGCAACCAUAUGUGAUGGGUGUAGGCAGAGGCCGAGAGGCAUGCCUAUGGUCGUUCCAAUAUAAGGGCAUUUUAGACUUUUCAUCACAUGUCUUGUAUUCGAUGCAAAAUCAAAUUAAAUUCCUCAAAAUUUCCUCUUUAUAUGCAUAUAGAAGCUCACAGAAUAAACAGUUGAACACUCAAGACCGAAACGUGAUGGGUGACGAAGAUCGAACUUUCUGGCGGCUUGAAUCAAAGAAUCCAUAGAUUUUACUUGGGAGAAAAGAAACGUCAAAAUAUAAUAAAAAAAUAUACAAAAUAAAUAAACAUAAAACUAGAAAAAAGAAGUUCAUAAAUACACACACAGUGAGAGAGACUCAAAGAGAGUGAGAGUUCUGGAAAAAUAGAGAAUGGUGCUGUGGGAGAUCACAUUGGGAACAGCGUAUUUCUUGGGACUGAAGCGGACUUACAGGCUUGCUUUGAGGAUUCAGCGUCGCGUUAUCAGCCCUAAGCACCCUCGGAUUCGUCAAUUUGUUCACCGGUAUAUUUGUGUUGUUUUAUUAUUAUUAUUAUUAUUAUUAUUAUUACUUAAUUAUUUUGUUUUGAGUUUGAUUCUGAUUAAUUUGUAGCUUGAUGGGUCAGCUAUCAAUAUGGUUAUUAGCGGAUGAGUCACAGAUUGGGAAUGGGCUUUUUCAAGUGUAUUUAUUGAUUAAGCUAGGUACUAGGUAGUUCAAGUUUUAAUUUUCAUUAAUGGGUUCUGUAGCUAUGCCCGUUAAGACAAUAAGAGCUGGUGAUUUUAGAGUCAAAAAAGCAUUAUGAUGAUAAUGAUGAUGGUGGUGGUGGUGUUGGUAGUGUUGAUAAUGAUACGUAUGAUACUGAUAUGGGUAUACUAACAAUACAUUGCAAUGCAAUGUUCUUUGUUUCACGAUUUUAUGAUAUUUUUCGAAAUUGAUCUUUGGUAAUUUGAUUUAACUGUAUGGUUGUGUUUGUUAUUUGGAAGUUGGUUAUUGAUGCUUGCUAAAGAUCUAAUGUAAGAAAGCAGAGGAGAGUAAUGGAGUUUUAUUGUGGUAGGAAUUGAUUCCUUGGAGUAAUAAUGUGGCUUACUACCAGCUUGGCUAGAUAGAGAACGGCUUAUUAGCAAAGGCAACGGACAGAAGGAACCAAAAUUUUAUGUUUUCUAAGAAUAGGGAGAGGGUGAAGUAAAUAAAAUUACAAAUUUGUAAAAGAUCCUGAAAACCUGAUUUCAAAAGUUUAUCCAGAUAUAUGUGUUGUUGUCUACUCAUAUCAUAUAUUGCAGUGAAAGUAAGCCAGGUUUACCUUAUAGAAACUAGUGUUGUGUAAACUUAACCAUGGAGUAACUAUAUAGGAAGCAACAAACGUGAGCUAUCCUUGUGGCAUCUUCUAUGUACUUAUAUAUUUCCUUAGGGAGUAAUCCUAUGCUAUCAAAAAUCAUAAAAGCGUAUGCUCUUUUGGGAGGCAUUGCAUGGAUUUUGGUUUUCUUUUGGGGUCAAUGAUUCAUAGAAUUUCUUCUUGCUCUUCCCUUGUAUUCUCUCUUCUCACUACCUAUUUUACUGUUAUCUCUUCUAUUUCACUUUCUUUAAAAACUUUUCAGCUGAAAUUUCUACCUUCUUAUGCCUCUUCAAUCGGAUUUUGAUGGAUCUUGUGGAGUUGAUUUUGUCAAAUCUGAAUUCAAUAUGUUGCAGCAAUGCAUCCUACGGCAUGGGAUUAUCUUAGACUAUGUGUCCACAAUAAUGACGGCUUGUCUUUGCCUACGUAUUAAUCAUCUCUUUGAAAAGUUACUUUGACGGUGGUUCAUAAAUUGUUAUUCAUUGUCUGAAUUUUCUGUGUGAGUGCCAUGCCGUUAGACCAUCUCUUAAAAUGGAAGUUUUCUUGCUAGAUGCACCUAUUGUAUUCUGCUUGUUUACGUUUGAGUGUGCCCCAUCUUGGCUAUUCCAAUGAACUUAUUGCUUCCAAUCUAAUGAGCUCCAUUGAAGUUUAGUUAUACAGAGGUCAGCAUAUAUGUUUGAAUACGGCUAUAACAAAGUACCAGUCUGUAUUUUAGCUGUGUUAAUUAUAUAGGAAUAUGAAGGGAAAAACUUUAGUUUAGUACUUCAACUAGUUCAUUGUGCAUCCUGUCACUUCUACUUCAGCUUGGAUGUAAACUGAUGUGAAUGGUUCACAUUGACUUGAUAUCAUGUGCAAUAUGAGAGACCACUGAGCUCUUCCCUCAAAGCAAUUAUUCUUUCCUAUCUGACUUAGAAUGGCCCUGUGCAUUUCAUAAUAAAAUUAGCUUCUAAAUCUGUGAUCUUAUGACAUAUUGUAUAGCCUAGGUUGCUGAAUUUUUUAUUUAACCAAUUAUGGAGCAAAGCCAAUCCUUAAAAGAUUAAGAGAAGUUACUAUCAACUCAGUUGAUCGUUGAAUAUCUGCAACUGCAACCUGCAUUCUCUCGCUCUAGAUUGGUGCAUAAUUUCUAUUGCGAAGUUUUGCAAACCUCCAACUAGUUUUGUUUAGGUGCCAAUUAUGGGAUUUGAAUCAACUUAUCUUUUAGAUUUGCUAUACCAAACUUUUAACGAAAUUUUUUUUGAUGUUUUAGCAUUAUGUUGAACACUUGAUGUCAAAAUAACAUGUUUGCCAGCUUCUUGUAGUACCUGUAGGUGAAGCAGUCAGAGAGUCUCCUAUGUAUUCCUGUGAACUUAUUAUCCAAUCAAGCUACAAUGCUCGGAUACCAGAACUAAUUUCAUUAUUAUGAGCACAUUCUUAAAUUGCUGUCUCUCUUUGGGUGAUAUGAAGAUUUUGGAGAAGCACAAGUACUAACGUCCAAAGCUGGAGGUCAUAGCUGUACUCUUGUUUAGUUCAAAGAGACUGUUUUGAAAUGAUAGAUUGAAAGUUCUGUGCUUUUCUUUUUAAUGAGCCGUUGUAUUUUGAUGUUUAUUAGUAGGACGUUAUUAACUUCAUGAAAGUAAGUUACCAGGGCACAUAUCUUUGUUCCAGAAUCCUUCCGAUCUAGUUGUAAUUAUUCAUGAAAGCCUCUGCAUAAAAUGGAAAUCCUAAAUUAGUUAAUUGUUUCAAUACUUUGGACUUUGAAUUGAUUUAGUAUGCCUCAUGAAACCAAUAAUUGCACAUCCUCCACUCUUAGAGUCUCAGUGUGAUAUUGACCACGGUACUGCCUGAGCAUUGCAUUCUUCCCACUGGUUGGCUCAUUGGAUUCCAUUCUACUGUUUAACUACUGCUGUUAUGUCAGUUACUAGCUGGCAAAUACUGUUAUUUCUACAAUUGUUUUGAAUAAUAACAAAUUUAUUACUCCUCCAACUUGGAACUGCCAUUGUUUUUUGAAGACUGACCUUCAUUCUUCAUUGAUUUUUUCCACAGCCGAGUACGUGCUGCCUUUGAUGUUGCUCUCAAGUUUCACAGGAACAUACAAGAGAGGGACACAGAAGUUGGUAGAAAUGUUGGUAACUGGAUUCUACGUUGGCUUGACUGAGUGAAACCAUCUGCCCAGAUACGUGGUCCGCCUGAGAAACUGUCACAUGGCCCCAGCAUGAGCAUGACCAACCAUGGAAUGAAGUCCUCGAAUCCAAAAACUCCUGGAAUCCAAACAUCUAGAAACAAGGAAUCUGAUAGACAUCUGUUUAGCUCAUCAAAAAAUAUAUGGCCUAAACCACCCUUUUCUACCAUUGCCAUGAUGAUGCGGCAUCCAAGGCCUGCGGGAACCACAACCCAGUAUAGGCCUCUUGAGACAAAUGGAUCUGAUCUGUUGAGUUUGAACUACAAUAGAAAUGGGUUUGAUGGAGUCCUGCGAAAGGACAUUAUGCAGUGGUUGCUGCAAAAGUGAAGGUAGAAGCUUAUCAGACACCUGUUACUUGCUGAAGUUUUAAUUGCCAAUAAUUUAGUUAUAAUUUCUCACUCAAACCGCUCGCAUUAUUGGACUCCUAAAUUUGAAAUUCAUCCAUGCUAGUUAUGGACCUGUUGCUUGAUGCACUAAUUACUGAAGGGCUGCGUGCUGCGAAAGCUGGCAAAGAUAGGUUUUAGUUGGUCUGCUUCUUUACUCAAAGAUAGUAAUUGUUCUCUCCGUUUUCAGUGACUCUAGGUUUUUUGUUUCCGAACCAGUAACUGCAUAGUUGCUUCUGGUAAUGUUUGUUUGUUUCUUUGUUUGUGAUGCACAUUCCUCCAGAUUGGAAACGGUUUUGGUGAUGGCGAUCAUCUUUCUCUGUACUUGGCUUUGGGAGAUUCCACAGUCGAUGUGAUUAAAGAAUAUAUAUGCGGAGCAUACAUUGCGAAUCAUAGAUCAAGUGGGGGCAAAACAUAAAUCUUUUCGAGGUAAAAUGUGUGUUUACAUGCAAUUAGUGUUUGAGGCAAAUCCAAAUAAUAUAACGAGAGUGUUCCUUUUACUCUAGCAGAGAAUAAAGACUGGUUCCAUACACCAAGCGAUAACUGGGGCCGGCCAAGAUUCAUUUCAUUGAGUGAGUUAGAUGAGCCAGAGACUGGAUUUCCAGUGAAUGGCGUUUGCGUGGUGGAAGGCUGGAAGCUGAGGUCACUGUGCUUGUAAUUUCCGAGCCAUUAUAACAAGUAAUUAAUUGUCCUCCAAAUGGGUUCUUUUAUUGUGUGAUGCUGACUGCCUGGCUAAUCUAGGAAAUUUAUUUUAGCUAUCAGGAAAUUUAUUUCUCUUGUGGUUUUCCAAAAUAACUCUUACGUUGUUUAUUGUUUAUGCUGUCCAGCUAACUUUUUAGUGUGAUUUUGGUUUUCUAUUUCUCUGCAUCUCUUUAAGGAGAAAUUCAUUAUAUUCCCUACGCUGUAAUGCUUCUCUUCUAAGAUUUUGAUUUUAAAAAAAAUAAGAAAAAAGAAAAAAAAAUGUAGUUGAAACGAAGAAAAUUAGGAUGCAAGAGAACUAAUAAUUUCACUUAGUAAGAAAAUGAAAACAAAGUAGAAUAGAAUAUUGUUGAAUUAAUAUUCGAUAAAUUGAUAACUCCGAUUAAAUAAUAGUUUUUGUCGUUGUAACUUAGAGUCAAUAGGGUAAAUUAAUAAUUUGAUAAAUUUUAUUAGAUAAUAUAGGGAUGGCAAUGGGGCAUAUAUGGGUUGGAUCUACUCUGCUCCAGAUCUAAAUCCAUAAUAAAAAUCAAGAUCCAUAUCUGCUCCAUAUCCGUUAUGAAUCCAUAUUUUUCGCUCCAUAUCCAGAUCCAAAAAAGAAAUAAAGAUUUAUAUCUGCUCCAAAUCCAAAAAACAAAAUAAAAUCCAAAUAUGUUCUAGAUCCUUCAUGAAUUCUAAAAUUCCGUAAUAAAAAAGUAAUAAUUUUUUAGAUUGAAAAUUGAAGGCUAAAAUGUAUUGAUAACAAAUAAAUUAUAUAAUUUUUCUCAAAAAUAUAAUAAAUAUUGUAGCUUAUACUUCUACACCAAAACAACAAAUAAAAAAGAUAAUAAAAUAUCAUUAAGAAGUAAUUACAGGAGUAAGAUCAAUCUAAUAUUCUAUUGUCUCCUUCAUCAUUAUGAUAUCCACGAUACACCUACCCUCAUUCCUACAACAUUAGAUAAUGACAUAUAAAUUAAAUAUGAUUUAUAUUCAGUCCUUUAUUAUUUUUAUUAUGACCAUAUUUGACUAAAUAUAUGAAUAACUAUAUUCCUUAAAAAUUAUUUGGCUAAUAUGAUAAAAUAAAUUACCAGGUUAUAUUACUUGGAUUGCAAUUUGAAUAUUGCAUGUAUAUGCUUUGAAGUUGGUUGACCUUUAAAUUUACAAAACUAACCUUUAAGUUUUAAGAGUUUAAAUACAUGGUAAAUACUACUAAUAUGCUAUGAAUAAAAUUUAUUAUCAUUAUCAUUAUACAAUUAUGAAGAAACUUUUAAAAUAAAAUAAAAUUAAAAGAUGAGUGGAUAUGGAUAUGGAUUUAGAUAUUAAGAUAGAUCCAUAUCUGCUCUAGAUCCGUCUUAGAUCCGCAUAUCGAGAUCCAAAUCCGAUCCAAAUCAAUUUUAAACCGAUCAAAAUCCGAUCCGAUUGGAUUUGGAUCACGUGGAUCUUGGAUCAAAUCCAAUCCAUUGCCAUCCAUAAGAUAAUAUAUUUAAAAAUAUUAUUUUUCUAUAGGACCCAAUUAAUACAUGUAUUAAUAAUUAAUUAAUUUAAAGCUAAAUAUAUAUGAUAUGUCUAUGAUUUUUUUUUUGUUGUACUAACAUAAUACUUUAUGCAUUUUAUCGAUCAUUAUUACUUUUUUUACAAGAGAAGUUAUUGUUGUAUUAUAUGUGUUGUGGUAAGAGAAAUAAGAGAGAGAGAGAUCGGUUUAAUCUAUUGCCUCCAAAAAAUCUCUUUUGAUGAGUCACUAUGUAAUCGUGAUCUAGUCAUGCAAUCUAACCAAAGAAUUAUCAAGUGAUUGAUUCACUCAAUCAAAAUCAAAUCAAAAUCCUAUCAUAUAAUGUGAUAAAAUCACUAAAUUCUUUAAUUAUGCUACCACUAUAUUUCAUAAAUAAAUUCAAUUAUCAACGUGAUAUUAUAUCUAUAAAGAUAAAUAAUAUUCAUUAAUUUAUGGAUAUAGCCAAAGUGCCAAACUGCCAACCAUUUUGUUAAUAAUCCAGGGAAGCAAGAAAAUAAGGCUUUUUGCGGUUAAUUAAAGUCCCCGCAAACAAACCAUAUUUACUAGUAGUGGCGUGGAUAAUGCUAAUUAAUUACUAAAUUAAUUAUACUAGCAAUACUACCUUAGGAUAUUUUGUUAAAUUCUCUAGUAAUACUACCUUAGGAUCACUAAAUUUUCUUUACUCAAAAAAAUCACUAAAUUUUCUAAUUAUACUAGCUCAGAAUCACUAAAAUCUCUAAUUAUGCUACCACUAUAUUUCAUAAAAGUUCAUAUUAUCAAUGUGAUAUUAUUUCUAUAAAGAUAAAUUAAUAUUUAUUAAUUUAUGGAUAUAGCCAAAGUGCCAACCAUUUUGCUAAUAAUCCAGGGAAUCAAUUGAUCCACUACAAACCAUAUUUACUAGUAGUGGCGUUGAUAAUGCUAACUAAUUACUAGUACUAUUUCUACAAUGAGCUAUUUUGAAUUGCCGAACUCUAAUUUCUCAAGUUACGUCAGUCAAAUUUCCUCGCGAAAUCAUCAAAUCUCACAAAAAACCUCUGUUCUUGGAUUGAGGCAAUGGCGUUUCCUGUGUAUAGUAGGAGCUUUAGUUUUUUAUUUGAAAGAAAUAAUGAAGAAAAAAACAUGUCCUUAUCAGUACCACCAACUCAAUUUGCAAAUAAAAAAGGAAAAAAAAAAUCGAAAACAGAGCAAGCCAAUAUGAAUUCUUUUCAUCUCAGCCUGCUCAAAAACAGAGCAAGAUAAAGCUUAAAUAAUAAUGUGAAAGCUCAAAAACAGAGCAAGAUGAAUCUUUUCAAUAAUGUGAAAGUAAAUAAAACAAUAAGGUGCAGAGUUAUGAAUUUUCCUAAUGCCUGCGUAAACAAUCAUGACCGAGGAAAACUUUCCAGAAAUAAGAACAGAAAUUUUAAUGCAACCUACAAUGAGAUGAUAGAACAAGUUGUCAUUCACAUAUUGCUUAUUCAUCAAUCUUUUCACCUUUGGUUAAAGUCGGGAGGUAACACUCAAUUUAUGCAGGAACCAACAAACAAAAGAUGCAUUUUUUGGUAGUAUGAAGACAAUUGAACCAGCGAGCGUGAUGCGCCCCCCACCCCCCCAAAAAAAAAAGAAGAAGAGAAUUGGUGACCCAGGUCAUAUGACUGUAGUAUGCUCGGUAGUAUCAUUUUUUAUAAAUUUCUGAGACUUUGUUUUGGGGUUGUGGUUAUAAGCUUUCGGGUCCCACGUCACAUGAUUUUCAGCCAAGCAAAAUUUAGUCUCCCUUUUGUCAGUCAAUUUGUUUCAGAAACUUUGAUGGUGAUCAAAUCAAAAUUGAUGCUUCUAUUCAUGUAUCAGUGCAAUAAGUGAGCUAGUGAUAAUCGUGGCUCUAUUUUGGACUUCAGUACCUUUGAAGAGCUAGCUACCGGUCUUGUAGUUGUUUGACAUUAUGGGCGAGGGAGGAAGGUUAUGUUUUUUUCUGGUAUCACUGCUCCACUAACACUUUGCCCGUGUUUGAGUAUCAUAUUGGCAUAUUUACGUUGAUUAAUUAAUUAACAUAAAUAUAUCAUCUAAGCUGCUAUGCACAACGCUAUGGUUGGAUCUAAUUAGGAUUCAAUAAUAUCGUAUUUUUCAAUAUUAACUUGGGGAUAUUCUGUUCGAUCUAGACUUACUUUGGCUUUGAGUCAGCUUCUUGUUAUUUCUAAUCAGUCGGUGUUAAUUAAAAAUUACUUAAAUGUAUAGCCAUUGCAAGAUACACUUCACUACCACCGGCUCAUUACAUUUGAUAAUCGAAAAUAUUUUAUAAUAUUUUAUAGUAAAUUGCAAUGAUAGUACCAAAUCGGGCCUAAAUUUUGGAAGCUAAUUUUAUAAUAUUUGAUAAUAGAAAAUAGAACAAUUAAAAUAUUGCUUCAGCUCGUUGAAAUACACAUUUUUUGAGUGGAGGGUACAUAUUCUUGUUCAUUUGUAUUGUAGUUGUUUUCUUGCCCCUUACCAUCCAUUCUUGCAACCAAGCAAAGAAAUCAAAAUUCCUUGACCAAACCAAACAAAUUAAAGAAUCAAUAUCCCUUCUCCCCAUUGCAUUCCUCUUUCCAUUCCAUUCUUGCGACUAUCAGUUUCCAAAACUUGGCGAAUAUCAAUAGUUAUUCUGACUCUUUCUGAAAAUUUAAUGUUGAAUUGUAUAAACCCUCAGCCUUGGUGCUUUAUAUAUACCAUGGUCCCUUCUAGAUAUUUUAAAGAACAAAUACUACUCUUGAGAGAAAACUCUAACCCUUGAAAAAAUCUUAUUAUAAUCGAAUCGUUCUUCAAUAGUAGUUUUAGUACCUGAAGAAAUGCAGUAGUUUGGAGGGAUUCGUUGCAAUGGAAAAUGACUUCGCAGACCAAGUUGGUAUGUUCUCUGACUCUUUCCCCAGCUCCCCUUCUCUAUGUAUGUUUAUAUAUGUGCAUUGAACAUUUCUAGCCUGUUAUUUUACGAUCAGUGUUAAAAUUACUCUUGACAGCAAUUUCAAGAUCCAUUUCAAAUGUACCACCGGCACAUUUCUUACUCAAAAUAGAGACAUUUUCAUCUCUUGUGGAGAAUAAUGUGGAAAAUUGUGAAUCUUUGGAAUUUGAUGCUGGAGGCUACAAGUGGUGUGGCCCAAAACCUAAUUGUACACUAUAUUCAGAUUACCUUAUUACUAAAUUAUAUAUCAUAAUCUAAUAUGUUAUUUUGAAUUCAUGAUGGUUUCAGGAAACUUGUUGUCUACCCAAAUGGAAAUAAAAAAAAAAACGUGAAAGAUCACAUCUCACUCUACUUGGCUAUGGUAGACACAAGUUCACUUGGCCUUGGUUGGGAAGUCUAUGUGAUUUUCCGCCUAUUUGUGCUUGAUCAGAACAAAGACGAGUUCUUGAUUCUUCAAGGUUGAUUAUCACACUAAAAAAUGUCCAUGAUUGUUUUGUUUUUAAUUAUUUAAGUCAAACCUAAUCGAUGAUUUGGGCCGAGUCACCUUCAUGUGAUAGAUGCCAUGGGAAAAGAAAGGCGUUUUCAUGUACUGAAGCUUGAAUGGGGUUUUGAUCAAUUCAUUCCGCUUGAAGAAUUUAACGAUGCUUCGAAUGGAUAUCUUGUGGGAGAUACGUGUGUUUUUGGGGCAGAAGUAUUGGUUAAAGAAAGGAACAAAUGCAAAGGAGAGUGCCUUUUCCUAGCGAAAUUGACAUCUGCUUCCAAUUAUAAGCACGUUUGGAAGAUCGAGAACUUUUCAAAGUUAGAGGCAAAGCUUUACGAAUCAGAAGUAUUCGUUGCUGGAAACCAAAAGUGGUAUGUAUACUUUAUGAAAUGGUGUUCAAGUACGGACGUUCGGAGUUUAUAGAAAUCGGAAUUAAAAUAUGAUCAAAGUUGUACAUUUAACAACAGUUUACAACUCUAAUAUAUCAUAGACUAAGUCUAGACCUAAGCAUGACUAAUAUUUAGGGUUCAUUUGUACAUGUGCAAUAUAUUUCUGAUGCAAAAGAAAUUCUUUUUGAGUUUUGGAUAAUACAACUUGUUAAAAAGAUGCAUCAUGUUAAAACCACUUCUUCGAAUGCAUAAUGUAAAAUGAAUUGUUUAACAAAUUUAUUUGUUUCUCUAUUCAUGUAUAUAAUUAAUGUAAAUGCCACAUCUGAAAGUUAAUGUUUAAUUGAAUCCAGAGACUUAAACUUUACCCUUGUUGAUUUUUCUCAGGAAGAUAAAACUCUAUCCCAAAGGACAGGGAGUAGGUAGGGGCAGUCAUAUUUCAGUGUACUUGGCAUUGGCUGACUUGUCAACUAUAACUCGUGAUUCUAAAAUAUACGUGCAUUUUACCUUGCGAAUCCGGGAUCAAGUGUUGUCAAAGCAUAAUGAAAAAAAAGGUAAAUUAUUAGAAACCCAAACUUUAACAGGUAAAUACAAAUAACUUCAGGUUUCUGUUGUUGUUCUUGCAGCUAGUACAUGGCUCAGUACUUCAAGCGAAGAUUGGGGUUGGUCAACAUUUGUUGAACUCAGUUACUUUAACAAGGCAGAAAAUGGUUUUCUUAUGAAUGAUGUGUGCAUUGUGGAAGCAGAGGUGCUAAGAAUUUCCAAAGCCCUGUAAUAUCUAACUAAUAAGCAUUGUAACUCUUGCAAGAAAAUUGGGAUGCCAAUUUUUUUAUUUUAUUUCUUAUAAUAAGAGUUAAUCUCAUUGUACCCAUACCUUUUGGCAAAGAAAUCCAGUUACUGACACUUGAUAAUAUUGGUUAUUAAGUCUUCACAUGGAGAUGCCUUCUUAUGGGUUUAGCAUGUGAUAUCUAAUCCACUGUUGCUUCUGUCCUCUUUAUAUUUUGCUUUAUAGUCGCAAUAAGUAAACUUGACUAUGGCUUUGGUAUUACAGGCUUUUUAUCAUAUAAAUGUGAAAUAAAAUCAAUUUAAUUUUCAAAUAACAUCAAAAAAUAUUUAUCAAUUACUAAAAUACUACUCAACCACAAUACUAAAUCGGGACUAAAUUUUGGAAGCUAAUUAUAUAAUAUUUUAUAAUAGAAAACAGAACAACUAAAAUAUUGCUUCAACUCGUUGAAAUAUACGUUUUCUAGUGGAGGAUAUUUUUGUUCAUUUGUAUUAUGAAUAAUGAUAUUGCCACAAACUCUUGUACAAAUUUAUUUUGUACAAACUGAUGUGGCAUUAAUUUAUUGGUUGAAUUAAAUAUCUCUUAACCCACAUGAUUUAUUUCUAUUAUUUGAUAUUGUCAUUCAAUCAAUAAAUUAAUGACACAUCAGUUUGCACAAAAUAAGUUUGUAUAAAAGUUUAUGAUUGUAUCAUCACUCUUGUAUUAUAGUUGUUUUCUUUCCCUGACCAUUCCAUUCUUAUAACCAAACGAAAGAAUCAAUAUUCCUUGACCAAACCAUCAAUAUUCCUUGACCAAACCAAACGAAUUAAAAAAAUCAAUAUUCCUUUCCCUAUUCUAUUCCCCUUUCCUUACCUUUAGCUUUCCUUUCCAUUCUUGCAACCAUCAGUUUCCAAAAUUCGGUGUAUAUCAGUAGUCAUUCUAGCUCUUUCUAAAAAUUUAUUCUUGAAUUGUAUAAACCCUUAACCUUGAUAUGAUUUAUAUAUACCAUGGUCACUUUUAGAUAUUUUAAAGGAAAAAUAUUGCUCUUGAGAGAACUCUAACCCUUGGAAAAUCUUAUUAUAAUCAAUCUUUCUUCAAUACUAGUUUUGGCACUUGAAGAAUUAUAGUAAUUUGGAUGAAUUUGUUGCAAUGGAAAAACAAGUUGGUAUGUUCUUUGAAAUGGUGCUCCGGUCCGAACGUCCUUACCAAGUUUGGAUUUAAACUAUGAAAAUGCAAAAAGUAAUUAGCAGGUGCAUGAAUUAAUGCAAUAGUAGUUUAACCACUAUAAGCUUAUUUAUAGCUAUAUACAAAUAACUUUAAGGCUUCCUAUUAUUGUUGUUUCAUGCAGCAAGAACAUGGUUCAGGUCCUCAAUUGAAGAUUCGGAUUGGCCAAGAUUUUCUGAACUCAGUUACGUAGACGAGGCAGGCAAUGGGUUUUCUUGUGAAUGAUGUGUGCAUUGUGUGUGCCUGGGAUUUCCAAAGCAAUGUGGUAAUAUAACGAAUGAGCAUCUUUACUUGCAAGAAAAUUGGGAUGCCAGUUUUUAUUUGUAAUUUCGUAUAAUAAGAAUUAAUUUCAUUGUACCUACAGAUAGUUUUCGUGAAAGAAAUUCAGUUGCUGACACUCUCACUGUGGUUUGGUUUUCAAGCCUCUACAUGGCAAUUAGAUGGGUUCAGUUUGUGAUGUCUAGUUCAAUGUUGAUAUAAUUGUCUCUGCAUUUUGCUUUAUCUCUCUUUAAUAUAUCCUUUGAAAAAACAAGGGGGGCAAAAAAUUUUCACACCCUUUAAGACAUGCGUUAUGGGUCGUGCAUCACAAAGUACUUUAAGAAUUAAAAAGUGUGUUGCUAAAUGCACGACCGGUUGAUAUGCUUUAUUGGUUAUAAAUACCCAUCAAUCAAAUACGUCAAAAAAUUGAGAGAUGAAAUAGUGAGCACGUGAAGAAAUUUUGUUAAUUAUUCUCUCAUUGACUUACUUAUUAGAAUUUUUUAAUCCUUUUAACUUCAUUCUAUUUAUAUUAUCUGUACGUAUACAUAAUCUGAAUACAUCCCAAUUUGAUCUACAACAAAUUGGGAGUUUAUGAAAUUGCGACGCAUUCCGAUUACGUACAACCUUUUUAUAGGAGCAUUAUUGAACACAUUCAAGCUAUACUCCCACUAAACAAUGGGAAAAAACUGAAAAGAGAUUAAUGAGGUGUAUUUAAAAGAUCUCUUUCACUAAAGAGUGGCCAUCAUUAACAAACAAAAAACCCAACAGUUGAGACGAGGCCAGGAGAAAACUGAAAAAAGAAGUAGAAUUUUCUUCUUUUUAUUAUUAUUGUUUUUUAAAAAAUUUUAAUAUGCUAAAAAAAAACACUACGAAAUACAUUCAUUCAAUAUAACAACACAACUUUAAGUACCUAAAAGACCUAUUUUUGUCCCUCUCUUUCUCUCUCUCAAUGUUUUGUUAGUUCUCUUUAAAAAAAAAAAAAUAAGUUACACACUUUUUUUUAAUUUAAUAUUUUGUUCGUUAUAAUACAUAAAUAAAUCACUUAAUUAUAGUUAGAUAAUCAUGGAAUAAUUAACAAAUUAUUUAAUCAUAAUUCGUAUAUAUUCGAUAAUGUUUUGAGCAAUUUAAAAAUUAAUUAAAUAAAAUCAAAUAUAGAUCGAAAAUGAAUACGAGUAUCAUAAUUAUGUAACCAUUGAGGUCGAGACUAGUUGUCACCAUGAGAAAAGGGCGCGCAACCAUAUGCGUCUAUGGCCGUUCCAAUAGAAGGGCAUUUUAGACUUUUCAUUACAUAUUUGUCAUGUUUAUGGAAUUUUAAUUUCGUCGAUGGCAUAUUCUGUGCAAAUUAAAUGCCUUAAAAUUUCCUCUUUAUAUACAUAUAAAAGCUGACACGAUGGACAGUUGAACCCUCAAGACCGAAGCGGGAUGGGUAACCAGGAUCGAAAUUUCCAGCGGCUUGAAUAAAAGAAUCCAUAGAUUUUACUUGGGAGAAAAGAAACAUCAAAAUAUUAUUAAAAAAUAUACAAAAUAUGCCAUUAAAAAAAUACUAUAAAAUACAUUCAUUCAAUAUAACAACACAACCUAAGUACCCAAAUACCUAUUUUUUCCCUCUAUCUCUCUCUCAAUUUUUUGUUAGUUUUUCUUUUUUAUAAAAAAAAGUUACACACUUUUUUAAUUUAAUUUUUUGCUCGGUAUAAUACAUAGAUAAAUUGCUUAAUUAUAGUUAGAUAGUCAUGGAAUAAUUAACAAAUUAUUGAAUCAUAAUCUGUAUAUUUUCGAUAAUAUUCAAGCAAUUAAAAAAAUGAUUAAAUAAAACCAAAUGUAGAUCGAGAAUGAAUAUGAUUACCAUAAUUAUGUAACCAUUGAGGUCGAGACUGGUUGUCAGCUUGAGAAAAUGUCGCUCAAUCAUAUGUAAUGGGUGUAGGCAGAGGCGUGUCCGCGUGUCAAUGGCCGUUCCAGUGUAAGGGCAUUUUAGACUUUCCCUCACAUGUUUUGUCAUGUUUAUGGAAUUUUAAUUUCAUUGAUGGCAUAUUCGGGGCAAAAUUAAAUUCCUCAAAAUUUCCUCUUUAUGCACCUAUAAAAGCUGACACGAUGCCUUUCAAAAACCAAAAAAAAAAAAAAAAAAAAAAACUGACACGAUGAACAGUUGAACACUUGAGACCGAAGCGUGAUGGGUAACCAAGAUCGAAAUUUGUAGUGUUGGUGGUGGUGAUAAUGAUAUGUAUGAUACUGCUAUGGGAUAUACUAACAAUGCAUUGCAGUGCAAUAUUCUUUGUUUCACGGUUUUAUGAUAUUUUUCAAAUUGGAUCUUGGUAAUUUGAUUUAACUGUAUGGCAGCGUGGGUUAUUCAGAAUUUGGUUAUUGAUGCUUGCUAAAGAUCUAAUGUAUGAAAGCAGAGGAGAGUAAUGGAGUUUGGUUGCGGCUAGGAAUUGAUUUCUUGGAGUAAUAAUGUGGCUUACCACUAGCUUGGCUAGACAGAGAACGGCUUAUUAGCAAAGGCAACGGACAGAAGGAACCAAAAUUUUAGGUUUUCUAAGAAUAGGGAGAGGGUGAAACAAAUAAUCUUACAAAUUUAUAACAGAUCCUGAAAACCUAAUUUCAAAUGUUUAUUGUUGAGUGUUAGAAAAUGCAUAUUUAUAAAGGAGAAAACCGUCAUUUUACAUUUCAAGUCUUACUAACAACCCUUACUUUUAUGUAUUUAAUCUUCUUGUGAUGUAAUUACGUGUGUGUUAUUUUAAUUAAGUAUUUUAUGUAUUUUAGGGACAUUAUAGUCAUUUCACAAUAAAGGAGAGAUCAGACGGCAAAACAGACAUCACUUUUGAACUCAGGACGGUCGAAAACCUUAGGAGGAGCAUAAAAGAAAAAAUGACACUAUUCACAUGUACGGUACUAUUCACGUAUAGGGAGAGGGUGAAAUAAAUAAAAUUACAAAUUUGUAAAAGAUCCUGAAAACCUAAUUUCAAAUGUUUAUCCAGAUGUCAGUGUUGUUGUCUACUCAUAUUAUAUAUUUUUAGCAGUCCAACAUAACGAUUUUUAGUAAUUUUUAUACUCAACUAAAAAUUAUGAAAUUAAACAUACAGCAAGUAGACAUAAUAAGGAAAAUUGGCGAAGUCAGGCAUGCUGCUGAAAAUCAGAAUUUUCCAACACAAUUGUUCUAAUUUCGAAAAUUCACAACAAAUUGAUUAGUUGGAAUCUCUUUGCACAAAAUACAUCAUUGAAAACCUUGAGAUGUCUACUUUAAUUUUAUGGUGCAGAAAUUAAAUCAAAAAUAAAGGAAAAAUAGUAAUCAAAUCACGCUGCUCAUGCCUCAUAAUGCCUGACUGGUCAUUCAUGAUAAAAAGAACAAUACAUGCAUUCAUCAUCAAAUACAUAAGAUCGUAUUAGAGAGCAUGAAUUAAAGAAGGAUAAAUACCUCAAAACUUCUUUCAAACAUGCAUAAAAGAAGACCUUGGAAUUCAUUUUUUUAAUACAUUUUUAUUUGGUUGAAGAAUUUUAAAUCAUAGGGAGAUAGGAAGAGUUUAAGUUUUAUAAAAACAAAUGCUUUUAUAAAAAUACAUUAUACGAUAGAUAGAUAAUCCCUCAUAAUUUAUUUUAAAAAAAUAAAUAAAAAGAAUUAUACCUUAUCUCAAAUAAUGCUAAUUAAAAUAAAUUUGCAACAAAAGAUAAACAAUUAAAUAGAUAAGCAUAAUUAAAUUCAAACAAAUAAUUAGAGAUGGGUGUUACAUUGGGAGUGGCCAAAAUUUGUUAAACUCGGUUACUUGAACAAUGCUAGCAAUGGUUUUCUUGUGAAUGAUGUGUGCAUUGUGGAAAUAGAGGUGCCUGUGCUCGGAACUUCCAAAGCCCUGUAAUAUAUACUCUAAUUAGCAUUGUUACUCUUGCAAGAAAAUUGGAAUGCCAAUUUUUAAUUUUAUUUCUUAUAAUAAGAGUUAAUCUCAUUGUACCCAUAUAUUCUGGUAAAGAAAUUCUUAUGCUGACAUUCAAUAAUUGGCGGUUAAUUGUUUGUUAAGUCUCCGCAUGGAGACUAGAUGGGAUGCCUUCUUAUGGAUUAAGCCUGUGAUAUCUAAUUCAUUGUUGUAUUUCUCUCUCUAUAUUUUGCCUUAUAGUUGCGCUAGGUAAGGUAUUAUGGGUUUUUUAUCUUACAAGUGUAAAAUAAAGUUAACCUAUCUUUCAAAUCACAUCAAUAAAUGUUUACUAAAUACUUAAGUGCUGCUUAACCACAAUAGCAAAUCGGGCCAAAAUUUGGAAAUUAAUUAUAUAACAUUUGAUAAUAAAAAACAGAACAAUUAAAAUAUUGAUUCAACUCGUUGAUAUAUACAUUUUUUUUAUUGGAGGGUAUUUUUGUUCACUUGUAUUGUAGUUGUUUUCUUUCCCAUUACCAUUCCAUUCUUACAACCAAGCAAAGAAAUCAAUAUUCCUUAACCAAACCAAACAAAUUAAAGAAAUCAAUAUUCCUUUACCCUUUCCAUUCCAUUCUUGCAACUAUCAGUUUCCAAAUUUUGGUGAAUGUCAAUAGUCAUUCUGACACUUUCUGAAAAUUUAAUGUUACUAUUCCAUUCUUGCAACUAUCAAUUUCCAAAUUUUGGUGAAUGUCAAUAGUCAUUCUGAUACUUUCUGAAAAUUUACCCUUUCCAUUCCAUUCUUGUAACUAUCAGUUUCCAAAUUUUGGUGAAUGUCAAUAAUCAUUUUGACACUUUCUUUCCCAUUACCAUUACAUUCUUGAUACCAAACAAAGAAAUCAAUAUUCCUUAACCAAACCAAACAAAUUAAAGAAAUCAAUAUUCCUUUGCCCUUUCCAUUCCAUUCUUGCAACUAUCAGUUUCCAAAUUUUGGUGAAUGUCAAUAGUCAUUCUGACACUUUUUGAAAAUUUAAUGUUACCAUUCCAUUCUUGCAACUAUCAAUUUCCAAAUUUUGGUGAAUAUCAAUAGUCAUUCUGAUACUUUCUGAAAAUUUACCCUUUCCAUUCCAUUCUUGUAACUAUCAGUUUCCAAAUUUUGGUGAAUGUCAAUAGUCAUUUUGACACUUUCUUUCCCAUUACCAUUCCAUUCUUGCAACCAAACAAAGAAAUCAAUAUUCCUUAACCAAACCAAACAAAUUAAAGAAAUCAAUAUUCCUUUACCCUUUCCAUUCCAUUCUUGCAACUAUCAGUUUCCAAAUUUUGGUGAAUGUCAAUAGUCAUUCUGACACUUUCUGAAAAUUUAAUGUUGAAUUGUAUAAACCAUCUACCUUGAUGCUUUAUAUAUACCAUGGUCCUUUUUAGAUAUUUUAAAGAAGAAAGGUUACUCUUGAGAUAACUCUAACCCUUAAAAAAUCUUAUUAUAAUCAAUCUUUCUUCUAUACUCUUUUUAGUACUUGACGAGUUAUAGUAGUUUGAAGGAAUUUGUUGCAAUGGAAAAUCAAGUUGGUACGUUAUCAGGCUCUUUCCCCAGCUCCCUUUCUCUAUGUAUGUUUAUAUAUGUAAAUCGAACACUUUUAGCUUGUUAUUUUCUUAUCAGUGUUAAAAUGACUCUUGACAGCAGUUUCAAGAUCCAUUUCACAUGUACCACCGGCUCAUUUCCUACUCAAAAUACAGACAUUUUCGUCCCUUCUAGAAAAUAAUGUGGAAAGUUAUGAAUCUUCGGAAUUUAAUGUUGGAAGCCACAAAUGGUAUGGCCUAAAACUUAGUACACUAAUAUUAAGAUUACCUUAUUACUUAAUUAUAUAUCAUAAUCUAAUAUGUUAUUUAAUUCAUGAUGGUUUCAGGAAACUUGUUGUGUACCCAAAUGGAAAUAAAAAAAAAAAGGUGAAAGAUCACAUCUCACUCUACUUGGCAAUGGCAGACUCAAGUUCUUUUGGUUCCGGUUGGGAAGUCUUUGUGAUUUUUCGCCUGUUUGUGCAUGAUCAGAACGAAGACACGUACUUGAUUCCUCAAGGUUGAUUAUUAAACUCAAGAAUAUUUAUGAUCAUUUUGUUCUUAAUUAUUUAACUGAGAGCUAAUCAAUGAUUUGACGUUACUUCAUCAUGUGGUAGAUGCAAUGGGAAAUGAAAGACGUUUUCAUGGGUUGAAGCUUGAAUGGGGUUUUGAUCAAUUCAUCCCGCUUAAAGAAUUUAACGAUGCUUCAAAUGGAUAUCUUGUGGGAGAUACAUGUAUUUUUGGAGCAGAAGUCUUUGUGAAAGAAAGGAACAUAGUCAAAGGAGAGUGUCUUUCCAUGAAGAAAUUCACAUCUACUUCCCCUUAUAAGUAUGUUUGGAAGAUCAAGAACUUUUCAAACUUGGAGGCAAAGUCUUACGAAUCAGAAGUAUUCGUUGCUGGAGAUCAAAAGUGGUACAUAUACUUUCUGAAUUGCUGUUCAAGUACAGACGUUCGAGAGUUUUUAAAAUUCGGAUUUGAACUAUGACAAGUUGUACUUUUAACAACGAUUUACAACUCUAAUGUAUCAUAGACUAAAUCUAGACAUUUGUACCUGAGCAUGACUAAUACUUAGGGUUCAUUUGUACAUGCGCGAUAUAUUUCUGAUGCCGAUGCAUGCAAAAGAAAUUCUUUUGAGUAGUUUUGAAUAAUACAACUUGUUAAAAUAAUGCAUCAUGUUAAAACCACUUCUUCAAAUGUGUAAUGUAAAAUGAUUUGCACAAAUUUUUUUAUUUAUCUAUUCAUAUAUAUAAUCUAACCAUCACAUCUGAAAGUUAAUGUUUUGAUAAUUUGUUAAAUGGAACCUCUUAGUAAAUAUGUACAAUUGAAUGCCGAGACUUAAACUUUACCCUUCUUGAUUUUUUCAGGAAGAUACAACUCUAUCCCAAGGGACACAGAGUAGCUAGUGGCAGUCAUAUUUCUAUGUACUUGGAAUUGGCUGACUUGUCAACUAUAACUCGUGGUUUUAAAAUAUACGUGCAUUUCACACUGCGAAUCCGGAAUCAAGUUCAAUCAAUACAUAAUCACUAUAAAAGUAAGUUAUUAUUAACCCAAAUUUACAGGUAUUGAAGUUCAUCAAUAAGGGUUGUAGCUAAGUACAUAUAUCUUCAGGUUUCUAUUGUUGUUCUUGCAGCUGCUAGUGAUUGGUUCAGGACCUCAAUCGAUAAUUGGGGUUGGCACAAGUUUAUUGAACUCAGUUACUUGAACAAGGCAGGCAAUGGUUUUCUUGUGAAUGAUGUCUGCAUUGUCGAAGCCGAGGUAUCAGUACUUGGAAUUUCCGAAGCCCUGUAAUAUAUACUAUAAUGAGCAUUGUUAUCCUUGCAAGAAACUUGGGAUGCUAAUUUUUUAAUUUUAUUUCUUAUAAUAAGAGUUAAUCUCAUUGUACCCAUAUAUUCUGGUAAAGAAAUUCUUAUGCUGACAUUCGAUAAUUGGUGGUUAAUUGUUUGUUAAGUCUCCACAUGGAGAUUACGUGGGGGAUGCAUUCUUAUAUGUUUAGCUUGUGAUAUCUAAUUCAUUGUUGUUUUUUCUCUCUCUAUAUUUUGCCUUAUAGUCGUGAUAGGUACGGUAUUAUAGAUUUUUCAUCAUACAAUUGUAAAAUAAAAUCAAUUUAACAUUCAAACCAUAUGAACAAGUGUUUACCAGGCUUAGGCUUACUGGCUUACAAUGUCAAACCAUGCCUAAAUUUGAAAUUAAUUAUAUAAUAUUUAAUAAUAAAGAAUAGAACAAUUAAAAUAUUGCUUCAACUCGUUGAAAUAUAUGUAUAUAUUUUUUUAGUGGAGGGUAUUUUUGUUCAUUUGUAUUGUAGUUGUUUUCUUUCCCCUUACCAUUCCAUUCUUGCAAUCAAGCAAAGAAAUCAAUAUUCCUUGACCAAACCAAACAAAAUAAAGAAACUAAUAUUCCUUUCCCCAUUCCAUUACCUUGUCCUUUGCCCUUUCCAUUCCAUUCUUGCAACCAUCAGUUUCCGAAACUUUGUGAAUAUCAAUAGUUAUUCUAACUCUAAAAAUUUAAUGUUUAAUAGUACAGACCCUCAACCUUGAUGCUUUGUAUAUACCAUGGUCUCUUUUAGAUAUCUUAAAGAAGAAAUAUUACUCUUCAGAGAAUACUCUAACUCUUGAAAAAUCUUAUUGUAAUCAAUCUUCUUCAGUACUAGUUUUAGUACCUGAGGAAUUUUAGUAAUUAGGAGGAAUUUGUAGCAAUGGAAAACGACUUUGUAGGCCAAGUUGGCAUGUUCUCUGACUCUUUCCCCAGCUCCUCUUCUCUAUGUAUGUUUACAUAUAUAUGUGCAUUGAACAUUUUUUGCCUGUUGUUUUCUAACCAGUGUUAAAAUUACUCUUGACAGCAAUUUCAAGAUCCAUUUCACAUGUUCUUUGAAAUGGUGCUCCGGUCCAAACGUCCUUACCAAGUUUGGAUUUAAACUAUGAUCAGAAAGACGUCCAAACCUAAGGAUAAUUAUAUUUAAUUAGGAUUCAAAAAUAUACACGUGUGAUAUAGUUGAUGCAAAAGAAAUUCUAUCAUAUGAAAAGGAUUUUUUUGUUAAUAUCCUUACUCAUAUCAUCUAAUUAAAUGCCUCAUCCUGGAAAUUAGCCUUUAGUUGAUUUUUUCAGGAGGAUACAGCUCCAUCCCAAGGUAAUCAAAAGUGGAACCAGCAGUCAUUUUUCUUUGCUCUUGGCAUUGGUUGAUUCCUCAACUAUAACUCAUGGUUUUAAAAUAUACGUGCAUUUUACGCUGCGAAUCUGGGAUCAAGUGCAAGGAAAGCAUGAAAAUGCAAAAAGUAAUUAAAAUAAUGUAUCUUUCAUUGCUGUUGUGAGAUAUGUCUAUCCAUCCACCUCUUGAUAAAUAAUGUAUCUUUCACACUAAUACUUUAGCAAGUGAGUUAUGAAGGCAGCUCCAUGAUAUCUGACGUAUGUAUUGUUCACACCCUUUAAGACAUGUUUAUGAGUUCUGCAUCACAAAGUACUUUAACAAUUAAAAAGUGUGUUGCUAAAUGCACGACUGGUUGAUAUUCUUUAUUGGUUAUAAAUACCCAUCAAUCAAAUACGUCAAAAAAUUGAGAGAUGAAAUAGUGAGCACGUGAAGAAAUUUUGUUAAUUAUGCUCUCAUUGACUUACUUAUUAGAAUUUUUUAAUCCUUUUAACUUCAUUCUAUUUAUAUUAUCUGUACGUAUACAUAAUCUGAAUACUUCCCAAUUUGAUCUACAACAAAUUGGGAGUUUAUGAAAUUGCGACGCAUUCCGAUUACGUACAACCUUUUUAUAGGAGCAUUACUGAACACAUUCAAGCUAUACUCCCACUAAAGAAUGGGAAAAAACUGAAAAGAGAUUAAUGAGGUGUAUUUAAAAGAUCUCUUUCACUAAAGAGUGGCCAUCAUUAACAAACAAAAAACCCAACAGUUGAGACGAGGCCAGGAGAAAACCGAAAAAAGAAGUAGAAUUUUCUUCUUUUUAUUAUUAUUGUUUUUUAAAAAUUUUAAAUAUGCUAAAAAAAACACUACGAAAUACAUUCAUUCAAUAUAACAACACAACUUUAAGUACCUAAAAGACCUAUUUUUGUCCCUCUCUCUCUCUCUCUCUCUCAAUGUUUUGUUAGUUCUCUUUUAAAAAAAAAAAUAAGUUACACACUUUUUUUUAAUUUAAUAUUUUGUUCGUUAUAAUACAUAAAUAAAUCACUUAAUUAUAGUUAGAUAAUCAUGGAAUAAUUAACAAAUUAUUUAAUCAUAAUUCGUAUAUAUUCGAUAAUGUUUUGAGCAAUUUAAAAAUUAAUUAAAUAAAAUCAAAUAUAGAUCGAAAAUGAAUACGAGUAUCAUAAUUAUGUAACCAUUGAGGUCGAGACUAGUUGUCACCAUGAGAAAAGGGCGCGCAACCAUAUGCGUCUAUGGCCGUUCCAAUAGAAGGGCAUUUUAGACUUUUCAUUACAUAUUUGUCAUGUUUAUGGAAUUUUAAUUUCGUCGAUGGCAUAUUCUGUGCAAAUUAAAUGCCUUAAAAUUUCCUCUUUAUAUACAUAUAAAAGCUGACACGAUGGACAGUUGAACCCUCAAGACCGAAGCGGGAUGGGUAACCAGGAUCGAAAUUUCCAGCGGCUUGAAUAAAAGAAUCCAUAGAUUUUACUUGGGAGAAAAGAAACAUCAAAAUAUUAUUAAAAAAUAUACAAAAUAUGCCAUUAAAAAAAUACUAUAAAAUACAUUCAUUCAAUAUAACAACACAACCUAAGUACCCAAAUACCUAUUUUUUCCCUCUAUCUCUCUCUCAAUUUUUUGUUAGUUUUUCUUUUUUAUAAAAAAAAGUUACACACUUUUUUAAUUUAAUUUUUUGCUCGGUAUAAUACAUAGAUAAAUUGCUUAAUUAUAGUUAGAUAGUCAUGGAAUAAUUAACAAAUUAUUGAAUCAUAAUCUGUAUAUUUUCGAUAAUAUUCAAGCAAUUAAAAAAAUGAUUAAAUAAAACCAAAUGUAGAUCGAGAAUGAAUAUGAUUACCAUAAUUAUGUAACCAUUGAGGUCGAGACUGGUUGUCAGCUUGAGAAAAUGUCGCUCAAUCAUAUGUAAUGGGUGUAGGCAGAGGCGUGUCCGCGUGUCAAUGGCCGUUCCAGUGUAAGGGCAUUUUAGACUUUCCCUCACAUGUUUUGUCAUGUUUAUGGAAUUUUAAUUUCAUUGAUGGCAUAUUCGGGGCAAAAUUAAAUUCCUCAAAAUUUCCUCUUUAUGCACCUAUAAAAGCUGACACGAUGCCUUUCAAAAACCAAAAAAAAAAAAAAAAAAAAAAACUGACACGAUGAACAGUUGAACACUUGAGACCGAAGCGUGAUGGGUAACCAAGAUCGAAAUUUGUAGUGUUGGUGGUGGUGAUAAUGAUAUGUAUGAUACUGCUAUGGGAUAUACUAACAAUGCAUUGCAGUGCAAUAUUCUUUGUUUCACGGUUUUAUGAUAUUUUUCAAAUUGGAUCUUGGUAAUUUGAUUUAACUGUAUGGCAGCGUGGGUUAUUCAGAAUUUGGUUAUUGAUGCUUGCUAAAGAUCUAAUGUAUGAAAGCAGAGGAGAGUAAUGGAGUUUGGUUGCGGCUAGGAAUUGAUUUCUUGGAGUAAUAAUGUGGCUUACCACUAGCUUGGCUAGACAGAGAACGGCUUAUUAGCAAAGGCAACGGACAGAAGGAACCAAAAUUUUAGGUUUUCUAAGAAUAGGGAGAGGGUGAAACAAAUAAUCUUACAAAUUUAUAACAGAUCCUGAAAACCUAAUUUCAAAUGUUUAUUGUUGAGUGUUAGAAAAUGCAUAUUUAUAAAGGAGAAAACCGUCAUUUUACAUUUCAAGUCUUACUAACAACCCUUACUUUUAUGUAUUUAAUCUUCUUGUGAUGUAAUUACGUGUGUGUUAUUUUAAUUAAGUAUUUUAUGUAUUUUAGGGACAUUAUAGUCAUUUCACAAUAAAGGAGAGAUCAGACGGCAAAACGGACAUCACUUUUGAACUCAGGACGGUCGAAAACCUUAGGAGGAGCAUAAAAGAAAAAAAUGACACUAUUCACAUGUACGGUACUAUUCACGUAUACGGUACUGUCUACGUUACUGUUCACAACACUGUUCACAUAGACGGAUCGAUGACGUGGCAUUGACCGAUGAUGUGGCAUUGACUGAUGAGGUGUCACGAUCCUGUUGGACUAAAAUUCUUAUGUACUGUUGAUGGUGACGUGGCAGCAUAUCAGUGGACGAAAAAUCUCGCGUACGGUGCAUGCAUCACACAGGAUUAUUUUCAACCAAACCGCGUUACUGUUCAUCCAGGUCAAACCGUGUUACUGUUCAUCCACGUGGUCAAACCGUGGACUGUUGACUGAUGACGUGGCGCAAUCCUGAGCGUCCAAACUGUUUUUAAUCCGAUGGCCAUGAUUUACUCCAUGUAUCUAUAAAAAUGGGGCCUCCCCCCCAAUUUGAUAUCUCUGAAUCCAUUUUUGGGAUCUAUUUUCUGUAAUUCCUUCUCCAUCUUGUAUUUUCUUUGUAUUUUAAUAAAUUCCCAUUUUGCCCCUAGUUCAAUUAUGAGUAGCUAAUUUCCUUUCAAGCUUGGGUUGAAGGUGAAGUCUCAACAUGUGUCAUGGGCUUUAUUUGGUAAAUUUAUUUUCUUUUCCCCUCUAGUUUUUGUGGAUGAUUUGACUUAUCGUCGACAAAUAAUACUGAUCUUGUCUAGAUACCGCCUUGGUUACACCGGCUCUCUAGUAUAAGGUUAUUAUUAUUUGGCACGAUAAGCCCUUAGCACCAUAUUGAUUAGAGCGUGGUUCAUGAGGUGUGGAUUCACCCCUCAUGAUUUAAUUGGCAUUAAUACGGAUUAUUUAGCCCAUGAUGCAUGUUGAUACGGAUCUAGAUACCCAAGUACGUCAUUUCAAUAGAAUUCUCUUCAAUUUAUUCUCGCCAUUUUAAUUUAAGUUUUAGCAUAUUCCAAAUCAUGUCCACCACAGAUCCAAUCAACCAUUUGCAAAAUUAAUUCUAUACACAAUUAAAAUCCACCUCCUCGUGGGAUCGACACUCGUCACCAUUGAUCUAUACUACAAUAGAUUCGUGCGCUUGCGAGUACAUUAAAAUUUGCACAACAAGUUUUUGGCGCCGUUGCGGGGGAGGUAAGUAAUUUUAAUUCAUAGAAUUAAUUUUUGUGAAUAAUUUCUUUUAUUUGUUUUCUUGUAUUUUUUUUAAUUAUUAAAAAAAGAAAAAAAAAAGUAAAUCUACAUUUAAAGGUUAGUAUUUCUUUUCUUUUUCUCUUCUUUAAAAUUCUGUAAUUUAAUUUUCAAUUUAUUUUUUCUUUGUAAUUUUUGUUUAUUUUAUUAAUUUAAUUUUUAGUUAAUUUAUUUCACGUAUUUGUUUUUGUGUAUUUUUAUAGAAAGGUUGUAAUAGCGCAAUAAGGUUAGUAUCGUAAUUUCUCCCUCUUCUUUAUUUUUAUUUGUUUUUGUUCCCAUCUUUAUUUUUAUUUUAUUUGUUUUGCAUGCAUGGUCGUAGGUCAUUAUUACCUAAUCUUGAACCUAUAGACCUUGAACUUAAGAAAACACUUCGCACACAAAAGCACAUUAAUAAAUUUGGAAUGGAUUUACAAGCACCACAGGAGAGGCCAUUUAAGGAUUAUUUUAGUCCCUUAGCUAAUUUGAGCACAUCAUGUAUAAGAUACCCAAAUGUAGCUGCUAGGAGUUUUGAAUUAAAACCUAGUGUGCUAAAUUGUCUCCCCACAUUUUAUGGCUUAGAAAAUGAGGACUCAUAUAAUCAUCUGAAUGAUUUUCAUGCUAUUUGUCAAACUUUUAAAUACGAGAAUUUUUCAGAUGAUGAUGUAAAGCUUAGAUUAUUCCCAUUUUCUUUAAAGGAUAGAGCUCGUUCAUGGCUUAAUACAUUGCCUGCUAAUAGCAUUGCGUCAUGGGAACAAAUGGUUACAAAAUUUCUAAAUAAAUAUUUCCCAGUGCAUAAAACCAAUUCUAUUCGCAGGGAAAUUUCAGAGUUUACACAAAGAGAGGACGAGCAGUUUUUCGAAACUUGGGAGCGAUUCAAUGGACUACUCUUGAAGUGUCCACAUCAUGGGUACGAGAAAUGGCACCAAUGCCAAUACUUUUUGGAGGGAUUAUUGCCGAAUGUGCAAGAAUGGCUAAUGGCAACAAGUGGAGGAGAGCUAAUGUCAAAAAGUGCAUCAGAAAUUUGGGAGUUUUUCCAGCGACAAGCGGACAAUUCCCAACAACGGAGUCGAUCACUCAGGAAUACUAGAAGGAUUAAAGGAGUGAAUAAGGUUCACAUUGGCGAGUCAACUUCGGGAAUCAAAGAAGUCAAGGAGAUGGUUGAAGGUCUUACUCGACAAAUAGCAUCGUUAUCGACUGCUAAAUCAACAGAAUCACAUGACCCUGACUCAUAUCCAGAUCAAGCCAAUGCCAUAGGUGUAAUGAGAAAGCCAUCUAAUUACAACCCAUACUCCAACACAUAUAACCCUGGAUGGAGAGACCACCCCAAUUUUUCAUGAUCUCAAGGAUUCCAACAGAAUGGACCAGCAGCUCCAGCUCCACCAAUGCAACAAAUUCCUCAAAAUCCUCAAGCCUCUCAGCCCCCAUUUAGACCAUUCAAUCAAAACCAGAAUUAUUCUCAACCCAGACCAUGGGAGGAUGCAUUUCAGAAUUUCAGGAAUGUUACUCACUCCACGAUUGAGCAACAGAACCGCACCAUUGAUGGACUACGAAAUGAGUUGAGAGCGGGCUUCAACUCACAAGCCCAAUCAGUUUCAAGCCUCGAGAAGAUGGUGGGACAACUCGCUUCUUCAGUUCAGACCUUGGCAAUGACUGUUGAGAAAGGCAAGUUUCCAAGUCAACCAGUGCCUAAUCCUAAAGGAGUACAUGAAGCAAGUACCAGUUCACCACAGCAGCAUGGAGAGGUCAAAGCAGUCAUGACCUUGCGAAAAGGAAAAAAAAGUCGACAAUAAAGUGGAGAUGCCGGUGACAAAAGAAAAUCAAAUUGUACCUGUAAAUGCUGAGGACUCACCACCGGAGGAGAGAGAAGAAACCAACCCACGAGAAUAUGUUCCGAAAGCUCUAUUUCCUCAAAGGUUAGCUAAAGGAAAAAAGGAAAAAUCCACAGGUGAGAUUCUUGAAAUCUUCAAACAGGUAAGUGUUAACAUCCCUUUACUUGAUGCUAUUAAACAAGUUCCAUCUUAUGCCAAGUUUCUUAAAGACCUUUGUACUAAAAAGAGAAAUAUGCAUGUUCAAAAGAAAGCAUUUUUAACAGAAAACGUUAGUUCUAUACUCCAACAUAAAAUUCCUUUAAAAUGCAAAGACCCAGGCUCCCCCACUAUCUCAUGUAGUAUAUGGAACCACACAAUUGAGAAUGCUUUGUUGGAUUUAGGAGCUAGUGUAAAUCUGUUGCCUUAUUCAGUAUUCGUGAAACUUGGACUGGGAGAAUUACACCCAACUCCAGUGGUGUUACAGCUUGCAGAUCGGUCCACGAAAAUACCUCGCGGUAUUGUGGAGGACGUGCUUAUCCAGGUAGACAAGUUUUAUUUUCCUGUUGAUUUCAUUGUAAUUGACACUCAAUCAAUACAGGAUUCAAAGAAGCACAUCCCCAUUAUUCUAGGCCGACCUUUCUUGGCAACUGCGGAUGCUCAUAUUCAAUGUAGGACCGAAAAUAUGCAAUUGUCAUUCGGCAACAUGACUAUGGAGCUAAAUAUUUUCAACAUUGCCAAACAACCUCACAGUGCAGAUGAUGGAAUUGUUGAUGUGGAUUUAAUAGAAACAAUAGUUGAUAAUACUUUUCUUUCAAACCUUAGUGAUGAUCCUUUACAAACAUGUUUAACUCACUUUGGUUUGGAUUUUGAUAUUGACAGAUCGGUUGAUGAGGUCAACGCUCUACUUGACUCAGCACCAUCCAUGGACACUAAUAAAUGGAAGUCAAGAGUUGAACAACUAGCACCAUCAGAAAAGAAACUCAUCCCAUCAUCAGAAUCACCACCAAAACUCGAGCUCAAACCAUUGCCAACACUCUGGAAUAUGCAUUUUUGGGAGAAGAAAGUACUCUGCCGGUAAUCAUCUCAUCAUCCCUAAAUGAGGAACAAAAAGGUAAGUUGUUGGAUGUUUUAAAAGAGCACAAAGGAGCAUUAGGAUGGACCAUAGCAGACAUUAAAGGUAUAAACCCAGUAGACUGCAUGCAUUACAUUCACAUUGAUGAAAAUGCUAAAACUACUAGGGAGAUGCAACGUCGGUUAAAUCCUAACAUGAAAGAAGUUGUUAGAACUGAAGUCCUUAAGCUAUUAGAUGCAGGUAUCAUUUACCCAAUUUCUGAUAGUUCAUGGGUCAGUCCUGUACAAGUCGUCCCCAAAAAGUCAGGAGUCGCAGUAGUUACCAAUGCUGAUAAUGAAUUGAUACCUACUAAAGUGACUACAUAAUGGCGUGUAUGCAUUGAUUAUAGAAAGUUGAAUUCUGUCACACGUAAAGACCAUUUUCCUUUACCAUUUAUCGAUUAAAUGCUUGAUAGAUUGGCAGGCCAUGAAUUUUAUUGCUUUCUAGAUGGCUACUCAGGAUAUAAUCAAAUUCCCAUAGCACCAAAAGAUCAGGAGAAAACUACUUUCACUUGCCCUUUUGGCACAUUUGCAUAUAGGAGAAUGUCAUUUGGAUUAUGUAAUGCACCUGCUACGUUUCAACCGAUGCAUGUUAAGCAUUUUUUCUGAUAUGGUUGAACGAUUCCUUGAAGUCUUUAUGGAUGAUUUUUCUGUCUUUGGUGACUCGUUUGAUCAAUGUUUACAUCAUCUAANNNNNNNNNNNNNNNNNNNNNNNNNNNNNNNNNNNNNNNNNNNNNNNNNNNNNNNNNNNNNNNNNNNNNNNNNNNNNNNNNNNNNNNNNNNNNNNNNNNNNNNNNNNNNNNNNNNNNNNNNNNNNNNNNNNNNNNNNNNNNNNNNNNNNNNNNNNNNNNNNNNNNNNNNNNNNNNNNNNNNNNNNNNNNNNNNNNNNNNNNNNNNNNNNNNNNNNNNNNNNNNNNNNNNNNNNNNNNNNNNNNNNNNNNNNNNNNNNNNNNNNNNNNNNNNNNNNNNNNNNNNNNNNNNNNNNNNNNNNNNNNNNNNNNNNNNNNNNNNNNNNNNNNNNNNNNNNNNNNNNNNNNNNNNNNNNNNNNNNNNNNNNNNNNNNNNNNNNNNNNNNNNNNNNNNNNNNNNNNNNNNNNNNNNNNNNNNNNNNNNNNNNNNNNNNNNNNNNNNNNNNNNNNNNNNNNNNNNNNNNNNNNNNNNNNNNNNNNNNNNNNNNNNNNNNNNNNNNNNNNNNNNNNNNNNNNNNNNNNNNNNNNNNNNNNNNNNNNNNNNNNNNNNNNNNNNNNNNNNNNNNNNNNNNNNNNNNNNNNNNNNNNNNNNNNNNNNNNNNNNNNNNNNNNNNNNNNNNNNNNNNNNNNNNNNNNNNNNNNNNNNNNNNNNNNNNNNNNNNNNNNNNNNNNNNNNNNNNNNNNNNNNNNNNNNNNNNNNNNNNNNNNNNNNNNNNNNNNNNNNNNNNNNNNNNNNNNNNNNNNNNNNNNNNNNNNNNNNNNNNNNNNNNNNNNNNNNNNNNNNNNNNNNNNNNNNNNNNNNNNNNNNNNNNNNNNNNNNNNNNNNNNNNNNNNNNNNNNNNNNNNNNNNNNNNNNNNNNNNNNNNNNNNNNNNNNNNNNNNNNNNNNNNNNNNNNNNNNNNNNNNNNNNNNNNNNNNNNNNNNNNNNNNNNNNNNNNNNNNNNNNNNNNNNNNNNNNNNNNNNNNNNNNNNNNNNNNNNNNNNNNNNNNNNNNNNNNNNNNNNNNNNNNNNNNNNNNNNNNNNNNNNNNNNNNNNNNNNNNNNNNNNNNNNNNNNNNNNNNNNNNNNNNNNNNNNNNNNNNNNNNNNNNNNNNNNNNNNNNNNNNNNNNNNNNNNNNNNNNNNNNNNNNNNNNNNNNNNNNNNNNNNNNNNNNNNNNNNNNNNNNNNNNNNNNNNNNNNNNNNNNNNNNNNNNNNNNNNNNNNNNNNNNNNNNNNNNNNNNNNNNNNNNNNNNNNNNNNNNNNNNNNNNNNNNNNNNNNNNNNNNNNNNNNNNNNNNNNNNNNNNNNNNNNNNNNNNNNNNNNNNNNNNNNNNNNNNNNNNNNNNNNNNNNNNNNNNNNNNNNNNNNNNNNNNNNNNNNNNNNNNNNNNNNNNNNNNNNNNNNNNNNNNNNNNNNNNNNNNNNNNNNNNNNNNNNNNNNNNNNNNNNNNNNNNNNNNNNNNNNNNNNNNNNNNNNNNNNNNNNNNNNNNNNNNNNNNNNNNNNNNNNNNNNNNNNNNNNNNNNNNNNNNNNNNNNNNNNNNNNNNNNNNNNNNNNNNNNNNNNNNNNNNNNNNNNNNNNNNNNNNNNNNNNNNNNNNNNNNNNNNNNNNNNNNNNNNNNNNNNNNNNNNNNNNNNNNNNNNNNNNNNNNNNNNNNNNNNNNNNNNNNNNNNNNNNNNNNNNNNNNNNNNNNNNNNNNNNNNNNNNNNNNNNNNNNNNNNNNNNNNNNNNNNNNNNNNNNNNNNNNNNNNNNNNNNNNNNNNNNNNNNNNNNNNNNNNNNNNNNNNNNNNNNNNNNNNNNNNNNNNNNNNNNNNNNNNNNNNNNNNNNNNNNNNNNNNNNNNNNNNNNNNNNNNNNNNNNNNNNNNNNNNNNNNNNNNNNNNNNNNNNNNNNNNNNNNNNNNNNNNNNNNNNNNNNNNNNNNNNNNNNNNNNNNNNNNNNNNNNNNNNNNNNNNNNNNNNNNNNNNNNNNNNNNNAAGGUUAUUAUUAAUUUGGCACGAUAAGCCCUUAGCACCAAUAUGAUUAGAGCGUGGUUCAUGAGGUGUGGAUUCCCCCUCAUGAUUUAAUUGGCAUUAAUACGGAUUAUUUAGCCCAUGAUGCAUGUUGAUACGGAUCCAGAUACCCAAGUACGUCAUUUCAAUAGAAUUCUCUUCAAUUUAUUCUCGCCAUUUUAAUUUAAGUUUUAGCAUAUUCCAAAUCAUUCCACCACAAUCCAAUCACCAUUUGCAAAAUUAAUUCUAUACACAAUUAAAAUCCACCUCCUCGUGGGAUCGACACUCGUCACCAUUGAUCUAUACUACAAUAGAUUCGUGCGCUUGCGAGUACAUUAAAAUUUGCACAACAAGUUUUUGGCGCCGUUGCCGGGGAGGUAAGUAAUUUUAAUUCAUAGAAUUAAUUUUUGUGAAUAAUUUCUUUUAUUUGUUUUCUUGUAUUUUUUUUAUUAAAAAAAAAAAAAAAAGUAAAUCUACAUUUAAAGGUUAGUAUUUCUUUUCUUUUUCUCUUCUUUAAAAUUCUGUAAUUUAAUUUUCAAUUUAUUUUUUCUUUGUAAUUUUUGUUUAUUUUAUUAAUUUAAUUUUUAGUUAAUUUAUUUCACGUAUUUGUUUUUUGUGUAUUUUUUAUAGAAAGGUUGUAAUAGCGCAAUUAAGGUUAGUAUCGUAAUUUCUCCCUCUUCUUUAUUUUUAUUUGUUUUUUGUUCCCAUCUUUAUUUUUUAUUUUAUUUGUUUUGCAUGCAUGGUCGUAGGUCAUUAUUACCUAAUCUUGAACCUAUAGACCUUGAACUUAAGAAAACACUUCGCACACAAAAGCACAUUAAUAAAUUUGGAAUGGAUUUACAAGCACCACAGGAGAGGCCAUUUAAGGAUUAUUUAGUCCCUUAGCUAAUUUGAGCACAUCAUGUAUAAGAUACCCAAAUGUAGCUGCUAGGAGUUUUGAAUUAAAACCUAGUGUGCUAAAUUGUCUCCCACAUUUUAUGGCUUAGAAAAAUGAGGACUCAUAUAAUCAUCUGAAUGAUUUUCAUGCUAUUUGUCAAACUUUUUAAAUACGAGAAUUUUUCAGAUGAUGAUGUAAAGCUUAGAUUAUUCCCAUUUUCUUUAAAGGAUAGAGCUCGUUCAUUGGCUUAAUACAUUGCCUGCUAAUAGCAUUGCGUCAUGGGAACAAAUGGUUACAAAAUUUCUAAAUAAAUAUUUCCCAGUGCAUAAAACCAAUUCUAUUCGCAGGGAAAUUUCAGAGUUUACACAAAGAGAGGACGAGCAGUUUUUUCGAAACUUGGGAGCGAUUCAAUGGACUACUCUUGAAGUGUCCACAUCAUGGGUACGAGAAAUGGCACCAAUGCCAAUACUUUUUGGAGGGAUUAUUGCCGGAAUGUGCAAGAAUGGCUAAUGGCAACAAGUGGAGGAGAGCUAAUGUCAAAAAGUGCAUCAGAAAUUUGGAGUUUUUCCAGCGACAAGCGGACAAUUCCCAACAACGGAGUCGAUCACUCAGGAAUACUAGAAGGAUUUAAAGGAGUGAAUAAGGUUCACAUUGGCGAGUCAACUUCGGGAAUCAAAGAAGUCAAGGAGAUGGUUGAAGGUCUUACUCGACAAAUAGCAUCGUUAUCGACUGCUAAAUCAACAGAAUCACAUGACCCUGACUCAUAUCCAGAUCAAGCCAAUGCCAUAGGUGUAAUGAGAAAGCCAUCUAAUUACAACCCAUACUCCAACACAUAUAACCCUGGAUGGAGAGACCACCCCAAUUUUUCAUGAUCUCAAGGAUUCCAACAGAAUGGACCAGCAGCUCCAGCUCCACCAAUGCAACAAAUUCCUCAAAAUCCUCAAGCCUCUCAGCCCCCAUUUAGACCAUUCAAUCAAAACCAGAAUUAUUCUCAACCCAGACCAUGGGAGGAUGCAUUUCAGAAUUUCAGGAAUGUUACUCACUCCACGAUUGAGCAACCAGAACCGCACCAUUGAUGGACUACGAAAUGAGUUGAGAGCGGGCUUCAACUCACAAGCCCAAUCAGUUUCAAGCCUCGAGAAGAUGGUGGACAACUCGCUUCUUCAGUUCAGACCUUGGCAAUGACUGUUGAGAAAGGCAAGUUUCCAAGUCAACCAGUGCCUAAUCCUAAAGGAGUACAUGAAGCAAGUACCAGUUCACCACAGCAGCAUGGAGAGGUCAAAGCAGUCAUGACCUUGCGAAAAGGAAAAAAAGUCGACAAUAAAGUGGAGAUGCCGGUGACAAAAGAAAAUCAAAUUGUACCUGUAAAUGCUGAGGACUCACCACCGGAGGAGAGAGAAGAAACCAACCCACGAGAAUAUGUUCCGAAAGCUCUAUUUCCUCAAAGGUUAGCUAAAGGAAAAAAGGAAAAAUCCACAGGUGAGAUUCUUGAAAUCUUCAAACAGGUAAGUGUUAACAUCCCUUUACUUGAUGCUAUUAAACAAGUUCCAUCUUAUGCCAAGUUUCUUAAAGACCUUUGUACUAAAAAGAGAAAUAUGCAUGUUCAAAAGAAAGCAUUUUUUAACAGAAAACGUUAGUUCUAUACUCCAACAUAAAAUUCCUUUAAAAUGCAAAGACCCAGGCUCCCCCACUAUCUCAUGUAGUAUAUGGAACCACACAAUUGAGAAUGCUUUGUUGGAUUUAGGAGCUAGUGUAAAUCUGUUGCCUUAUUCAGUAUUCGUGAAACUUGGACUGGGAGAAUUACACCCAACUCCAGUGGUGUUACAGCUUGCAGAUCGGUCCACGAAAAUACCUCGCGGUAUUGUGGAGGACGUGCUUAUCCAGGUAGACAAGUUUUAUUUUCCUGUUGAUUUCAUUGUAAUUGACACUCAAUCAAUACAGGAUUCAAAGAAGCACAUCCCCAUUAUUCUAGGCCGACCUUUCUUGGCAACUGCGGAUGCUCAUAUUCAAUGUAGGACCGAAAAUAUGCAAUUGUCAUUCGGCAACAUGACUAUGGAGCUAAAUAUUUUCAACAUUGCCAAACAACCUCACAGUGCAGAUGAUGGAAUUGUUGAUGUGGAUUUAAUAGAAACAAUAGUUGAUAAUACUUUUCUUUCAAACCUUAGUGAUGAUCCUUUACAAACAUGUUUAACUCACUUUGGUUUGGAUUUUGAUAUUGACAGAUCGGUUGAUGAGGUCAACGCUCUACUUGACUCAGCACCAUCCAUGGACACUAAUAAAUGGAAGUCAAGAGUUGAACAACUAGCACCAUCAGAAAAGAAACUCAUCCCAUCAUCAGAAUCACCACCAAAACUCGAGCUCAAACCAUUGCCCAACACUCUGGAAUAUGCAUUUUUGGGAGAAGAAAGUACUCUGCCGGUAAUCAUCUCAUCAUCCCUAAAUGAGGAACAAAAAGGUAAGUUGUUGGAUGUUUUAAAAGAGCACAAAGGAGCAUUAGGAUGGACCAUAGCAGACAUUAAAGGUAUAAACCCAGUAGACUGCAUGCAUUACAUUCACAUUGAUGAAAAUGCUAAAACUACUAGGGAGAUGCAACGUCGGUUAAAUCCUAACAUGAAAGAAGUUGUUAGAACUGAAGUCCUUAAGCUAUUAGAUGCAGGUAUCAUUUACCCAAUUUCUGAUAGUUCAUGGGUCAGUCCUGUACAAGUCGUCCCCAAAAAGUCAGGAGUCGCAGUAGUUACCAAUGCUGAUAAUGAAUUGAUACCUACUAAAGUGACUACAUAAUGGCGUGUAUGCAUUGAUUAUAGAAAGUUGAAUUCUGUCACACGUAAAGACCAUUUUCCUUUACCAUUUAUCGAUUAAAUGCUUGAUAGAUUGGCAGGCCAUGAAUUUUAUUGCUUUCUAGAUGGCUACUCAGGAUAUAAUCAAAUUCCCAUAGCACCAAAAGAUCAGGAGAAAACUACUUUCACUUGCCCUUUUGGCACAUUUGCAUAUAGGAGAAUGUCAUUUGGAUUAUGUAAUGCACCUGCUACGUUUCAACGAUGCAUGUUAAGCAUUUUUUCUGAUAUGGUUGAACGAUUCCUUGAAGUCUUUAUGGAUGAUUUUUCUGUCUUUGGUGACUCGUUUGAUCAAUGUUUACAUCAUCUAACGCUAGUUCUGCAGAGAUGUACCGAGAAGAACUUAGUCUUAAAUUGGGAGAAGUGCCAUUUUAUGGUAAAACAAGGUAUUGUUCUCGGUCACAUCAUUUUGAGCAAAGGUAUUGAGGUUGACAAAGCCAAGGUGGAUCUCAUUUCUAAUCUUCAUCCACCUAAAACAAUCAGAGAAGUAAGAUCUUUCCUUGGAUAUGCUGGUUUCUAUAGACGUUUCAUUAAAGAUUUUAGCAAAGUUUCUAGACCCUUAUGCAAUUUACUUGCUAAGGAUGUACCUUUUUAUCUUUAAUGAUUCAUGUCUCAUGGCGUUUGAAAAAUUAAAGCAGUUGUUGACAUCAUCACCCAUCAUUCAGGCCCCAAACUGGAGCUUACCAUUUGAGCUCAUGUGUGAUGCAUCUGAUUAUGCAGUAGGAGCAGUAUUAGGACAAAGAGUUGAUCGAAUUCCCCAUGUUAUUUACUAUGCUAGUAUGACAUUGAAUGAUGCACAGUUGAACUAUUCAACUACUGAAAAAGAAAUGCUAGCAGUAGUGUUUGCAUUAGAAAAAUUUCGAUCUUAUCUCAUUGGUUGUAAAAUAAUUGUAUUCACAGAUCAUGCUGCUCUUAAAUAUCUUCUCACAAAGAAAGAUGCAAAAGCUAGACUAAUUCGUUGGGUGUUACUUUUGCAGGAAUUUGACUUGGAAUUCAAAGAUAAGAAAGGGACAGAAAAUGUUGUGGCGGACCACCUCUCUCGUCUCCAUUUUGACACAAUUACAGAGCCAUUAAUAUUAAAUGAGUCAUUUCCAGAUGAACAAUUAAUGAGUGUGGAAGUAUUACCUUGGUAUGCUGAUAUAGUUAAUUAUCUUGUUACAGGUAAACUUCCAGAGCAUUGGACCAAGCAAGACAAGGCUAAAUUCUUUGCGGAAGUAAAGAAUUUCUUUUGGGAUGACCCGUAUUUGUUCAAGUAUUGUGCAGAUCAAAUUGUUAGGCGAUGUGUCCCAGAAAGUGAAAUUCAAAAUAUCCUUUCAUUCUGCCAUGAACAAGCGUGUGGAGGCCAUUUUAGUGCUAAGAAAACAGCUACAAAAGUUUUACAAUGUGGUUUUUAUUGGCCAACUAUAUUUCGAGAUGCUUACACUUUUUGUUCUUCAUGUGAUAGGUGUCAACGAAUGGGGAGCAUUACACGAAGGAACAUGAUGCCACUAAAUCCAAUUUUAGUGGUUGAGAUUUUUUACGUAUGGGGUAUCGACUUCAUGGGACCCUUUCCCCCUUCUUUUGGCCAUCAAUACAUAUUGGUUGGUGUUGACUACGUCUCGAAAUGGGUAGAAGCAAUUCCAUGUAGGACCAAUGAUCACAAAGUGGUGAUAGGAUUUUUGAAAAGCAACAUUGUUUCACGCUUUGGAUUCCCUCGAGCGAUAAUCAGUGAUGGUGGUGCCCACUUUUGUAACAAAGCAUUCAAAGCUCUUUUGACAAAGUAUUCAAUCACACACAAAGUGGCGACCCCGUAUCAUCCGCAAACCAGUGGCCAAGUUGAGAUCUCCAAUCGAGAAAUCAAGCACAUAUUAGAAAAAACGGUGAGGCCAGACAGAAAAGAUUGGUCAUUAAGACUUGAUGAUGCAUUAUGGGCAUAUAGAACGGCUUUCAAGACCCCGAUUGGGAUGUCACCCUACAGGCUAGUGUAUGGAAAAGCUUGCCACCUACCUGUGGAACUCGAGCAUCGUGCAUAUUGGGCCAUCAAGAAAUUCAACUUUGACAUGCAGCAAGCCAGCUCAGAAAGAAGAUUACAACUGGCAGAACUUGAAGAAAUUCGUAAUGAUGCAUACGAAAAUGCCAAGAUUUACAAGCAACGAAUGAAAGUCUUUCACGACAAGCAAAUUAUGAGAAAAUCAUUCACUCCAGGUCAGAAAGUGCUUUUAUUCAAUUCUCGCUUGCACCUAUUCCCAGGUAAGUUACGCUCUCGAUGGUCUGGUCCCUUUAUUAUUCAUACUGUUUUUCCACAUGGGGCAAUUGAAAUUAAGGACCCAAAGAACGGUGUCACGUUUAAAGUUAAUGGUCAAAGAUUAAAGCCAUAUCUAGAAUACCAACCACAUGGAGAAGACACCGAAAUAAAUUUGAGUGACCCACCAGAUUUGAAUUGAUUUGUUUUUUUUCUUUUCGUUGAUUUGAUUUUUCUUUCUUUCUUUUUAUUAUUCUUUUGCUAAUUGAAAUUAUUUUUGCAUAAGUGUGUUUGUUUAAACUAUUAAGUUUUCUCUUAUCAUUUUUAAUCAUGAGUACCUUACUUAGACCGUUCCUCCUGAACAUUCUUAAACCACUUCAACGUGUCAAAACUCAUCUCAAACGGUAAAUUCAAUUUUGUAAAACACAUCGUAUUUGGGCUCUACAACCACCAGAGUUAGUAGCCUAUGUUGAGGGUUUAGAACGCCAACUCCGAGAUAUUAAGAGAAGUGUUUACGACAUCCAGUUGGAGCUUGAGGUAAAUUCAAUAAGAGGACGAUUUUAAUUUUCUUUGUGUGUUUUGAUUUGCUUUUCUGUUUGUGUGCUUUAGUUUGUUACCCCGGUGAAGUGGCGGAUAACGGUACUCCGUGACAAUCAAGUCGGUUAACUUCAGUUUCCCAUAAUAACUGAUAUUCUGAGGCGAAGGUAUGGAUAGAAACGAGAUUUUAGCAAAGCUUCACAAGCGAUUCCCUUCACUUCCUCAGAAUGCCCUCCUUACAAUCUAUAAAGCCCGGUCUGAACGCAUGCGAUUGCUCAUGAGGAAUAACAUACCUGCAGACAUCCGUUGGUUAAUCGAGGCUAAAGUACAAUUGGCAGGUGAGUUACCUCCUAAAUUUAUUGCAUACAUGCCUGGUUGUGGUAAAGGAAAUUACGCAAGAAAACGACGAGCUCGAAGAAUUUCUGUUGCUUGUCACAAGUGUGCCAGAAUGAGUUGCGAUAGAAACCCAUGUUCUUUAGGAAUGGUGUCUGAUAAUAGAGAAGAUAAGAUUCAAUUCAUUAGGGAUGGCUUGAAUAAGGAGUCAUUGGAUGAUAUCCUUCUAUCUCUUGAAACACAUCCCAGUGGAUAUGUGCAAGGAGCGAUUCUCCAGUUAUGGCCAUUAUUCCAGAAAGAGCAUGCACGAUAUAGUCUCGGGAAUCUGACUAUAAACGACCCUGUUUGUCAGUUUAUAAGAAAACUGGAUGGGAAGCCGAUCCUCGACCCAUAGAGGGCGUUCAAGCCGUUUCUGGACGUAAAACCAGAGGAAGAUGUGAGCCACAGUCGCAACUACCUGUAAAUAUCCUUUUACUUUACUGUUGUUUUAUUUUACUGUUGUUUUAUCGUUUGUAUUAUUGUCUUUAAUAAUUUUAUUACUGUUUGCUUUUUCCUUUUUACUGUUUUCUUUUUGACUCGCGAGCCACGUGCUUUACGCGUUAUUUGACACUGACAUGUUAUCUCAUUCACAGCUGUGAUCCACUGUCACCAAGAUUCUUAAAUGUGAUUUAUCUUUUGUCAAGCACUCACAAAUUAUUUUUGAGAAAUAUUCCAAUGGCAACUACUCCCAAUAGACAAUUCAAGAACAUUUGUGUGCUUUCUGGAUUUACCUAUGGCAAACAUAAAGAGUUCGUGGAGGCAGCCAUAGAUCUUGGUCGAAGCAUAGCAGCGAGAAAAUUACACUUGGUGUAUGGAGGAGGUAACCGAGGAUUAUCAAAAAUGGUCUCAGAAUCAGCUUUUAUCAGAGGAAGUCAAGUGUUAGGCAUCAUCCCAAGAGUCCUAAAACCAUUGGGCAGUUCGUCUGACUCAUCAACUGGAGAAGAGUUAGUCGUCUCAGGUAUGCAAGAAAGAAUAACUGAAAUGCUUAAUCAUGCUGAUGCUUUUAUUUUCCUUCCAGGAGAUCUUGCAACACUAGAGGCACUUAUCACACUAGCAUCUUGGGCCCAUCUGCACAUCCACCAGAAACCCAUCGGUUUGUUAAAUGUCAAUAACUUUUAUGAUGGCUUUAUCGCAUUUCUUAACCAUGCAAUAAAAAACUAUUUCAUUCCUUCUAAUGUGAAAAAACUCUUUAUUUGUGCUCACACUGCUAAUGAGCUACUUGAUAUGUUACAAGCUUAUAAAUCGGAGACAGACCCCUGGACCUUUGUGUUGGAGCGACCAAAUAAUGAUGGUAACAGUAGCCGCAGUAAGAAGUACAAAUUAGAUUUAACUCUCCGCCUGUAAAUAUUUUCUUCUGUGUUGUACCACCCAGGUGAUGUCUUCUAAACUCUACUUCUUUCCUUUAAAACAUUGAGGACAAUGUUUCGUUCUGGUUGGGGGGAGGGAAUAGUCGACAAUUGUGGAAUCUUGGUUAAGUUUUUACUGAUUUUUUGUUGUAGAAACUAACUGUUGCUAACAUUUUGUGUUGAAGAUGGCUGAAUAUGGAGUGUAGUUACUCUAGAAACGCAUCUUCAUCGUUUAAAAAACAAAAAAAAAUAAAAAAUAAAAAAAAAAUCGUUUUCUUCCUCUUUCUCCUUUAUAAAUAUAUAUUUUCAAAUUUUUGAGUCGAAGAUGGCUGAAUAUGGAGUGUAGUGCCUCUAGAAACACAUCUUCUUAGUUAAAAAAAAAAAAAAUUUCUUUUUCUAAUUAAUUUUUUCUACAUCAUUUUCACAUUUCUGCAUGCAUAUUUUCCUUUCAUGUUUAGAAUAGGUUGGGGGGUAGAAUGUUGUUUAAAAAAAAAAAAUUGUGUUAUUUGUUUUAACAUUGGAUGACAUGAUUAAUUUCAAAUUUUAGUAUUUGUAUUAUCUUUGGUCUUAAGUGAUGUUACGCUAUGUUUGCUACUUUACAUGUUGAUGUCGGAGACAAAUAUGAGUUGCUUGAAGGAAUGAACAUGUUAUAAAUAAGUGCCAAGUGAGUUGUUGAGCCUAUCAUUUUCUUGUAGAGUAACCCUUUUGCCCAUUCUCUAUACAGCUUAGCAGUUUAUUAUCUUAUACACGAUCUCUAGAUUUCUUUUAAGUUAACCCUUUAAAAAAAAAUGGUAAAAUUAAAAAAAAGAAAAAAGAAAAAAAUGUGUGUUGCUACAUUGGGAGGCCCAUCUAACUAGUAGAUAUGGAUAAUUAUUUAGAGCCCUAAAAGACGAUGGAAAUGCCAUCUUUGAUCCGUUUGAGCCUUUCUAGCCAUCCAUUUUAUUAAAUAUCCAUAGUUACCCCUUUUGAGCCUUUAAAAAAAAAAAAAAAAAAACAUUUUCUUUGUCAACUUAUCAUCUUGACCCACUCCGAUUUGGAGUAUUACCCGAUAUCUUAUAAGUUCCAUCACCUAUUUAUGUUUGAGAAAAUGUAAAUAAUUAUGUUGUUCAGUGAAGUUAUGCCAAAUAAAAGCAAAACAAAAAAACAAAAAAACAAAAAAAAAAAAAAGUUGUUGUUUCAAAAGAAUAAAAUAACAAUAAUAGGUGAAAUCCACCUUGCAACUUCAAAAAAAAAAAAAAAAAUAUUUCUGCAUUUUUCUCAAACAUACACUUUGUUUUCCUUAUUUCCUUUCUUUGUUAGCCACAUCCCUAGCCUACGUUACGUCCUAAUAAAAGUCCUUCUUGAUUUCAGGGAACUAUAGUUUGAAGUAGAAGCUAGUUAUAUGGGCUAAAAAGAUGUAGUGGUGCAUAUAAAAAAAUAAAAAAAUAAAUUGGGUUGACUAACAUUUUUUUUAUUUUAUUUGACUUGAGAUCGUAUUAUUUCUAAGCUGAGGGCAUAUUUAUUUCAUCUUGGUGAGAGCAUGUGAUAUCAUUUUUUUCAUUAUUUUCUCUCAAUUACCAUUCAUUGGAGUGACUAUUUUUGGGUUUAAUUUCUUUGUGAGAGUGUCACUACUUCCAGUGAGAUUUUGGGGUUUGACAUGUCAUUCUUGAAAGUAGCUAUAACAAAGUCUACUGGGCCGAUUCAUGUGGAUGGUUGAUGUGGGUGUGAUAUUGCUUUAGACUGGAGAUAAUGCUUAUACUUUUAUUUGAUUGCUAUCAUUAAUCUGAUUGAAUAAACACGAGUGUUUCUAAAAAAAUAAAUAAAAAUUAUUUUGAAUUUGAAAUUUGUUUUCGCUUUAUUUGCUAGGGACUAGCAAUAAGCUGGUUGGGGGGUGUGUUGAGUGUUAGAAAAUGCAUAUUUAUAAAGGAGAAAACCGUCAUUUUACAUUUCAAGUCUUACUAACAACCCUUACUUUUAUGUAUUUAACCUUCUUGUGAUGUAAUUACGUGUGUGUUAUUUUAAUUAAGUAUUUUAUGUAUUUUAGGGGCAUUAUAGUCAUUUCACAAUAAAGGAGAGAUCAGACGGCAAAACAGACAUCACUUUUGAACUCAGGACGGUCGAAAACCUUAGGAGGAGCAUAAAAGGAAAAAUGGCACUAUUCACAUGUACGGUACUAUUCACGUAUACGGUACUGUCUACGUUACUGUUCACGACACUGUUCACAUAGACGGAUCGAUGACGUGGCAUUGACCGAUGAUGUGGCAUUGACUGAUGAGGUGUCACGAUCCUGUUGGACCAAAAUUCUUAUGUACUGUUGAUGGUGACGUGGCAGCAUAUCAGUGGACGAAAAAUCUCGCGUACGGUGCAUGUAUCACACAGGAUUAUUUUCAACCAAACCGCGUUACUGUUCAUCCGGGUCAAACCGUGUUACUGUUCAUCCGCGUGGUCAAACCGUGGACUGUUGACUGAUGACGUGGCGCAAUCCUGAGCGUCCAAACUGUUUUUAAUCCGAUGGCCAUGAUUUACUCCAUGUAUCUAUAAAAAGGGGGCCUCCCCCCCCCUAAUUUGAUAUCUCUGAAUCCAUUUUUGGGAUCCAUUUUCUGUAAUUUCUUUUCCAUCUUGUAUUUUCUUUGUAUUUUAAUAAAUUCCCAUUUUGCCCCUAGUUCAAUUAUGAGUAGCUAAUUUCCUUUCAAGCUUGGGUUGAAGGUGAAGUCUCAACAUGUGUCAUGGGCUUUAUUUGGUAAAUUUAUUUUCUUUUCCCCUCUAGUUUUUGUAGAUGAUUUCACUUAUCGUCGACAUAUAAUACUGAUCUUGUCUAGAUACCGCCUUGGUUACACCGGCUCUCUAGUAUAAGGUUAUUAUUAUUUGGCACGAUAAGCCCUUAGCACCAUAUUGAUUAGAGCGUGGUUCAUGAGGUGUGGAUUCCCCCCUCAUGAUUUAAUUGGCAUUAAUACGGAUUAUUUAGCCCAUGAUGCAUGUUGAUACGGAUCUAGAUACCCAAGUACGUCAUUUCAAUAGAAUUCUCUUCAAUUUAUUCUCGUCAUUUUAAUUUAAGUUUUAGCAUAUUCCAAAUCAUUUCCACCACAGAUCCAAUCAACCAUUUGCAAAAUUAAUUCUAUACACAAUUAAAAUCCACCUCCUCGUGGGAUCGACACUCGUCACCAUUGAUCUAUACUACAAUAGAUUCGUGCACUUGCGAGUACAUUAAAAUUUGCACAACAUUUAUCCAGAUGUCAGUGUUGUUGUCUACUCAUAUUAUAUAUUUUCAGCAGUCCAACAUAACGAUUUUUAGUAAUUUUUAUACUCAACUAAAAAUUAUGAAAUUAAACAUACAGCAAGUAGACAUAAUAAGGAAAAUUGGCGAAGUCAGCCAUGCUGCUGAAAAUCAGAAUUUUCCAACACAAUUGUUCUAAUUUCGAAAAUUCACAACAAAUUGAUUAGUUGGAAUCUCUUUGCACAAAUACAUCAUUGAAAACCUUGAGAUGUCUACUUUAAUUUUAUGGUGCAGAAAUUAAAUCAAAAAUAAAGAAAAAAUAGUAAUCAAAUCACGCUGCUCAUGCCUCAUAAUGCCUGACUGGUCAUUCAUGAUAAAAAGAACAAUACAUGCAUUCAUCAUCAAAUACAUAAGAUCGUAUUAGAGAGCAUGAAUUAAAGAAGGAUAAAUACCUCAAAACUUCUUUCAAACAUGCAUAAAAGAAGACCUUGGAAUUCAUUUUUUUAAUACAUUUUUAUUUGGUUGAAGAAUUUUAAAUCAUAGGGAGAUAGGAAGAGUUUAAGUUUUAUAAAAACAAAUGCUUUUAUAAAAAUACAUUAUACGAUAGAUAGAUAAUCCCUCAUAAUUUAUUUUAAAAAAAUAAAUAAAAAGAACUAUACCUUAUCUCAAAUAAUGCUAAUUAAAAUAAAUUUGCAACGAAAGAUAAACAAUUAAAUAGAUAAGCAUAAUUAAAUUCAAACAAAUAAUUAGAGAUGGGUGUUACAUUGGGAGUGGCCAAAAUUUGUUAAACUCGGUUACUUGAACAAUGCUAGCAAUGGUUUUCUUGUGAAUGAUGUGUGCAUUGUGGAAACAGAGGUGCCUGUGCUCGGAACUUCCAAAGCCCUGUAAUAUAUACUCUAAUUAGCAUUGUUACUCUUGCAAGAAAAUUGGAAUGCCAAUUUUUAAUUUUAUUUCUUAUAAUAAAAGUUAAUCUCAUCGUACCCAUAUAUUCUGGUAAAGAAAUUCUUAUGCUGACAUUCAAUAAUUGGCGGUUAAUUGUUUGUUAAGUCUCCGCAUGGAGACUAGAUGGGAUGCCUUCUUAUGGAUUAAGCCUGUGAUAUCUAAUUCAUUGUUGUAUUUCUCUCUCUAUAUUUUGCCUUAUAGUUGCGCUAGGUAAGGUAUUAUGGGUUUUUUAUCUUACAAGUGUAAAAUAAAGUUAACCUAUCUUUCAAAUCACAUCAAUAAAUGUUUACUAAAUACUUAAGUGCUGCUUAACCACAAUAGCAAAUCGGGCCAAAAUUUGGAAAUUAAUUAUAUAAAAUUUGAUAAUAAAAAACAGAACAAUUAAAAUAUUGAUUCAACUCGUUGAUAUAUACAUUUUUUUUAUUGGAGGGUAUUUUUGUUCACUUGUAUUGUAGUUGUUUUCUUUCCCAUUACCAUUCCAUUCUUACAACCAAGCAAAGAAAUCAAUAUUCCUUAACCAAACCAAACAAAUUAAAGAAAUCAAUAUUCCAUUACCCUUUCCAUUCCAUUCUUGCAACUAUCAGUUUCCAAAUUUUGGUGAAUGUCAAUAGUCAUUCUGACACUUUCUGAAAAUUUAAUGUUACCAUUCCAUUCUUGCAACUAUCAAUUUCCAAAUUUUGGUGAAUGUCAAUAGUCAUUCUGAUACUUUCUGAAAAUUUACCCUUUCCAUUCCAUUCUUGUAACUAUCAAUUUCCAAAUUUUGGUGAAUGUCAAUAAUCAUUUUGACACUUUCUUUCCCAUUACCAUUACAUUCUUGAUACCAAACAAAGAAAUCAAUAUUCCUUAACCAAACCAAACAAAUUAAAGAAAUCAAUAUUCCUUUGCCCUUUCCAUUCCAUUCUUGCAACUAUCAGUUUCCAAAUUUUGGUGAAUGUCAAUAGUCAUUCUGACACUUUUUGAAAAUUUAAUGUUACCAUUCCAUUCUUGCAACUAUCAAUUUCCAAAUUUUGGUGAAUAUCAAUAGUCAUUCUGAUACUUUCUGAAAAUUUACCCUUUCCAUUCCAUUCUUGUAACUAUCAGUUUCCAAAUUUUGGUGAAUGUCAAUAGUCAUUUUGACACUUUCUUUCCCAUUACCAUUCCAUUCUUGAUACCAAACAAAGAAAUCAAUAUUCCUUAACCAAACCAAACAAAUUAAAGAAAUCAAUAUUCUUUUACCCUUUCCAUUCCAUUCUUGCAACUAUCAGUUUCCAAAUUUUGGUGAAUGUCAAUAGUCAUUCUGACACUUUCUGAAAAUUUAAUGUUGAAUUGUAUAAACCCUCUACCUUGAUGCUUUAUAUAUACCAUGGUCCUUUUUAGAUAUUUUAAAGAAGAAAGGUUACUCUUGAGAUAACUCUAACCCUUAAAAAAUCUUAUUAUAAUCAAUCUUUCUUCUAUACUCUUUUUAGUACUUGACGAGUUAUAGUAGUUUGAAGGAAUUUGUUGCAAUGGAAAAUCAAGUUGGUACGUUAUCAGGCUCUUUCCCCAGCUCCCUUUCUCUAUGUAUGUUUAUAUAUGUAAAUCGAACACUUUUAGCUUGUUAUUUUCUUAUCAGUGUUAAAAUGACUCUUGACAGCAGUUUCAAGAUCCAUUUCACAUGUACCACCGGCUCAUUUCCUACUCAAAAUACAGACAUUUUCGUCCCUUCUAGAAAAUAAUGUGGAAAGUUAUGAAUCUUCGGAAUUUAAUGUUGGAAGCCACAAAUGGUAUGGCCUAAAACUUAGUACACUAAUAUUAAGAUUACAUUAUUACUUAAUUAUAUAUCAUAAUCUAAUAUGUUAUUUAAUUCAUGAUGGUUUCAGGAAACUUGUUGUGUACCCAAAUGGAAAUAAAAAAAAAAAGGUGAAAGAUCACAUCUCACUCUACUUGGCAAUGGCAGACUCAAGUUCUUUUGGUUCCAGUUGGGAAGUCUUUGUGAUUUUUCGCCUGUUUGUGCAUGAUCAGAACGAAGACACGUACUUGAUUCCUCAAGGUUGAUUAUUAAACUCAAGAAUAUUUAUGAUCAUUUUGUCCUUAAUUAUUUAACUGAGAGCUAAUCAAUGAUUUGACGUUACUUCAUCAUGUGGUAGAUGCAAUGGGAAAUGAAAGACGUUUUCAUGGGUUGAAGCUUGAAUGGGGUUUUGAUCAAUUCAUCCCGCUUAAAGAAUUUAACGAUGCUUCAAAUGGAUAUCUUGUGGGAGAUACAUGUAUUUUUGGAGCAGAAGUCUUUGUUAAAGAAAGGAACAUAGUCAAAGGAGAGUGUCUUUCCAUGAAGAAAUUCACAUCUGCUUCCCCUUAUAAGUAUGUUUGGAAGAUCAAGAACUUUUCAAACUUGGAGGCAAAGUCUUACGAAUCAGAAGUAUUCGUUGCUGGAGAUCAAAAGUGGUACAUAUACUUUCUGAAUUGCUGUUCAAGUAGACGUUCGAGAGUUUUUAAAAUUCGGAUUUGAACUAUGACAAGUUGUACUUUUAACAACGAUUUACAACUCUAAUGUAUCAUAGACUAAAUCUAGACAUUUGUACCUGAGCAUGACCAAUACUUAGGGUUCAUUUGUACAUGCGCGAUAUAUUUCUGAUGCCGAUGCAUGCAAAAGAAAUUCUUUUGAGUAGUUUUGAAUAAUACAACUUGUUAAAAUAAUGCAUCAUGUUAAAACCACUUCUUCAAAUGUGUAAUGUAAAAUGAUUUGCCAAAAUUUUUUUAUUUAUCUAUUCAUAUAUAUAAUCUAAACAUCACAUCUGAAAGUUAAUGUUUUGAUAAUUUGUUAAAUGGAACCUCUUAGUAAAUAUGUACAAUUGAAUGCCGAGACUUAAACUUUACCGUUCUUGAUUUUUUCAGGAAGAUAGAACUAUGUCCCAAGGGAUACGGAGUAGCUAGUGGCAGUCAUAUUUCAAUGUACUUGAAAUUGGCUGACUUGUCAACUAUAACUCGUGGUUUUAAAAUAUACGUGCAUUUCACACUGCGAAUCCGGAAUCAAGUGCAAUCAAUACAUAAUCACUAUAAAAGUAAGUUAUUAUUAACCCAAAUUUACAGGUAUUGAAGUUCAUCAAUAAGGGUUGUAGCUAAGUACAUAUAACUUCAGGUUUCUAUUGUUGUUCUUGCAGCUAGUGUAUGGUUCAGGACCUCAAUCGAUAAUUGGGGUUGGCACGAGUUUAUUGAACUCAGUUACUUGAACAAGGCAGGCAAUGGUUUUCUUGUGAAUGAUGUCUGCAUUGUCGAAGCUGAGGUAUCAGUGCUUGGAAUUUCCGACGCCCUGUAAUAUAUACUAUAAUGAGCAUUGUUACUCUUGCAAGAAAAUUGGGAUGCCAAUUUUUUAAUUUUAUUUCUUAUAAUAAGAGUUAAUCUCAUUGUAUCCAUAUCUUCUGGGAAAGAAAUUCAGUUGCUAACUCUUGAUAAUUGGUGGUUAAUUGGCUGUUAAGCCUUAACAUGGAGAUUACGUGGGGGAUGCCUUCUUAUAGGUUUAGGUUGUGAUAUCUAAUUCAUUGUUGCUUUUUCUCUCUCUAUAUUUUUCCUUAUAGUCGCGAUAGAUAAGGUAUUAUAGAUUUUUCAUCGUACAAGUAUAAAAUAAAAUCAACUUAACAUUCAAACCAUAUCAACAAGUGUUUACCAGUGGUACUCGCUUACAAUAUCAAACCAUGCCUAAAUUUUGAAAAUUAAUUAUAUAAUAUUUGAUAAUAGAGAAUAGAACAAUCAAAAUAUUGCUUCAACUCAUUGAAAUAUAUGUAUUUUUUUUUUUUAGUGGAGGGUAUUUUUGUUCAUUUGUAUUGUAGUUGUUUUCUUUCCCCUUACUAUUCCAUUCUUGCAAUCAAGCAAAGAAAUCAAUAUUCCUUGACCAAACCAAACAAAUUAAAGAAACUAAUAUUCCUUUCCCCAUUCCAUUACUUUGUCCUUUACCCUUUCCAUUCCAUUCUUGCAACCAUCAGUUUCCGAAACUUUGUGAAUAUCAAUAGUCAUUCUAACUCUUUCUAAAAAUUUAAUGUUUAAUAGUACAGACCCUCAACCUUGAUGCUUUGUAUAUACCAUGGUCUCUUUUAGAUAUCUUAAAGAAGAAAUAUUACUCUUCAGAGAAUACUCUAACCCUCGAAAAAUCUAAUUGUAAUCAAUCUUCUUCAGUACUAGUUUUAGUACCUGAGGAAUUCUAGUAAUUAGGAGGAAUUUGUAGCAAUGGAAAAUGACUUUGUAGGCUAAGUUGGCAUGUUCUCUGACUCUUUCCCCAGCUCCUCUUCUCUAUGUAUGUUUACAUAUAUAUGUGCAUUGAACAUUUUUUGCCUGUUGUUUUCUGAUCAGUGUUAAAAUUACUCUUGACAGCAAUUUCAAGAUCCAUUUCACAUGUUCUUUGAAAUGGUGCUCCGGUCCAAACGUCCUUACCAAGUUUGGAUUAAAACUAUGAUCAGAAAGACGUCCAAACCUAAGGAUAAUUAUAUUUAAUUAGGAUUCAAAAGUAUACACGUGUGAUAUAGUUGAUGCAAAAGAAAUUCUAUCAUAUGCAAAUGAUUUUUUUGUUAAUAUCCUUACUCAUAUCAUCUAAUUAAAUGCCUCAUCCUGGAAAUUAGCCUUUAGUUGAUUUUUUCAGGAGGAUACAGCUCCAUCCCAAGGUAAUCAAAAGUGGAACCAGCAGUCAUUUUUCUUUGCUCUUUGCAUUGGUUGAUUCCUCAACUAUAACUCAUGGUUUUAAAAUAUACGUGCAUUUUACGCUGCGAAUCUGUGAUCAAGUGCAGGGAAAGCAUGAAAAUGCGGAAAAGUAAUUAAAUUAAUUAUUAUCCUCCCAAACUAAUUUAACAGCAGGUGCAUGAAUUAAUGCAAUAGUAGUUUAACUACUAUAAGCUUACUCAUAGCUAUAUACAAAUAACUUUAAGGCUUCCUAUUAUUGUUGUUUCAUGCAGGAAGAACAUGAUUCAGGUCCUCAAUUGAAGAUUGGGGUUGGCCAAGAUUUGCUGAACUCAGUUACGUAGACGAGGGAGACAAUGGUUUUCUUGUGAAUGAUGUGUGCGUUGUGGAAGCAGAGGUUUCUGUGCUUGGAAUUUUCAAAGCAAUGUGGUAAUAAAAUGAAUGAGCAUUUUACCUGCAAGAAAAUUGGGAUGCCAGUUUUUAUUUGUAAUUUCGUAUAAUAAGUAUCAAUUUCAUUGUACCUACAGAUAGUUUUCGUGAAAGAAAUCCAGUUGCUGACACUCUCACUGUGGUUUGGUUUUCAAGUCUCUAUAUGGCGAUUAGAUGGGUUCAGUCUGUGAUGUCUAGUUAAAUGUUGAUAUAAUUGUCUCUGUAUUUUGCUUUAUCUCUCUUUAAUAUAUCUUUUGAAAAAAAAAAAAAAGAAGGGGGGGGGAGUUUUCAUUGCUGUUGUGAGAUAUGUCUAUCCAUCCACCUCUUGAUUAAAAUAAUGUAUCUUUCACACUAAUAACUUUAGCAAGUGAGUUAUGAAGGCAGCUACAUGAUAUCUGACGUAUGUAUUUAUCACGGGAAAUUUACGAAAAUAACCAUAAAUAUUUUGUUAUUUUCCCAACUAACCCUCUCAACUUUUUUCUAUCAACAUUAGCCAAACACAAGCCUUUCUCCCCAAAUUACCCUUCUUUACAGACCAAAAGCAACCAUCUUUCUCCCAUAUCGUCAAACCAAAAGCAGCUUAAUCAUCAACCAACGGCGACGGCAAAAGACAACGGUAAAAGUGAAAUCCGAUCAUAAUCUAUCCGAAUCCAACACUGAAAUUCGAUCAUAAUCUAUCCAAAUCCAACACUAAUCGGCAUCACUUAGUGGUAUGAGUUAUUUUCUGAACUUGCUGAACUGAGUCGUGGGUGAAUCUGGCGACAGGCUGCCUGUCGCACCAAGACUUGGUGCGACAGGCAACCUGGUGCGACAGGCAACCUGUCGCACCAACUCUUGGUGCGACAGGCAACCUGUCGCACCAACUAUUACUUGGAUCUUGCAAGAUCCACAGAAACGUAGAAAUCGGAGAAAUUGCCAUGAAGAAUCUGGUUCAGCUUGAGGCAGCAAGUGCAGGAGACUAUGUGCUACUUGCUACGAUAUAUGCUUGUACCAAAGAUGAAGAAGGAGUUGCGAGGACAAGGAAAUUAAUCAAAAGCAAUGGAAUCAAAACUACCCCUAGCUGGAGCUGGAUUGAAAUCGGUAAUCAAGUGCAUAAAUUUGUUGUAGAUGACAAGUCACACCCCGAUACAGAUGUGAUUUAUCGAAAAUUGGAGGAAAUAAUGCACAGGGCCAAGUUUAUUGGUUAUACAAAAGAUGAAUCUCUUUUGGCCAUGUCAGGAUCAUCCUCUGAAGAUUUCUUGGAAAAAUCCAGUGCAUAUCAUAGCGAAAAGCUAGCAAUUGCUUUUGGGUUGGCAACAACUCCAGAUGGAACAAGUCUUCGAAUAGUGAAGAAUCUGAGAGUUUGUAGAGAUUGUCAUUCAUUUACAAAAUUUGUUUCCAGAGCAUAUAGUCGAGAUUUGAUUGUAAGAGAUAGAGUUCGAUAUCACCACUUCAGGGAUGGACUCUGUUCUUGUGGAGACUAUUGGUGAAAAACUAAUGACAGACAUCUCUCUCAAGGAGCCCAGAUUCUGAGGACUCUGGAUAUGAAGCUCAGGAUCUCCAGUAGUCAGUACCACCAAUCACUCACUCGCCUGAGUUUAUGAAAACUACAGAUUUGGAGAAGAAAAGGUUAGCAGACUUGGAAAUUGAUGUCAUAGCAGUGGCACUAGUUUCCACAUCAUCAAGAACUGGAGAACAGAACAGAGAACAUCCACAGCGGCACACUCACAGAGCUUCUCUUAAGGUUACAAAUGGAUCGACUCAUGAAAUCUUACUGAUUGCAAGAUGAUUUGCUAAAGUAUUUUCCCUUCCUUGGAAUCAAACAAGCAUGCAAAGCGAUGAUGGGAGUUGGAUCGGUUUGGGAGAAAUGAGUGAAAGGGAGUGUUGGGGAAGAGAUGAGGGAGGGGUAUUUUGGUCUCAAAGGUUGUUUUAUGGCUAAUGUUGAUAGAAAUAUUUUUGGGGGGUUAAGAUGAAAAAAAGCAAAAUUUUUUUGGUUAUUACUGUAAAUUUCCCUUUUAUCACACCCUUUAAGACAUGUUUAUGAGUUCUGCAUCACAAAGUACUUUAAGAAUAAAAAAGUGUGUUGCUAAAUGCACGACUGAUUGAUAUGCUUUUAUUGGUUAUAAAUACCCAUAAAUCAAAUAUAUCAAAAAAUUGAGAAAUAAAAUAGUGAGCACGUGAAGAAAUUUUGUUAAUUAUUCUCUUAUUGACUUACUUAUUAGAAAUUUUAACCCUUUUAACUUCAUUCUAUUUAUAUUAUCUGUAUUCAUAAUCUGAAUACUUCCCAAUUUGAUCUACAACAAAUUGGGAGUUUAUGAAAUUGCAACGCAUUCCGAUUAUGUACAAAUUUUUUAUAAGAGUAUUAUUGAACACAUUCAAGCUAUACUCCCACUAAAGAGUGGGAAAAAACUGAAAAGAGAUGAAUGAGGUGUAUUUAAAAGAUCUCUUUCACUAAAGAGUGGCCAUCAUUAACAAACAGAAAACCCAACAGUUGGACGAGGCCCGGAGAAAACUGAAAAAAGACGUGGAGUUUUCUUCUUUUUAUUAUUAUUGUUUUUAAAAAUUUUAAAUAUGCUAAAAAAAAACACUACGAAAAACAUUCAUUCAAUAUAACAACACAACUUUAAGUACCUAAAAGACCUAUUUUUGUUCCUCUCUCUCUCCCUCUCUCAAUGUUUUGUUAGUUUUCUCUUUUUUUUUAAAAAAAAGUUACACAUUUUUUUAAUUUAAUAUUUUGUUCGUUAUAAUACAUAAAUAAAUCACUUAAUUAUAGUUAGAUAAUCAUGGAAUAAUUAACAAAUUAUUUAAUCAUAAUUCGUAUAUAUUCGAUAAUGUUUUGAGCAAUUUAAAAAUUAAUUAAAUAAAAUCAAAUAUAGAUCGAAAAUGAAUACGAGUAUCAUAAUUAUGUAACCAUUGAGGUCGAGACUAGUUGUCACCAUGAGAAAAGGGCGCGCAACAAUAUGCGUCUAUGGCCGUUCCAAUAGAAGGGCAUUUUAGACUUUUCAUUACAUAUUUGUCAUGUUUAUGGAAUUUUAAUUUCGUCGAUGGCAUAUUCUGUGCAAAUUAAAUUCCUCAAAAUUUCCUCUUUAUAUACAUAUAAAAGCUGACACGAUGGACGGUUGAACCCUCAAGACCGAAGCGGGAUGGGUAACCAGGAUCGAAAUUUUCGGCGGCUUGAAUAAAAGAAUCCAUAGAUUUUACUUCGGAGAAAAGAAACAUCAAAAUAUUAUUAAAAAAUAUACAAAAUAUGCCAUUAAAAAAAUACUAUAAAAUACAUUCAUUCAAUAUAACAACACAACCUAAGUACCCAAAUACCUAUUUUUUCCCUCUAUCUCUCUCUCAAUUUUUUGUUAGUUUUUCUUUUUUAUAAAAAAAAGUUACACACUUUUUUUAAUUUAAUUUUUUGCUCGGUAUAAUACAUAGAUAAAUUGCUUAAUUAUAGUUAGAUAGUCAUGGAAUAAUUAACAAAUUAUUGAAUCAUAAUCUGUAUAUUUUCGAUAAUAUUCAAUCAAUUAAAAAAUUGAUUAAAUAAAACCAAAUGUAGAUCGAGAAUGAAUAUGAUUACCAUAAUUAUGUAACCAUUGAGGUCGAGACUGGUUGCCAGCUUGAGAAAAUGUCGUGUGGGUUAUUCGGAAUUUGGUUAUUGAUGCUUGCUAAAGAUCUAAUGUAUGAAAGCAGAGGAGAGUAAUGGAGUUUUGUUGUGGCUAGGAAUUGAUUUCUUGGAGUAAUAAUGUGGCUUACCACUAGCUUGGCUAGACAGAGAACGGCUUAUUAGCAAAGGCAACGGACAGAAGGAACCAAAAUUUUAGGUUUUCUAAGAUUAGGGAGAGGGUGAAACAAAUAAACUUACAAAUUUAUAACAGAUCCUGAAAACCUAAUUUCAAAUGUUUAUCCAGAUGUCAGUGUUGUUGUCUACUCAUAUUAUAUAUUUUUAGCAGUCCAACACAACGAUUUUUAGUAAUUUUUAUACUCAGCUAAAAAUUAUGAAAUUAAACAUACAGUAAGUAGACAUAAUAAGGAAAAUUGGCGAAGUCAGACAUGCUCCUGAAAAUCAGAAUUUUCCAACACAAUUGUUCUAAUUUCGAAAAUUCACAACAAAUUGAUUAGUUGCAAUCUCCUUGCACAAAAUACAUCAUUGAAAACCUUGAGAUGUCUACUUUAAUUUUAUGGUGCAGAAAUUAAAUCAAAAAUAAAGGAAAAAUAGUAAUCAAAUCACGCUGCUCAUGCCUCAUAAUGCCUGACUGGUCAUUCAUGAUAAAAAGAACAAUACAUGCAUUCAUCAUCAAAUACAUAAGAUCGUAUUAGAGAGCAUGAAUUAAAGAAGGAUAAAUACCUCAAAACUUCUUUCAAACAUGCAUAAAAGAAGACCUUGGAAUUCAUUUUUUUAAUACAUUUUUAUUUGGUUGAAGAAUUUUAAAUCAUAGGGAGAUAGGAAGAGUUUAAGUUUUAUAAAAACAAAUGCUUUUAUAAAAAUACAUUAUACGAUAGAUAGAUAAUCCCUCAUAAUUUAUUUUUAAAAAAUAAAUAAAAAGAAUUAUACCUUAUCUCAAAUAAUGCUAAUUAAAAUAAAUUUGCAACAAAAGAUAAACAAUUAAAUAGAUAAGCAUAAUUAAAUUCAAUCAAAUAAUUAGAGAUGGGUGUUACAUUGGGAGUGGCCAAAAUUUGUUAAACUCGGUUACUUGAACAAUGCUAGCAAUGGUUUUCUUGUGAAUGAUGUGUGCAUUGUGGAAACAGAGGUGCCUGUGCUCGGAACUUCCAAAGCCCUGUAAUAUAUACUCUAAUUAGCAUUGUUACUCUUGCAAGAAAAUUGGAAUGCCAAUUUUUAAUUUUAUUUCUUAUAAUAAGAGUUAAUCUCAUUGUACCCAUAUAUUCUGGUAAAGAAAUUCUUAUGCUGACAUUCAAUAAUUGGCGGUUAAUUGUUUGUUAAGUCUCCGCAUGGAGACUAGAUGGGAUGCCUUCUUAUGGAUUAAGCCUGUGAUAUCUAAUUCAUUGUUGUAUUUCUCUCUCUAUAUUUUGCCUUAUAGUUGCGCUAGGUAAGGUAUUAUGGGUUUUUUAUCUUACAAGUGUAAAAUAAAGUUAACCUAUCUUUCAAAUCACAUCAAUAAAUGUUUACUAAAUACUUAAGUGCUGCUUAACCACAAUAGCAAAUCGGGCCAAAAUUUGGAAAUUAAUUAUAUAACAUUUGAUAAUAAAAAACAGAACAAUUAAAAUAUUGAUUCAACUCGUUGAUAUAUACAUUUUUUUUAUUGGAGGGUAUUUUUGUUCACUUGUAUUGUAGUUGUUUUCUUUCCCAUUACCAUUCCAUUCUUACAACCAAGCAAAGAAAUCAAUAUUCCUUAACCAAACCAAACAAAUUAAAGAAAUCAAUAUUCCUUUACCCGUUCCAUUCCAUUCUUGCAACUAUCAGUUUCCAAAUUUUGGUGAAUGUCAAUAGUCAUUCUGACACUUUCUGAAAAUUUAAUGUUACCAUUCCAUUCUUGCAACUAUCAAUUUCCAAAUUUUGGUGAAUGUCAAUAGUCAUUCUGAUACUUUCUGAAAUUUUACCCUUUCCAUUCCAUUCUUGUAACUAUCAGUUUCCAAAUUUUGGUGAAUGUCAAUAAUCAUUUUGACACUUUCUUUCCCAUUACCAUUACAUUCUUGAUACCACACAAAGAAAUCAAUAUUCCUUUGCCCUUUCCAUUCCAUUCUUGCAACUAUCAGUUUCCAAAUUUUGGUGAAUGUCAAUAGUUAUUCUGACACUUUUUGAAAAUUUAAUGUUACCAUUCCAUUCUUGCAACUAUCAAUUUCCAAAUUUUGGUGAAUAUCAAUAGUCAUUCUGAUACUUUCUGAAAAUUUACCCUUUCCAUUCCAUUCUUGUAACUAUCAGUUUCCAAAUUUUGAUGAAUGUCAAUAGUCAUUUUGACACUUUCUUUCCCAUUACCAUUCCAUUCUUGCAACCAAACAAAGAAAUCAAUAUUCCUUAACCAAACCAAACAAAUUAAAGAAAUCAAUAUUCCUUUACCCUUUCCAUUCCUUUCUUGCAACUAUCAGUUUCCAAAUUUUGGUGAAUGUCAAUAGUCAUUCUGACACUUUCUGAAAAUUUAAUGUUGAAUUGUAUAAACCCUCUACCUUGAUGCUUUAUAUAUACCAUGGUCCUUUUUAGAUAUUUUAAAGAAGAAAGGUUACUCUUGAGAUAACUCUAACCCUUAAAAAAUCUUAUUAUAAUCAAUCUUUCUUCUAUACUCUUUUUAGUACUUGACGAGUUAUAGUAGUUUAAAGGAAUUUGUUGCAAUGGAAAAUCAAGUUGGUACGUUAUCAGGCUCUUUCCCCAGCUCCCUUUCUCUAUGUAUGUUUAUAUAUGUAAAUCGAACACUUUUAGCUUGUUAUUUUCUUAUCAGUGUUAAAAUGACUCUUGACAGCAGUUUCAAGAUCCAUUUCACAUGUACCACCGGCUCAUUUCCUACUCAAAAUACAGACAUUUUCGUCCCUUCUAGAAAAUAAUGUGGAAAGUUAUGAAUCUUCGGAAUUUAAUGUUGGAAGCCACAAAUGGUAUGGCCUAAAACUUAGUACACUAAUAUUAAGAUUACCUUAUUACUUAAUUAUAUAUCAUAAUCUAAUAUGUUAUUUAAUUCAUGAUGGUUUCAGGAAACUUGUUGUGUACCCAAAUGGAAAUAAAAAAAAAAAGGUGAAAGAUCACAUCUCACUCUACUUGGCAAUGGCAGACUCAAGUUCUUUUGGUUCUGGUUGGGAAGUCUUUGUGAUUUUUCGCCUGUUUGUGCAUGAUCAGAACGAAGACACGUACUUGAUUCCUCAAGGUUGAUUAUUAAACUCAAGAAUAUUUAUGAUCAUUUUGUUCUUAAUUAUUUAACUGAGAGCUAAUCAAUGAUUUGACGUUACUUCAUCAUGUGGUAGAUGCAAUGGGAAAUGAAAGACGUUUUCAUGGGUUGAAGCUUGAAUGGGGUUUUGAUCAAUUCAUCCCGCUUAAAGAAUUUAACGAUGCUUCAAAUGGAUAUCUUGUGGGAGAUACAUGUAUUUUUGGAGCAGAAGUCUUUGUUAAAGAAAGGAACAUGGUCAAAGGAGAGUGCCUUUCCAUGAAGAAAUUCACAUCUGCUUCCCCUUAUAAGUAUGUUUGGAAGAUCAAGAACUUUUCAAACUUGGAGGCAAAGUCUUACGAAUCAGAAGUAUUCGUUGCUGGAGAUCAAAAGUGGUACAUAUACUUUCUGAAUUGCUGUUCAAGUACAGACGUUCGAGAGUUUUUAAAAUUCGGAUUUGAACUAUGACAAGUUGUACUUUUAACAACGAUUUACAACUCUAAUGUAUCAUAGACUAAAUGUAGACAUUUGUACCUGAGCAUGACUAAUACUUAGGGUUCAUUUGUACAUGCGCGAUAUAUUUCUGAUGCCGAUGCCAAAGAAAUUCUUUUGAGUAGUUUUGAAUAAUACAACUUGUUAAAAUAAUGCAUCAUGUUAAAACCACUUCUUCAAAUGUGUAAUGUAAAAUGAUUUGCCAAAAUUUUUUUAUUUAUCUAUUCAUAUAUAUAAUCUAAACAUCACAUCUGAAAGUUAAUGUUUUGAUAAUUUGUUAAAUGGAACCUCUUAGUAAAUAUGUACAAUUGAAUGCCGAGACUUAAACUUUACCGUUCUUGGUUUUUUCAGGAAGAUAGAACUCUGUCCCAAGGGAUACGGAGUAGCUAGUGGCAGUCAUAUUUCAAUGUACUUGAAAUUGGCUGACUUGUCAACUAUAACUCGUGGUUUUAAAAUAUACGUGCAUUUCACACUGCGAAUCCGGAAUCAAGUUCAAUCAAUACAUAAUCACUAUAAAAGUAAGUUAUUAUUAACCCAAAUUUACAGGUAUUGAAGUUCAUCAAUAAGGGUUGUAGCUAAGUACAUAUAACUUCAGGUUUCUAUUGUUGUUCUUGCAGCUAGUGUAUGGUUCAGGACCUCAAUCGAUAAUUGGGGUUGGCACGAGUUUAUUGAACUCAGUUACUUGAACAAGGCAGGCAAUGGUUUUCUUGUGAAUGAUGUCUGCAUUGUCGAAGCCGAGGUAUCAGUGCUUGGAAUUUCCGAAGCCCUGUAAUAUAUACUAUAAUGAGCAUUGUUACCCUUGCAAGAAACUUGGAUGCUAAUUUUUUAAUUUUAUUUCUUAUAAUAAGAGUUAAUCUCAUUGUACCCAUAUAUUCUGGUAAAGAAAUUCUUAUGCUGACAUUCAAUAAUUGGUGGUUAAUUGUUUGUUAAGUCUCCACAUGGAGAUUACGUGGGGGAUGCAUUCUUAUAGGUUUAGCUUGUGAUAUCUAAUUCAUUGUUGUUUUUUCUCUCUCUAUAUUUUGCCUUAUAGUCAUGAUAGGUACGGUAUUAUAGAUUUUUCAUCAUACAAUUGUAAAAUAAAAUCAAUUUAACAUUCAAACCAUAUGAACAAGUGUUUACUAGGCUUAGGCUUACUUGCUUACAAUGUCAAACCAUGCCUAAAUUUGAAAUUAAUUAUAUAAUAUUUGAUAAUAAAGAAUAGAACAAUUAAAAUAUUGCUUCAACUCGUUGAAAUAUAUGUAUAUAUUUUUUUAGUGGAGGGUAUUUUUGUUCAUUUGUAUUGUAGUUGUUUUCUUUCCCCUUACCAUUCCAUUCUUGCAAUCAAGCAAAGAAAUCAAUAUUACUUGAUCAAACCAAACAAAUUAAAGAAACUAAUAUUCCUUUCCCCAUUCCAUUACCUUGUCCUUUACCCUUUCCAUUCCAUUCUUGCAACCAUCAGUUUCCGAAACUUGGUGAAUAUCAAUAUUCAUUCUAACUAUUUCUAAAAAUCUAAUGUUUAAUAGUACAGACCCUCAACCUUGAUGCUUUGUAUAUACCAUGGUCUUGUUUAGAUAUCUUAAAGAAGAAAUAUUACUCUGCAGAGAAUACUCUAACCCUUGAAAAAUCUUAUUGUAAUCAAUCUUCUUCAGUACUAGUUUUAGUACUUGAGGAAUUCUAGUAAUUAGGAGGAAUUUGUAGUAAUGGAAAAUGACUUUGUAGGCCAAGUUGGCAUGUUCUCUGACUCUUUCCCCAGCUCCUCUUCUCUAUGUAUGUUUACAUAUAUAUGUGCAUUGAACAUUUUUUGCCUGUUGUUUUUCUGAUCAGUGUUAAAACUUACUCUUGACAGCAAUUUCAAGAUCCAUUUCACAUGUUCUUUGAAAUGGUGCUCCGGUCCAAACGUCCUUACCAAGUUUGGAUUUAAACUAUGAUCAGAAAGACGUCCAAACCUAAGGAUAAUUAUAUUUAAUUAGGAUUCAAAAGUAUACACGUGUAAUAUAGUUGAUGCAAAAGAAAUUCUAUCAUAUGAAAAUGAUUUUUUUGUUAAUAUCCUUACUCAUAUCAUCUAAUUAAAUGCCUCAUCCUGGAAAUUAGCCUUUAGUUGAUUUUUUCAGGAGGAUACAGCUCCAUCCCAAGGUAAUCAAAAGUGGAACCAGCAGUCAUUUUUCUUUGCUCUUUGCAUUGGUUGAUUCCUCAACUAUAACUCAUGGUUUUAAAAUAUACGUGCAUUUUACGCUGCGAAUCUGUGAUCAAGUGCAGGGAAAGCAUGAAAAUGCGGAAAAGUAAUUAAAUUAAUUAUUAUCCUCCCAAACUAAUUUAACAGCAGGUGCAUGAAUUAAUGCAAUAGUAGUUUAACUACUAUAAGCUUACUCAUAGCUAUAUACAAAUAACUUUUAAGGCUUCCUAUUAUUGUUGUUUCAUGCAGCAAGAACAUGAUUCAGGUCCUCAAUUGAAGAUUGGGGUUGGCCAAGAUUUGCUGAACUUAGUUACGUAGACGAGGGAGACAAUGGUUUUCUUGUGAAUGAUGUGUGCAUUGUGGAAGCAGAGGUUUAUGUGCUUGGAAUUUUCAAAGCAAUGUGGUAAUAAAAUGAAUGAGCAUUUUACCUGCAAGAAAAUUGGGAUGCCAGUUUUUAUUUGUAAUUUCGUAUAAUAAGAAUCAAUUUCAUUGUACCUACAGAUAGUUUUCGUGAAAGAAAUCCAGUUGCUGACACUCUCACUGUGGUUUGGUUUUCAAGUCUCUACAUGGCGAUUAGAUGGGUUCAGUCUGUGAUGUCUAGUUAAAUGUUGAUAUAAUUGUCUCUGUAUUUUGCUUUAUCUCUCUUUAAUAUAUCUUUUGAAAAAAAAAAAAAAAAGGGGGGGGGGGUUUCAUUGCUGUUGUGAGAUAUGUCUAUCCAUCCACCUCUUGAUUAAAAUAAUGUAUCUUUCACACUAAUAAUUUUAGCAAGUGAGUUAUGAAGGCAGCUACAUGAUAUCUGACGUAUGUAUUUAUCACACCCUUUAAGACAUGUUUAUGAGUUCUGCAUCACAAAGUACUUUAAGAAUCAAAAAGUGUGUUGCUAAAUGCACGACUGAUUGAUAUGCUUUUAUUGGUUAUAAAUACCCAUAAAUCAAAUAUAUCAAAAAAUUGAGAAAUAAAAUAGUGAGCACGUGAAGAAAUUUUGUUAAUUAUUCUCUUAUUGACUUACUUAUUAGAAAUUUUAACCCUUUUAACUUCAUUCUAUUUAUAUUAUCUAUAUUCAUAAUCUGAAUACUUCCCAAUUUGAUCUACAACAAAUUGGGAGUUUAUGAAAUUGCAACGCAUUCCGAUUAUGUACAAAUUUUUUAUAAGAGUAUUACUGAACACAUUCAAGCUAUACUCCCACUAAGGAGUGGGAAAAAACUGAAAAGAGAUGAAUGAGGUGUAUUUAAAAUAUCUCUUUCACUAAAGAGUGGCCAUCAUUAACAAACAGAAAACCCAACAGUGGAGAUAAGGCCGGGAGAAAACUGAAAAGAGAUGUAGAGUUUUCUUCUUUUUAUUAUUAUUUUUAAAAAAAAAUUAAAUAUGCUAAAAAAAAUACUGUGAAAUACAUUCAUUCAAUAUAACAACACAACUUUAAGUACCUAAAAGACCUAUUUUUGUCCCUCUCUCUCUCAAUUUUUUUGUUCGUUCUCUUUUAAAAAAAAAAUAAGUUACACACCUUUGUAAUUUAAUUUUUUGUUCGUUAUAAUACAUAAAUAAAUUACUUAAUUAUAGUUAGAUAAUCAUGGAAUAAUUAACAAAUUAUUUAAUCAUAAUUCGUAUAUAUUCGAUAAUGUUUUGAGCAAUUUAAAAUUUAAUUAAAUAAAAUCAAAUAUAGAUCGAAAAUGAAUACGAGUAUCAUAAUUAUGUAACCGGGUAAUUUUUAGGGACCUCCCCUGAGGUUUAGUGUAUUAACACAUAGAUAGAAAGUAUGACCGUAAUUACAGAUACUUCCCCUGCCGUUUACACUCAGUUUCGUAUAUAGUCAGUAUAUGGGGGUAAAUUAGUAAAAACGCAUUUAAAAUUAAAAUAGAUAAAAAGUUGCUUUGGAGAUGUGCCCACCGAAACACUCAAAACCAUUUUCUCUUUCAUCAGCCGAAGCACACACAUAUCCAUCCACCUGUAAAUGUUUUGAAGAUGGAAAAAUAAAUCAAAUUUUAGUCACCAAACCCCGCAACUUUAGCUUAGAUUUGUUAACAAGAAAGCGUCGGUGGUGGCUUAAGGGUGACAUCAUGUGAAAAUCAAUGGCGCUCGGUGUCAGACGUGACUGCAUUGAACUGAAGUAAAGAAGGUUAGUCUUUGAAAAAAUUGCGGAUUUUAAUUUUUUUAAUGCAUUCUAUUUUAAAUAAAUUAGAAUUUUAUUUUAUUUUAAUCAUAGAUUGGGGUUUUUUUUGUUUGUUUGAAAAUGAAAAUGGGCUUGUGAAGUGCUGAAGAAACUGCUGGCAUUGUGUUGUUCAAUAAAAAAUUAUAUCAGUUUGUUGAUGUGUUGAAGAAGAUGCAUGUUGUUUGUUACUUUUAGUUUUUUACUGUCUAAUUCGUCAAGUUACGAGCUAAUCAAAACAUAUGAUGUUAGAAAUUAGUGAUUUUUAUGUGGGUUCUUUGUCAAAUAAAAAUGGGUUAGCACCGUUAUGAAUUAUAUGGAUGAUGUUUAGAAGAUUUGACUUCUUAACAUGUGCUUCGAACUAAAUAUACCUAUGCAGGUUAGAAAUUAGUGAAGUUGUAUGUAUUAAUAAUAUUGGAAAAUAUGGGUUUGUUUGUGAUGUUUUGAAGAGGUUGAAACGGAUAUUGCGUGUGCUCCCUAAUAUGGAGAUUUUUUCGUCACUUGAUUAAAAAAAAAAAGCAUUAGUGAUAAAGACAAUGAAGAAAUAUAAUUUUUUUAACCAUGAAUGUGUAAAAAUAUAAUUUUUUUUAAUAUUUUUUCUACAGAUCAUAUGUGAAUUAAAUUAAUUUUAAAAACUUUGAUCAAGGCCAAAAAGCUUUCGGCCAUUGCUGCAUGUGAAGCUAGUAAGAGGGAAUUUUAUAAGCCCAACUGAAAGAAGAUUGAGGUUACCUGACUCUUCUUGUUUCUAGAUUUUUUUUUUUCUUUACUCUACUUCCCAUUUCAUCUUCAGCACAUUCAGUAAAUUUGACAGGAAUAAUUGGAAAGAAAGAAGGAAGGAUAUGCUGAAAAAUUGGAAAAUAAGGCAGUUGUACUUCACAAAGAAGUAGAAGAAAAAAGAGCAAAGAUCCAAGUUAGUGAUGGAGAAUAAAUUCUUAUUCCAAAGGAGAUGGUUGAAAAAUAUCAUGCAAUUAGGAGCAUUUUAAAGAUCAAUGGAACUAAACAAAUGUCAAAGUUAUUGUGUAUUAGAAAUACCAAAGUUGAUUUUGAACUGUUGUAUUAUGUUAAAUUUUUUUAAAUUUUAUUUUACUAUAUAGUCUAUCUAGCCAAGUUUCCUAGCGGUGGUUUUGUUUUCCCCAGUUGAUGAUACUUGGUGUCGAAUUUUUAUUUCCUAGGGUGUUGUAAUGAUUAGCUUAAUAAUUAAUAUUUGGCACCAAAGGCAUUUUAGUCUUUUUCCAGAGGCAAGGGUAAUUUCGACCUAUCACUGGUCAACUAACAGUCAAGGAAAAUGAGUACAGACGGCAGGGAGGUUUCUGUAAUUACAAUCAUACUUUCUAUUCAAGUGUUAAUACAUCAAACCUCAAGGGAGGUCCCUAAAAAUUACCCUUAUGUAACCAUUGAGGUCGAGACUAGUUGUCACCAUGAGAAAAGGGCGCGCAACCAUAUGCGUCUAUGGCCGUUCCAAUAGAAGGGCAUUUUAGACUUUUCAUUACAUAUUUGUCAUGUUUAUAGAAUUUUAAUUUCGUUGAUGGCAUAUUCUGUGCAAAUUAAAGUCCUCAAAAUUUUUCCUUUAUAUACAUAUAAAAGCUGACACGAUGGACAGUUGAACCCUCAAGACCGAAGCGGGAUGGGUAACCAGGAUCGAAAUUUCCGGCGGCUUGAAUAAAAGAAUCCAUAGAUUUUACUUGGGAGAAAAGAAACAUCAAAAUAUUAUUAAAAAAUAUACAAAAUAAAUAAACAUAUAAUUUUAAAAAAGUGCAUAAAUACACUCACAGAGAGAGACUCAGGGAGAGAUAGAGAAUUCUAGAAAGAGAGAGAAUGGUGCUGUGGGAGAUCACAUUGGGAACAGCGUAUUUCUUGGGGCUGAAGCGGACUUACAGGCUUGCUUUGAGGAUUCAGCGUCGCGUUAUCAGCCCUAAGCGCCCUCGGAUUCGCCAAUUUGUUCACCGGUAUAUAUGUGUUACCGUCGUUCUUAUUAUUAUUUGAUUAUUUCAUUUUGUUUGGAGUUUGAUUUUGAUUCAUUUGUAGCUUGAUGGGUCAGCUAUCAAUAGGGUUAUUAGCGGAUGGGUCACAGAUUGGGAAUGGGCAUUUUCAAGUAUAUUAAUUAAUUAAUUAAGCUGGGUAGUCCAAGUGUUAAUUUUCACUAAUGGGUUCCGUAGCUAUGCACGACGAUAAGAGCUGGUGAUUGUGGACUCAAAAGAGGAUUAUGAGGAUGGUGGUGUUGCAUUGUUUCACGAUUUUAUGAUAUUUUUCAAGGUUGAUCUUGGUAAGAUGAUUUAACUGUAUGAUAGUGUGUGUUAUUCGGAAUUUGGUUAUUGAUGCUUGCUAAAGAUCUAAUGUAACAGAGCAGAGGAGAGUAAUGGUGUUUUGUUGUGGCUAGGAAUUGAUUUCUUGGAGUAAUCAUGUGGCUUACUACUAGCUUGGCUAGACAGAGAACGGCUUAUUAGCAGAGGCAAUGGAUAGAAGGAACCAAAAUUUUAGGUUUUCUUAGAAUGGGGGAGAGGGUGAAACAAAUAAAAUGACAAAUGUGUAAAAGAUCCUGAAAACCUAAUUUUGAAAGUUUAGCAAGAUAUUAGUGUUGUUGUCCACUCAUGUUAUAUAUCGCAGUGAAAGUAAACCAGGCUUCCCUUAACUAUGGAGUAACUAUAUAGGAGGCAACCAACAUGAGCUAUCCUUGUGGCAUCUCCUAAGUACUUAUGUAUUUCCUUUCGGAGUAAUCCUAUGCCAUCAAAAACCAUAAAAGCAUGUGCUCUUUUGGGAGGUAUUGUCUGGAUUUUGGUUUUGUUUGGGGAUCAUAGAUUCAUAGAAUUUCUCCUCGCUCUUCCCUUGUAUUCUCUAUUCUCACUACCUAUUUCACUGUUCUUUCUUCUAUUUCUCUUUAUUCGAAAAAGUUUUUAGCUGAAAUUUCCACCUUCUUAUGCCUCUUCAAUAGGAUUUUGAUGGAUUAUGUGGAGUUGAUUAUGUCAAAUCUGAAAAUGCAUCCUGCGACAUGGGAUUAUCUUAGACUAUAUGUCCACAAUUAUGAUUGCCCGUCUUUUCCUAUUUAUUAAUCAUCUCUUUGGAAAGUCCACAACUAUGAUGGCUUGUCUUUGCCUAUGUAUUAAUCAUCUCUUUGAAAAGUUGAUUCCUCAACUAUAACUCAUAAAUUGUCAUUCAUGGUCUGAAUUUUCUGUGUGAGCACCAUGCCACUAGACUAUCUCUUAUUCUCUUAAAAUGGAAGUUUUCUUGUUAGAUGUAGCUAUUGUAUUCUACUUUUUUACUUUUGAGUGUGCCUCAUCUUUGCUGUUCCAACAAACUUAUUGGUUCCAAUCUAAUGAGUUUCAUUGAAGUUUAAUUGUACAGAGGUCAAAUAUGUGUUUGAAUACAGCUAUAACAAAGUAGCUAUCUGUAUUUUAUUUGGAUUAAAAGUAUAGGAAUAUGAAAGGAAAAACUUUAGUAUGGUCCUUCUACUAGUUCAUCAUGCGUCCUGACACUUCUACUUCAGGUUGGAUGUAAACUGAUGUGAAUAGUUCACAUUGACUUGAUAUCAUAUGCAAUAUGAGAGACCACUGAGCUCUUCCGUGAAAGCAAUUAUUCUUCCCUUUCCGACUUAGAAUGACCCUGUGCAUAUCAUAAUAAAAUCAGCUUCUAAAUCUGUGAUCUUAUGACAUAUUGGAUGGGCUAGGUUGCAGAAUUUGUGAUUUAACCAAUUAUGGAGCUAAGCCAAUCUUUUAAAGAUUAAGAAAAGUUUUCGCCAAAUAGAUAAUAACUAUGAACUCACUUGAUCCUUGAAUAUCUGCAACUGCAACCUGCAUUCUCUAGUUCUAGAUUGGUGCAUAAUUUUUAUUUCUAAGUUUUACAUAACCUCCUAUUAGUUUUGUCUGGGUCCCCAUUAUGGGAUUUGAACCAACUUACCUUUUAGAUUUGUGAUGCCAAACUUUUAAAUGGAAUUUUAUGAAACGUGUUCGUUGUUUUGCCAUCAUGCAACCCCUUGAUGUCAAAGUUGUAGUACUUUUAAGAGAAGCAGAUAGACAGUCUCAUAUGUAUUCCUGUGGACUUGUUAUCCAAUCAAGCUAUAACGCUCAGAUACCAGAACUAAUUAUGAGCACAUUCCUAAAUUGUUCUCUCUCAUUAGGUGGUAUGGAAAUUUUGGAGAAGCACAAGUAUUCAUGUCCAUAUCUGGAGAUCCUAGCUGUAUUCUUGUUUAGUUCAAAGAGUGUUUUGAAAUGAUAGAGUAAAGUUCUUCUGUGCUUUUCUUUUAUGAGCCAUUGUAUUUUGAUUUUAUUAGUAGGAUUUUAUUAACUUCAUGACAGUAGGUUACCCGAGCACGUAUUUUCACUCCAGAAUCCUUCCAAUCUAGUUGUAAUUAUUCAUGAAAGCCUCGGCAUAAAAUGGAAAUUCUGAAUUAGUUAAUUAUUUCAAUACUUGAAUUGAUUUAGUAUGCAUUAUGAAACCAAUAAUUGGACAUCCUUCACUCUUAAGAGACUUAGUGUGAUGCUGACCACAGUCCUGCCUGAGUAUUGCAUUCUUCCCACUGGGUGGCUCAUUGGAUUUCACUGUACUGUUUACCUUCUGCUGUUAUGUCAAUUACUAGCUGGGAACUACUGUUAUUUCUACCAUUGUUUUCAAUAAUAACAAAUUAAAUACUCCUCCAACUUGGAACUAUCUUUGGUGUUGAAGACUGACUUUCAUUCGUCCUUGAUUUUUCCACAGUCGACUACGCGCUGUCUUUGACGUUGCACUCAAGUUUCACAAGAACAUACAAGAGAGAGACAUAGAAGUUGGUAGAAAUGUUGGUAACUGGAUUCUACGUUGGCUUGACCGAAUGAAACCGUCUGCCCAGAUACGUGGUCCCCCUGAGAGACCGCCGCAUGGCCCCAGCAUGAGCAUGACCAACCAUGGAAUGAAGUCUCCGAAUCCAAAAACUCCUGGAGUCCAAACAUCUAGAAACAAGGAAUCAGAUAGACAUCUAUUUCGCUCAUCAAAAAAUAUAUGGCCUAAACCACCCUUUUCUACCAUUGCCAUGAUGAUGCGGCAUCCAAGGCCUGCUGGAACCAUAAUCCAGUAUAGGCAUCUUCAGACAAAUGGAUCUGAUAUGUUGAGUUUG